ACAGCUUAUAUCGAAUGGUUCCACUUCCAAUUGCAUAUGAGAAGCUUUAAGAGGAGGAGAAGGUACCUGAUCAAGGCGUGGCUAUCUUUGAUUAUUAUCUCAGGAUGUGCAUUUGAAUUCAAAUUAACUUAGCAAGGUAGAAUUAAUAUUUAUUCAUAAAAAGACUAAAGCAGAUCGCCUUACAUAUGCGACCCAAUUAAUAUUUAUUGCAAUCAAUAGGCUUAAAAAAGAGUCUCUUUCGUUUGUGCCAUGUUGCCAAAGACCGCGAUUUCUCAACGAAUGGGUCUGAAAGCAAAGCAAACAACAUCCAUUGACGCUCUUAUAAGAAAGUGUUGAAAGCUUGUAACUUCACAUCUGCACCAGUGAAAUGCGCAGUGAUUAUCGGAGCUUUGAUAGUCGAUUUGGUCUUGUAGCAGAGGCAUAGGAAGCGUUGAGGGGUCAGUCAGACGUCUUAAUCUUAUGGACUUGCUCACUGUCAAUUCCAGCUUAUUGUACAAGUCCUCCGGCAACAAUGUCAGGGUAGUACCUGAAUCAACGAUAAUAUUGCCCUUUGCUGGAGCUAAUGAAGGGUUCAGUGAACUGCCCGACACUCAUUGCUUCAAGCCCUAGAUAAUAUAAAUAUUGGAGUGUGCUAUCCACACAUCUCUUUUUACUUUUCACACACCCCUUGUUAAUUCCUGUCCGUUGAUCUUCUUUAAUUCAUCCGAUCUGACAGCCGAAAACCAAAAAGGUAUGGGAGAAGUAAAAAAAGGUGUGUGGAUAUCACACCCCUAAAUAUUUUGAGCCUCCAGAAGAAAGUAAUGGGGUAGAAAACGCUGUGGCGCCAGAAACCACAGCUUCAUUGCCGUAGCUCAUUGUGCUUGAUGAGUUGAAUCCUGAAAAGGCAUGCACAAGGCAGUAGGAAAAUUUCCCGUCGAUUGAAGAACUCAUCUGCGAGAUGGGGGACACAGGUCCACGUCCCAACCGUGCCUGAUCCAUUUCUGUUAAAGAGGCCUCCAUUGUCUUGUCCACAACCAAAUAUCAUUUGUGGGAAUGAAACUGGUUGCCCAGCAGUGGAGUUAAAUGUGACACUUUCUGUGGGUCUAAAACUUCCUUGCUGUAGGAUCUGCCUCCGUAAGAAACUGUGUAAUUACAAACUUCAGCUGUGUCAGGAGGAGAAGAAGUUCCGGUCACAAAUUUGCAUUGGCUUGAGUUCCGAGGAACUUGUGUGUAAGUUUUAGAAUUCUUUGGAUCGAAAGUUGGCGCUUUCUGCUUGUAACAAUUGAUGCAGGGUAUGCAUUGCGUCCAUGUAAGAUCACUACCUGUAUCUGCAGCGCCUAAGAUUUCAAGAGGAGGUGUACCUACUGAUAUUUUCAUGAGAUAUUCACCCGUGUCUGAGACUAUUGUAGAUCUAGGCAAGUUUGAAGGUGAUGAAGUUGGGUUCAAGCGAUUGACAAGGUUAAUGGAACACCGCAAAGCAUAGUCACACGUUGCAAAGGCGUUAAUUCUAAAGGAUCAUAGAGAGGAGAGACUGGAGAGUCGCAGUGAAUAAGUUGUAUGCUGAAGCUGCCAUUGCGAUCAGCUUGAAUAAGAGAGAACUGGGAGAAAUAUGGAGCAGAUAAUGUGAGUGCUAUUACGGAGGAGAAAGAAGGGAUAGCACAGUGGCUCCCAUGGUUCUCCGAGAAGCUUGUACGAAGUUAAGAUAUCAAAUUACAGUAUCAGUGAUGUCUUCGAUUUGAGGUGCUUCUGUGUGACUGUCCAGAAUCCAGAUCCUAACUCCAUGAGCAGUGAAAAGUGCAACCCUUAUUCAAAGUCUAAUUUAUUGUUUUUGCUAUAAUAUUCAAUGCCUUAGUUUAGAUAACGUGGCAAGGGACUUGUAGCUGGAUUAAGCAUUGCAUCCAAGGUUGUGUGUUCAAUUCCCUUCCCUUGAUAUCGCUUGUAAAAAAUGACAUAGUUUUUAGACACAAAAGAAGUGAAACAUGUGUCGAAAGAAACUUGAGCUACCACACUCCUCACUGCCUCAUUAUGAAAAGAAGAGGGAUUUUAGACACAAGUGAAUAGGGCAAACUAGACUAGAAAUGCAGGGCACAGUGCAAAAUUAUAUACCCUUGCAUCUUUUAGUAAAGAAAUUUGGCUAAAAUUAACAACGAACAUAAACCGCAGGGGCCGAAUUUCACCUUUGUAAACUACAUGUAGCAUUUAUACUUUUGGCCUAAUAUAACCAAAGAAACCACCUUCAGGCUUGAAGGUAUUGCAAAUGAGGCAGGAGGUCAAAACCUCUAAGCCCCCAAGAUAAGCUGAUCCACUAAGAAUUCCUAUAAAUCGUAUUACCCCCAAAACCGCUCAAUUGGCCUCCUUCCAUUUAAGCUAAUUUAAUCUACAGUAGUUUGUAUAUAACCUAAAGAGAAAAUUUCACGAGCUCAAACUAAAUUGCCUCCAUGCUUUCAAACACUAUCACGAAAAAACAGGCAACAAUUAGAGCUCCCAUUUGCUAUACCUCUGUAAUCUUAAGGAUCUUCGGAUUCUUCAUCCUUAUCUUCUGCAUUGCCCCGCCACCUAACUGGCCCAGACCAUCAUAAUCAAUUGUUCCCUACAAAAUACAAAACUUUGCUUGGAGGAUCAUAGAAUUCAUCGCAAUCAACUUGCCUAAAGACACCCCAAGUUAAUUUGAACAAAGAUUUAGAGCACUGUGACGAUAAAAAUUAGAGUUACUCUUUACGAAGGAAUUAGCACGUGUUUUAACAAAAGUAAGUUUCACAAAGCAGCAUUUUUGCAAUUGUUAAUUGCCUUUGGAAAAUUGAAAAGUAAGUCAUAUGAUAAAGUUCAGAGCAUAAACUUACAGUAACCACCAUAGGAGCAAAUGGUUUCGCAUCUUCUGGCUGUUCAACUGGAAUUGGUGGAUAGUUCACACUUUGAACUAGGAAUCUUGACUGCCAUUCAGAACUAAAAGUUUGCAUGCACGUAGACACCAGAAAGUUGAGUAGCUAUGGAUAAAUUAAACCGUAAAGAUAUGAACCUCAUCUGUCCACUCAAGAGCAAGAUCAUCUGCAUCAGGACACUUCCCUAUCCAAAUGACGAUGUUCCUGUAUUCCACAGUAUACCAAAACCACAUAUUCAACAGUAAUUCAAACAAUGAACAUAUGAACAAGAAUCCAUCAAGGAAGACAUGGAAGGGGCGGUCCUCAGGUUCAGAGAUGGAUGGAGAUGGCAAAAGAUGUACUGGUACAUAAAUGUCAUAAAAAAAUCCAAGGGACACUGCCAGUUAAAGAUUGAAAAUCAGACCAUGGACUUGGAGUAGGAGUUUGUCAAUGCAUUGCUGCACAAGGUGCAUGUGUAGUGAUAAUUACUUGCACCAAAGACAACCUAAGAAGUAAUGAAACCCAAGAAUAGAUCAGUAGAUAUAAACAUAAGAUCAUUAGAUCACAACUUUUAGUAGUAGCUAAUUAAAAUGAAGAGUGCAAUGAGAAUUAACAGAAAAUCCCACCUUCAGCUGCUAAGAGCAAACUAGAAUUCAUCAUCAGGCACAAAUCCCCUUUGAAGCAUUUCAUCAUGGAACCGAAAUGCCUCCUUCAAAUUAUCCUUGGUCACAUGUCCAUUUAUCAUUGACGUAUAAGUGGAUCUAUCAGGUUUUACACCUUUCUCAAUCAUCUUCCGCAAUACUAGCUCAACUUCGUGCAUUCUACCUUGCCAACAGAACCCAUUUAGAAAUAUUGUAUGUAAACUGAUCCGAUAAUAUCCCUUGCUUUUCCAUCUCCUUAACUGAGGAAAAAGCUUUGUCCAGAUUCUCUUCUUUUACAUAACCAUUAAUCAAAGUGUAGUCAGUAAUACUGUCGGGAAGAAUUCCUCUUGAAAUCAUUUUGACUAUAAGAACUCAUCCGCCUUUGUUGUGUCACCAGAGCGGCAAUAACCUUUAAUGACAGCGUUACAUGUAACUAGAGUGGGGUUUGAUACCUUCUUCAAUCAUCUGGUCCCAUAAACUCAACGCCUCAUGCACGUUCCCCAUGCUACAAAAUCCAUUAAUUAGAAUGCCAUAUGAAAUGUGGUUGGGUAGUAUCCUUCUUGAAACCAUGUCACCCCAUAACUCCUUAGCUUUAUCCAUUCCACCUAGUUUGCAGAAGCCAUCAAACAAUGUGUUGUAUGUGACUAUAUCAGGCUUAAUAUUUCUUUUUGUCAUUGCAUCAAACAGAUUGAGAGAUUUGGUCAUAUUCCCAUGCUUGCAAUAACCAUGAAUGAGUGUUGUGAAAGUAUAAAAACCAGGAAUGACACCCCUUUCCACCAUUUCAUUGAAAAAACUCAUCUGCGUCAGAAAGCAUCUUCUCCCAACACAGUCCAUUUAAAAUUGUAUUGAACGUUACCACAUCAAUAGCACAACCUUGCUCAAGCAUUUCAUCAUGCAACUUCAAAACCUCUAACACCAUUCCCUUUCUACAAUAUCCAUCUAUAAGGAUAGUGUAGAUCACAUUAUCCGGAACCAAGCCUGCCCCUUUCAUAUCUCAAAAAUAUACUAAUGCACGAUCAAUAUUUUUAUUCCUCGAAAAAAACCCAAUAAGUGAACUGAAACUAACUAUAUCAGGAACAACACCUAUGUGACAUUUCAUGGAAGAUUUCCUCAGCCUCUAAAAUAUCAUCUUUUCUACAGCUCUCAACAAGCAUUGGAUUAUACAUAGUAGUAUCAGGAUUCAACCACCUUGCAACAUUUCAUACAAAAGUUCCUUUGCUCUCACAUAAUUUCCUACUUUACAUAAGCCAUUUAUGAUAGCAUUGUACGUGAAAAGCUCAGGUUUCAACCCCUUAGAAGACAUAGAGUUUUUUAACUGAAAAGCUUCUUCAGGAAGCCCUUCACGACAAUAUGCAUUGAUUAGUGUAUUAUAUGUCACAAUAUCUGAAAACAACCCCUUCUCUUCCCUAUCUGAUAAGAAGAAUUUAACGCUAUCAAUUUUGCGAGCUUUGCAUAAGGCAUUGACCAUUAUAUUCGGUGUAUAAACAUUUAACUGAAUCCCACUGCUAACAACUUCCCCAUAUACGACCCAUGCCAAAUCAAUCCACCCGACCUUCACAAGCCCGCCAAGAGGACUAUUGCAAGCAUUUAUCAAAACACAAACUCCCUUGCUUCUAAACAGCUGAAACGCCUCAAAUCCUUCUCUCAACUUCUUAGCCUGCACAUAAGUUCUAACAAACAUAUCAAAGACCAAAGAACUUGAGCCGCAACUGCUAUAAGUUGAAACCAAAGAGUCUGCUACUUCAACACACGAAAUGCCACUCUUUCUAACCAUUCUAAGAAUCAGAGCUUGUGCAUCCGACGCUGUUCGACCACGCACCAACAUGUGAAUCAUUGCACUCAAAGACAGUGAUGAAUGCUUAAAAUCAGGACUAUUUAACAGAAUCAAAUCAAUAAACUUCAGACCCAGUUGCAAAUUUUCACGGCAGCAAGAAAGAACAACAACAAUAAGAGACGGGUUUAACCGAAACAGAAAGCUGCGCAAAGAGGUGAGGUUACCUUGCUUCAGACCUAAUAAAAUCUUUUCCACCAAAAGAGAAUCUGAUAAAGAAGCUGAUGGCUUGUACUACUACAGGGUUCUUGUGAUUGCAUACUUUUAAGACCAAGUUCCAGGUCAUUUGAUGGACAAUAUGCUAAACAAUGAGGUCUAUGAGAGUGAAAGAGUGAGUGUUCGUUGGUUUUGUGAAGGUUGUGCGGGUUCUCGGACCUACAUUCUCAAAAUUAGCCAAUGGGUUUGCAUGUUUGAAACUAUAAUUUUGUUUGUUAUUAAUUUUAUUCUAAGAUGGGUGGAUAUAGUGAUGACAUUAUCCUGACGGUAUGUUAUCUUUCAUCUAAAAUAAUCAUCUUUUAUCUUCAUCACUCACUUAUUCUCUGAAAUCUCUAAUAUAGGAUUGCAUUUAUCAACACUCCUCAAUAGAACCUGUCUUUUAUGGGCCACAUGUGCAACCAACACUCACUUUUUCUCAAGUAGCACAAGAUUGUCAUGAAAUUGUCGUUAGGUUGGGCCGGAUCGAGAAGAACCCGCUUGAUACAAUUCAAGAUAUAAGCCUAGUGGCUCAUUAUUAAUCACACCCAUAUUUUCCUAACAUAAUCACAUGUACAACUUUGCAGGCGUUCAGUUUUAUCACAAUCAACCUUAGUGAAAAGGGGAGACAUUUAAUAUAAUUUGUUAUUUAUUCUGCCAAGUGUUCGUUGUGAAUUAAUACGAAUUAAUAAUUUGGUCAAGUUGACUGAAUUGUAAUCAACUUUAUAACUAAUAUAUUCUAAACAUUCAAUGGAUAUGCUUCCUGCGGGUUAGAAUUUCUUGAUCAAGCAUGCGUCAUUGGAGCCGAUUCAAACGUUGCUAUAUACUAUCACCUUCAGAAAAUAGAUUUCUAUUACUAUCAGACAUGCAUAUAAAAAUUCAGUUCAAAUAUCAUGUCUCCAUCUUAUGUUUGUUAGCUAUUUCCUUUCUAGCUAGGUCAUCAUCAGUUAAACUUUCAUGAAACUUAUUCUCAUUAAAUUAUCAAUGAUAACAUUGAAUUUCAACCCCCUUACCAAAACAAAAGUUUUGUUAUACAUUUCAUCGAAAUUGCCAUUGAGGUCACAAUACGUAUUGAGAUGUGAUACUAAAACACAUAUAAAUUGUAGUUGAAAAAACAGCAAUGUCACUCAUGUCAAGUUGAAGGUAAUAAUUUUCUUUUUUUUACAUUGAAUAAUCAAAAUUUCUUUGCUCUAGAUGUGAUCGUUGAAGAAUGCUCAAUCUUACUUCUGAAAUUUAGAGAGAAAAUAAAAUAAAACUUAUAGGGAAUGGUUUUACUAUUAAUUGAACCGAGGUCUAUCGGAGGAUCAUCCUCGUCAACAGAUGUGGUGCCGUGCAUAGGAGGCGGCAUAAUUACAUUGUGGUUGUGUUAAUGUAGCCAUAAUAGUGGUAAAAUGAUUUGGUCGAGAAGUUCUUGAGUUCAACUCUCAAUGAAAGUACCAGUUGUUGAAACCAAAUAUGUGUGUCGUCGUGUGUGCUGGAGAUGCUUAAGCUCGUUAACUUGUAAAAGAACAAACGACUGAAAGGCAAGCUAGAGACCGAAGGGGUGUGUGUCUGUGUGAUGGCUAAAGGUUAUCCGACGUCAAGUCAGUAAGCAAUAUUAGGACUCAAGUAGUGGGUAAGAGAAUAAGUGUGCAAAGAUAGCGUUACCAAACAUGCCAUUUUUAGGGUGUAUUUAGACAAAUAGAGGAGAGGACCUUUUAGGAUAGUAAAAUCCUUAUUAAACCAGAAGAAUCCCAGAGGAUAUCUAGGAAGUAGAUAUUGAAUCCUCUUAGGAGUGUAUUUACUUGCGGUGCAUGUCAAUCCUUAGAUGGUAAGGAAUCCAAGAUUAUAGAAAACCUGAUGAUUCCAUACUGGAUUGGGUUCUUGAAUCUUAUGGAACAAGCAUGGUUUAUUUCAAUGAAGUCGAUGGACUUCGCCCGCUGAUUCCAAAACAAGAUGAUUGUGGCAUCACUGAACCGUUUAUCAGCUCUACAAUGGAGGGUGUUGAGUCUAUGGCUGGACUACUAAGGUAGACGUCUUCCAAUCCGUCUUACUCUGGCUCUGAAAAAUCAUGAUCCCACAGUAAACAAUCAAAACUACUAGUUCAUUUUUAUAAGAAUAUUACUUGUAUAAAUGUCGAAUCCAUCAAUGAAUAAGUUUCAGAUAAAAAAAAAUGCGAUAACAUAAAUUUGGACGGCAAUUUCAUAAUACAUUCAUUAAGCUUGAUUUACUAGUACAAGUUAUUAUUAAAUAACAAACUGAUAUACCAACUACUGUAUGUCUCUUUCGCAUUGUUUAAAUAAUGAAAAAUAAUAAUAGAUAAGUUAAUACUAGAAAACUUCAAUAAUUCCCUGCCUAACAAAUAUAAUAGUAAGUUUCAUGUAACUCAAACUUCAUUAGCUAAGCAUGGAAGAAAAAAAAAAGUUAAUAAAUAAAUUUCUCUGUGAUGAUAAUCAAGACUUCAUACUCAAUGUAAUCAGGAAUAAAAUCAUUUAAUAUAAGUUGUCAUUUAUUUUUUGAAAUUUCUGAUAUAAGAUUGUAUUAUUCAACGCUCCUCCUCAAUAGCGCCUGUCUUUGUGGGCCACAUGUGCAACCAAUUUCACAUUAGUAGCCUUUUAUUUUGUUUCUUUCUCUCAAGUAGCGGUAGAUUGUCAUAAAAAUUGUCGUUAGCUUGGGCCGGAUUGAGGAGAAUUUGCUGGAUACCAAUUCAAGAUGUAAGGCUAGUGACUCAUUAUUAAUCACAUUGAUAUUUUCCUAACUUAAUCACAUGUACAGCUUUGUAGGUGUUGAGUUUUAUAACAAACGACCUUAGUGAAAAGUAGAGCCAUUUAAUUGUCACGUCCUAAUCCCGACAUAUGUCCAGGACCGACACGUGACAUCAUCAAAUACACAUAAAUCUAACAUACCUUGCUUCCGGGAUAUGUACCAAACUCAACUCAUGCCUCAAAAUUUCCAAUAUCAUUCACUAACCACCAAUGCGACAAUUCCAAUCCCAUAACAUCAUUUCCAACAUCCACAAGUAUAGGCACUUGGACCUAAUACCUAAGCUCUAAUACCACCAAAAGUUGUCACCAACAAUCCCACGGCGCUGUCGCCGCCAUACACCAUGAAACGGCUUGAAUUGCAUCGAAUUUUUGGGUGAUCAACUAGGGAAGAGAGGUGUAAUGGUGUUUGUAGGUGGUGGGAGGUCAUAAAACACCGGAAAUUGGACUGAAAAACCCGUCAGAAUUGGCAGCAGGGGCGCGGGUCGGGUCGGGGUGUACGGUUCAAAGGGAAAAAGGUCCGAGUUUAGUGCUUCUCAAAAGUUGUCACCAAGAAUCCCACGAUGUUGUCGACACCGUACAACAUGAAACGGCCUAAAUUGCAUUGAAUUUUUGGGCGAUCAACUAGGGAGGAGAGAUGUAAUGGUGUUUGUAGGUGGUGGGAGGUCGUAAAACACCGGAAAUUGGACUGAAAACCCAUUGGAAUUGGCAGCAGGGGCGCAGGUCGGGUCGGGGUGCAGGGGCCAAAGGGGAAAAGGUUCGGUUUAGUGCUUCUCACUUCCCUCAUUUCUCUCCGUGAUCUCCCUCCUGAUUGGGUACUCAACCUUUCCUCCUCCUUCUGAUUCAUCCGCCCCCUCAUUUUCUCUCCUUUCCUUUCCAUCUCAGCCACAUAAGUGGCAUCACAGAUAAAUGCUCCAGCCAUCUGGAGCCUUCUAGAUUAGGUUAAAAUUAUAAAAAUAUCAUUGACUUUAAACGUUAAUAACUUCAUUGUUAUAACUCCGUUUCACGAACGGUUUGAACCUACCCAUUCAUGAGAUCGAGCUAUAUUCAAAAAUAUAAAUUGUGACCUUGAAAGGUCUACAAAUUUUAAAUAAUUAUUUUCCAAACUUCAAACUUCGUAACUAGUUAGAUUAAAAUCUAAAUUCCAACAAAUUAAAAUAAAUUUUCGAAAAAUAUUAUAAAAUCUCAAUAAUAAAAAUACGUAUAUUAUUUCACAUUAAUAUAAUUUGUUAUUUAUUCUGUCAAGUGUUCAUUGUGGAAUAAUACGAAUUAAUAAUUUGGUUAAGUUGACUAAAUUAUAAUAAACUUUAUAACUAUAUCUAUUCUAAAUAUUCAAUGGAUAUGCUCGCUGCGAGUUAGAAUUUCUUGAUCAAGCAUGCGUCAUUGGAGCCGAUUCAAACGUUGCUGUAUACUAUCACCUUCAGAAAAAAGAUUGCUAAUACUAUCAGACAUGCAUUUAAAAAUUCAGUUCAAAUAUCAUGUCUCCAUCUUAUGUUUGUUAGCUAUUUCCUUUCUAGCUAGGUCAUCAUCAGUUAAACUUUCAUGAAACUUAUUCUCAUUAAAUUAUCAAUGAUAACAUUGAAUUUCAACCCCCUUACCAAAACAAAAGUUUUGUUAUACAUUUCAUCGAAAUUGCCAUUGAGGUCACAUUACGUAUUGAGAUGUGAUACGAAAACACAUAUAACUUGUAGUUGAAAAAACAGCAAUCUCAUUCAUGUCUAGUCGAAGGUAAUAAUUUUCUGUUUUUACAUUGAAUAAUCAAAAUUGCUUUGCUCUAGAUGUGAUUGUUGGAGAAUGCGCAAUCUCACGUCUGCUACUUAAAAAAAAAAAAAAAAAAAAAUUACAACGUAUGGUCAAUGGUUUUACUAUUAAUUGUAUCGCGGUCUUUUGAGAUCAAAUCUAACACCUUGUUGGAAUGGGUAAAUAAUAAAAUUAGAAAUAUCAAUGUGAUUAGUAGUAGACCGUUGCUCCGACUGUGACAUGUUGAUAGUGAUUCCUUCAUCUGUAUAACACUCAACCCACAUUGACUUGAUUUUGGAAUUAGAUAUCUGUGAUCUAAACUGUUAUUGCAUGGUUUGACCAAGGAGCUAGAUUUAUUGUAAAAAAUAAACUAUCAUAGAAAAUCUGCAACAGUACGAGAAAUUUGUAAUGGAUAUUUUAGGUAGAGCAUCUUCAAUCAUUAUUAUUAUUUUCUAAUUUUAACAAAAAAAUUACUAGAGAAUUAGUUUAGAAAAUACUUUAAUAUUAACUAAAAAAGUAAAAGAAAUUAAAAGGGAGAAAAGGAGAAAAAAUUGGUUGUAAGGUCAUCUCCAACGGAAAUGUUAAAUAUAACUCCAUCCAAAAUUAUAGUCUUGUAAAAAAUUAUUUUUAAAUGAACAAUAUUAGGUCAUAUUCAUAUACCAUCUCCAAUUGAAAGAGCUAAACAUAGUCCCUCAAUAACUUAUUAGUUUUAAGUUUAUACUUUAAAUUUAUUGGCUACAUUUUGAUGUGUCAAAUCUAGCCGUUGAAUUUAAAUUAAAUGUUGCAACUAAGGAGUUGGGCCCCCAAAAAGAGGCUAAGAGCCUGAUGCUUUUUUGGCCAAAUAAUGACAUUGUGGGCUGCAUAUAAUUACAUAAUCAUCAGUUGAAGGUGAAUUUUUGGACAAAUUAAGCUUUUUUUUUACUUUUGAAUCUUUAGUCCUCUCCAUUGAAAAUGACCUAAGAAGCUAAAAAGAAGAAGACGGCAUAUGUAACACAAAAACUAAACUCCUUGGAACAGAUAAACCCCAUAUUACAAAAAAUAUAAAAAGAUCCAAUGAAAUAAAAGAUAAACGUAAUUUUUAACUAUCUUAAUAUGAUAGCACUUGACCUCUCAUAGCAAAUUUUAUGACUAGUACAACACUUGAACGACUUGCAUAGAGAAUAUAGUUGUAUUCAGUCAGUUUCGGAAAGGAUUAGCAGGUACGGGUAGAUUGUCACCCUCUCCUUCUAACAUUUGAAUAACAACUUUCAUGGAAGGGCGAUCUAUUGGGUGCCAUUGGACGCACCAUAGACCCACAAUAGCUAGCUUCUUUGCAGUUUCAGCAUCUCCUCCGUCCUCAAUGUGAAUCCGUAGGUCGUCCCCUUGUUCUAAAAGGUUAUAAAUCCAUUCUGGGAAGUAGACUUCGCUGCUGGUGGAGUCCUCUUCCAUGAACUUAAAGUUUUUUCUUCCCCCGACCAUUUCCAGCAGCAACAUUCCAAAGCUAUAGACAUCUGACUUGUAGGACACGUUUCCAAAGUUCCUAGAAAACACUUCGGGCGCAAUGUAGCCAAUGGUCCCUCUGAUGGUAGUCAUGGAUACUGCGCUUUGAUCUCUAGAGCACAACUUGGCGAGACCAAAAUCGGAAACUUUUGGGGUGAAAUUCUGGUCUAGCAAAAUGUUGUGUGGUUUGAUAUCGAAAUGGAGGAUUCGGAGGUCACACCCUUGAUGAAGAUAUUCAAUUCCUUUGGCUAUACCUAAAGCAAUCUCAUGCAACUUAUCCCAACCAAGGAAAGCGCUUUUACUAUCUGCUGAUGAUAAGAUAUUCUGUAGUGAACCAUGUGGUAGAUAUUCAUACACAAGAGCUGUUGUGUACCCAUCAGCACAAAAACCAACCAAGCGAACCACAUUGACAUGGUGGACUCGACCCAUUGUUCCGACUUCAUUUAUAAAAUCUUCUCCUUUUUCAUUAGAAUUGUUGAGGAUUUUCACAGCUACAAGUAAGUCGGAGGAAAGCUGUCCUUUGUACACUGUUCCAUAGGCUCCUUGACCUAACUUUUCAUUGAAUUGAUUUGUUAUCCUUUUAAUAUCAGCGUAGGAAUAUCUACUUGGCUUGUGUGCUAUGUAAUCGUCCAAAAAUCUUUCAAUCCUCAACUGAUUUGUUUUCUCUAUUUUGUUGGAGCUAUAAACACGGUAAAUGAGAGUCCCCACGACUGUUACAACCACAGAAAAUGUGAAAAUACCUGCGGAUACAGAAGAAACUCUGCGUUAAGAACCAACCCAUUUCUAAAUUAAAUUAAAAUAAAUCACAAUUGCCUCCAACUGAUAAAGCCCCCAGAAAUCAGAACUGAAUUUAUAUUAAUACUUAUACAUAUAUAGGGUACUUUUGUGCGGAAUUUAACGUGUCUUUUAUCGGGAUGCUGGCACUGAGUUUUGAACUCAUAAGGUUUUCUUGUACCUUAAAAGAAGAACCCUUUCAAGGAUGGGAUCCAAAACUUGAAAAACAAAUGAUGAAAAUUGGUGCCCAUUGAAGCAAGUUCCGACUAGGACCCUAAAAUAUAACAUACUGGCAUGAGUUUCAAUAAUCCAAACCGUCUUGGAUUUAGCUCUCCAUCUAAGAUUUAUGAUUAUGGAUCACACAAGUGUGCAAAAAUUAACCUAACUAUUAGCAGUUCAAAACUUCAAAUUCAAUCUUGUAAAAAUAGUGCUUAUGUGAACAACUUACCAGAUAUCUCUAAGCUUGUCCUUCCACGGGUACUAUCUGUAAAAGCAGGUUAAUUAAGUCAAUAAUUAGUACUUUUGUUAUCAAAAGAAUAAAAUACUUGAAGAAUUGUUUGCAUAAAUCUUUGUUUUCAUUUAAUAUAAAAAGUUCGAAUAUAUUCUUUGAGUCCAAAUUUGUUGUAUAUAUUAUCUGCACAAACUAGCUAAUUAAAACCUUGUCAAUGUGAAAAGGAGGGAAAUAUUUGCCGGCAAAGUACUGCAACAAGUCAAGUUAAAUGGGAGAUUAAAGGAUACCUUCGCUCACGCAUUCAGUUUCUGCAGUCUGAUUAUCUGUGAAAUUAUAUUGACCAAUAGUUCUUUUCAGUCUGCAAGUCUUGCCCAUCUCUUCGCAACGUCCACAUGAUGGUUUGGACCACUGCAGCAUCAUAAGGUUGAAUGCUCCCACUGAUGAAAUUUGUGGAAUUGAUUUGUAAUCACGCAGCUUGGUACAAGACACUAGGUUCAUGUCAUCAAUGGAACACUGGCCGUCGACAGCAUAGUAGUUAGUUUGGUUUUCAGGAUUGUCAACGCCGUAAGGGCACAGUUCAAUACGACAAUAUACGUCCGUUUCAAGUAAUGGUGACGGACAACUGAAUAAAGUAUAAUUAGUAUUAAACGGUCCAUGCACAAAUUGAAAGGUCGAGGAAGAUAAGUUGAAUUUGAAAAUAUCUUUCGGCAGGCAAUCAUUUUGGAAAUAUACUCCGAUUUCUUGAGAUGCGUAGUUAAUCGUUUCAACGAUGAGCUUGUUAGAUGAGGAUGGCAUCUCAAGCACGGUUCGGCCGUCGGUGGUGCAUGAUAGAUCAAAGCCAUGGUAACCGCACGAGAAUGGCUGUCCUUUAAGUCGAAAUGGGAAUCGGAUGGCUGGACCGUGGUGUUCACAGUAACUUACUUGCAGUUUUCAGGGACUACUCUGUCGCCAUACACUGUGCUUACAAAUCCAGCAUCUGCUAUCAUGAGAAACCAGCACAAGAAAUUGAUCAGAAGCAUUCUACCCGAUGAGAAUAUUGAUUGUAGAAGUUUGGUAUCUAGGUAAUUCAUAUAUAUGAUUGUAUAUAAGAUAUGGGAUUGCAGAAGUCCCCUAUGUUUUGGGUAAUAAAUAAUAAUCUCUUUUUAUAUUCACCCCUUCGUUCCAUUUCCUACCCCCAAAAACGGUUUUCUAAAUUUUUUGAAUCUUCCACCCAAUUUUGUUUUUAACUUCAAUUUGAAGGACUUGGUCGUGAUUUGCGUAUGGGUUAUUACCAUCGUUAUCAAAUAAAAACUUUUAGUCGCUUUUAUGCAACUGUUACUCGCCGUAACGUGAAACUGGAAUGCUGGAAACUGUUUCUUCCCCAGAUGGGCCAGAUCAACCCAUUAUUAUACAUGUUAUUCCGAGUUAGAUGAGCUGGGUUCUGUGGUCGUGUGGCUUCAAUAUUGGUCAUUCUACAUUGAGUAAUACUAGGUAGAUUAACACUUUAGUAAUAAUCCAAUUAUCAGCUUCCAUGUCAUUCAGUUUACAAAAUUUAUUCUAUAAAUUUAAUCUUCCUAACAUUACCCUUCUAGAAUUUGGAGUUGUCAAUAUAGUUUGGUUGUGCAAAUUUGUUCUCUUUAGUUUAGCCUUGGUUGUUGUUGUUGUUGGAAUUAGUAUUGAUGAGACUUGUGUUUUGCAUAAGUCUUUAAUGUAUUCUUAAAGUUUUUGCGAUAACUAUGGUUGUUGUGUUGAAAAACUAUUUAUUAAAGUUUUUUUUUUCAUUCAAUAAAAGAAAGGUAAGUGAUUUUUACACACGAUUUUUCUUCUCCUACGUACACAUGUAUAUGUACAUUUCUGGCCUUUAAAAAUUAAAAAAAAAGGCAGAAAAAGAAAAGAGUGUUAUGGGAAAAAAAAUUAUAUAUAUAUAUAUAUAUAAUUUUUUUUUUCUUUUUAACAAAGGGAAAGGAUAAUACUUGGAUCUUCCCAGGAAAGUACCUAAUUUACUGACCAUCUUACAUGGCCAAUAAAUUUAAAACACCUAGCAUUUUAACUCUCUUCUAAUAUUUUUCUAUCUCUGUCACCAAACACAUUUUGUACCUGAGAACCCACUCUUCUUCCCAUCUUCUUUCCUUGCCCAGCCCAACCCUUCACCUUCUCCGGCGACCAUCUCCAUGCCUAUCGGGAGUUUACUAAUUGGGCCACAAGUACCCACCGGGGAUAAUACUUAUUGGGCCACUUAAGAGUGAGUAAAUUGAAUAAUACUUGGGUCCUAACCUAUCAGGAUCAAGUGUACGGACCACUGACGUGGUCCAAUAAUAUAAAGAUAUCUGUAAUUUUAAAACGGGAUGUGCUAUUUAUACAUCAUUUUUUACUUUUUACAUACUUUUUAUUAAUUUUUAUCUAUUAAUCUUCUUCAAUUUAUCCGAUUCGACGAUUGAAAAUUAGAAAGAUAUGUGAGAAGUAAAAAAAGGUGUUUGGAUAUCACAACCCUUUUAAAACACCACUAUUCUAGUACCCAAACACCUUAAGUCCUAAACUCAUAACCCAUAACCCACCUCCAGAUUCCCUCCUCAGUCGUCAUCGACCGAUGCCCCACCUUUUCACCGCCUUCCCUCCCCAGCAUCUCUCUCUCAUCAGAGUCUGCCAUUCUUUUGAACUUCAAAGUUCCAAACCUCUUGUCUUCCACAACCUCCAAUUUCGAGGAUUUCCAUAACCCAAUUUUACCGAGCUCAGAUCUGGACGCCGGAGAGGGAUUGAAACUGACGUCGCCGGAGAAAAGAAGGAUUGGGAGUGGUCGGGAGUGAGACGGAGUGCGGGGGUUGCUGGAGAAAGAAGGGUUGAGGAAGAAGACUGGGUGAUUGGUUACAAAAAUAAGCAAGUGUUUGAUUGAGUUUCACUUGACAGGUGGAAUAAUUUUAUUGGACCACGUAAGUGGUCAGCUUGUCAGUAUUAUCCUAGUUUUACUCGUCUCGUGGGUUUGUCUUUGCUUCGUUUGUGAUAAAUAAUGGGCUCCAAGCGGCCAAUUUAUAUCUGAAUUCGCCCCUUUCUUGCCUUAAGCCAAAAACCCUUGCUCCCCAUUAAGCUUUUUUGCCCUCUUCCAUAAUUUUGAUACAUUUAUAUUCUCUUUUGCCAUGUGUAGAGGAAGUCUCUUACUAGUUGCAUAUGGAGCCCUUCUUCUACUCUUUCUUCUUCCCUUUAUUUGUUCCCAAACAUCGAUACCUGAAAAUAAUUCUGUUUGUACUCUUUCUUGUGGCAAUAUUAACAUAAGCUCUCCAUUUCGGUUAAAAGGAGACCCUCAACACUGCGGCAACCCUACGUAUGAGCUAACUUGUGAGGAAAAUGUUACAGUCCUCUACUUUUAUAACCGAAAGUUUUACGCCAAGGCGAUCAAUUACAAUAACUUUACAAUCCGAGUUGUGGAUGCUGCUGUUCAAAAGAAAGAUAACUACUACUCCAUCCCACGUUACUCUUUAACCUCAUCCAGCUUUGGUUAUUGGGAUCCUUACAGCACUUCUAGUCCGACUGACGUGGGGUUCAAAUAGUCCAGAGAUAAGUUACACGGCACGGCCUAUAAUUUUUAUGAACUGUCCAAAUCCAAUGCAUUCUCCUGGCCUUGUAGAAACAGCUCCAUGCGUCAAGGACGGCACCUGCUCUUCCAAUUCUUCUCUGUCCAAUGGUUUAAGAAUGUUUUCUUAUUCCAUCUCUGGCUGGAAUGGCUCUGUAACUUUUUUGGAUUUGGGGGUGUCCUGUGAAAUAACGCAGAUGCUUAUGGUCUCACUUUCGUUAUCCGUACAAGACAUGCAUCAACACUUGACGUCCUGUGAAGGCAUAUAUAGUGAAAUAGCGCAUGGCUUCGAGCUUUCAUGGUUUCACCAGGCUUGUAGCACCUCAAACUGCACAGAUGUGGAGGAAUGUGUGCUCAACAACGUGAGCAAAAUUGAGUGCUUUCGCUAUGAACCCAUAUAUGAACCCAGAAAAGGUAGUGUCUAUUAUUCCUCUUAUUCACAAGGCUAGAGUAACCAAAUUAAUUCAGCAAAUAAUUAGUCUUCAAUUACUGGGAGUCUGUCUGUCUAUGGAGAUUUAGGUUUUACAACUCCAGAAUAAAUUAUGUCAUAUAAAUAUUGACCAGAUGAAUGGGAGAGAAGCCUUUAUUUCUAUUAAGUACGUAUUCGAGGCUAAAUUUAUUGAGGAAGGAUCGCUACCUUUCUUUUUGUACUCUCUCUUUUUACCUUUUUACUUUAUUUUUAAGAUCUUACAUAUUACUUGAUAAUCAAAACUGUUUAUUUUGCAUACCACUAUAAACUAAUACUGCAAAAUACCCCAUUAAUCAGAAUUUAGAAAUCAUUUCACUGUUCGAUUAACGAUGUCAUGAUUUUUUGUUUAACUAAAGCACAUGGUUCACCUUUUAUUGAAUUCAUAUAUUGUUAUUUUUUCUAGUAAUAUUUAGAAAAUAGGCAGUUUGGAAUAUCAAGUAAUAUUGUAAGAUCUUACAAAAAAGUAGAAGGUAAUAAGUGAAAGUACAAAACAGAAAGGUAGCUAGCAUUCUCCUAUGAUAUUAAUUUUCACCUUUUUUUUUCUCUUAAUGGUAAAUAAUAUAUGAUCCUUUAGAGGAAAAAUAAUAUAUAUGAUCCUUAAUGAUAAUUCUUCUUCUUUUGCAAUGCAGAACAUUGGUACAUCAAGAUACUAUGGGCACUAGGCAAGUGGUUUACUCUCUAACGCAGCUUCUAUAUAAUACAUGUGUAGUUAGUUUCUUUAUUUGUGGUCACCUUGAUAUUUAUUAAACUUAAAUUACAUUUGGAAACUAUGAUCGAUAUUCAUCACUUUGCUGCAGAAUUGGUUUUGUACCAGAUGUAUUUGUUCAUCCGCUAUGGACGGUUUAUCCCUAGCGACGUGAUGAGUCAUAAGGCCCUUUACGUGUGUCCGAUAACUGUGGCCUCUCUCCUAGGUAGUGUGAACUACUCGUACUCAGCUAUCAUGCAACUUUUUCUAGCUUCAGAUACUCAUCAUUAAAAAAUGAAUGUUUGAUGAUCACUUUGUCUUUGUUUUCAUUCUUAUUAUUAUGUUUUAGUUAAAGGUUGCAGGGGAAUAUGGAAGAAUAUAUAUGAGAAAGAUGUGAAAAGGACAGGGAGGAUCGAGGUGGAUAGAGAAAUUGUUAGUCUUUGAAACAAUCUCAAAGAGUUUUCCAAUAAUUUUUUGUUUCAUAAAUUCUCCAUUUCUCCAUCAUCCCCCACCCCCAUCCCCAUAUCUUCUUUCUACAAUUUCCCCUCGCCUUUUUUCCUCUCUCUUUUUAGAUUAAAAAUUAAAACUAAAGGAUUUCCAAACAGUUGCUUAAUUAAUGAAAAAUAUUGUUGCACUAAAGGAACAAGUUUGAUGAUAUUACAGCAAUCAAUCUAUUUGGUGACUCCAAUGUUUUUGAAACGUGCAGGACUGUUCCAAGUAGUCAAAUUUUUAUUUGGCUUUCCCUGUUUAAUUGCAUUAAUAAUAUACAAAUGCAAAAGGAGGCACUUGUCCAUGUAUGAAAAUAUAGAAGACUUUCUGCAGAAUAAUCAGCUCAUGCCAGUAAGGUACUCUUACUCGGACAUAAGAAAGAUGGCCAGAGGUUUUAAGGACAAGUUAGGGGAAGGUGGCUUUGGUUCUGUGUACAAGGCAAAGCUUCGCAGUGGCCGUCUUGUUGCCAUCAAGAUGUUGGGCAAGUCGAAAGCCAACGGGCAGGAUUUUAUCAAUGAAGUUGCUACCAUCGGAAGGAUUCACCAUGUUAACGUGGUCCAACUUAUUGGUUUUUGUGUGGAGGGUUCAAAACGUGCUCUUUUAUAUGACUUCAUGCCUAAUGGGUCUCUUGAUAAGCACAUAUUUUCUCAACAAGGAGUUAUCUCCUUAAGUUGCGAGAAAAUGUCUGAAAUCUCACUUGGAGUGGCUCGUGGUAUUGAAUAUUUGCAUCGAGGAUGUGACAUGCAAAUUUUGCACUUCGACAUCAAGCCUCACAACAUUCUUCUCGACGAGAACUUUCUUCCGAAGGUUUCAGAUUUUGGGUUAGCAAGGCUAUGCCCAUUAGAUAAUAGCAUUGUGUCUUUGACUGCAGCGAGAGGAACCCCCGGAUACAUAGCUCCAGAGUUAUUCUACAAAAACAUUGGAGGUGUUUCAUACAAAGCUGAUAUCUAUAGUUUUGGGAUGCUACUGAUGGAAAUGGCUGGAAAAAGAAAGAACUUAAACGUAAAUAUAGAACACUUGAGCCAAAUAUACUUUCCGACAUGGGUUUUCGACCAGCUGAGUGGAGGAAAUGACCUUACAAUCGGAGAUGCUACAGAGGAGGAAAAGAAAAUCAUUAAGAAGAUGAUUAUUGUGGCGUUGUGGUGCAUACAAAUGAAGCCUAGCGACCGUCCUUCUAUGAAUAAAGUAGUAGAGAUGCUUGAAGGAGAAAUUGAGAGCCUUCAAAUGCCUCCAAAGCCUUUCUUAUACCGACAACAAAUGCCAGAGGUGGUUACUGGCGACAGUUCAAGUACCGCAUAAGCUGCAUCGACAACGACAACAUCCACGGAAAUUGUUUUGAUUGCAGAUGAAAAUUCAGAGAAUUAAUAUAGCUAGUAGCAAUGUUGAUGUGCAAAGGAACGUGUAGUGUACCCAAUAAGCACAAAUAGACUACUUGUAUUCAAUGGCAUUGAUUGCUUUCUAGUUUUCAGUUUUUAGCUUUGGUACGUACAAGGAUUAGUUUAUGCACAAAUUGUCUCUCGAUUAGUAUGGAAAAGCUUUAGAUAUAUAAUUUGUGUAUGAGCAAAGUUCGAUAUCUAUAUAUUAUGUUGAAGAAUGCAAUCCUACAUAAGAAACUAAACAAAUUGCACAGCUUAUAUCGAAUGGUUCCAAUUCCAGUUGCAUAUGAGAAGCUUUAAGAGGAGAAGGUACCUGAUCAAGGCGUGGCUAUCUUUGAUUAUUUUCUCAGGAUGUGCAUUUGAAUUCAAAUUAACUUAGAAAGGUAGAACUAAUAUUUAUUCUUCAUACAAAGACUAAAGCAUAUUGCCUUCCAUAUGCGACCCAAUUAAUAUUUAUUGCAAUCAGUAGGCUUAAAAGAGAGUCUCUUUCGUUUGUGCCAUGUUGCCAAAGACAGCGAUUUCUCAACGAAUGGGUCUGAAAGCUAAGCAAACUACAUCCAUUGACACUCUUAAGAAAGUGUUGAAAGCUUGUAACUUCACAUCUGCACCAGUGAAAUCCGCAGUGAUUACCGGAGCUUUGAUAGUCGAUUAGGUCUUGUAGCUGAGGCUUAGGAAGCGUUCAGGGUCAGUCAGACGUCUUAAUCUUAUGGACUCACCGUCAAUUCCAGCUUAUUGUAUAAGUCCUCUGGCAACAAUGUCAGCGUAGUCCAUGAAUCAACGAUAAUAUUGCCCUUUGCUGGAGCCAAUGAAGGGUUCAGUGAACUGUUAUAUUGCAAUCUCUUACGCCCAACGCUCAUUGCUUCAAGCCUUAGAUACUAUAAAGAUUUUGAGCCUCCAGAAAGUAAUGGGGUAGAAACCGCUGUGGUGCCGGAAACCACAGCUUCAAUGCCGAAGCUCAUUGUGCUUGAUGAGUUGAAUCCUGAAAAAGCAUGCACAAGGCAGGAGGAAAAUUUCGCAUCGAUUGAAGAACUCAUCUGAGAGAUGAGGGACACCGGUCCACGUCCAAGCCCAAUCAUGCCUGAUCCAUUUCUGUUAAAGAGGCCUCCAUUGUCUUGUCCACAACCAAACAUCAUUUGUGGGAAUGAAACUGGUUGCCCAGCAGUGGAGUUAAAUGUGACACUUUCUGUGGCUACAACUCACUUGCUGUAGGAUCUGUCCCCGUAAGAAACUGUGUAAUUACAAACUCCAUCUGUGUCGGGAGGAGAAGAGGUUCCGGUCACGAAUUUGCAUUGGCUUGAGUUACGAAGAACUUCUGCAUACGUUUUCAAAUUCUUUGGAUCAAAGAUUGGCGCAUUCUGCUUGUAACAAUGCAGGGCAUACAUUGCGUCCAUGUAAGAUCACUACCUGUAUCUGCAACGCCUAAGAUUUCAAGAGGAGGUGUACCUACUGAUAUUUUCAGGUUUCAACCCCUUAGAAGAAGACAUAAAGAGUUUUUUAACUGAAAAGCUUCUUCGAGAAGCCCUUCACGACAAUAUGCAUUGAUUAGUGUAUUAUAUGUCACAAUAUCUGAAAGCACCCCCUUCUCUUCCAUAUCUGAUAAGAAGAAUUUAACGCUAUCAAUUUAGCGAGCUUUGCAUAAGGCAUUGACCAUUAUAUUUAGCGCUGGUUUGGUAUUGCUGUGCUUUGAAAAAAAAGUUGUUGUGAGAAUAAGCGGCUGUGCUAUGAGAAUAAGUAGCUGUGAAAUAAAUCAGCAGAGUGUUUGGUAAACUUUUUUGUAAAAGUGCUUUUGGAAAAGAAAAAAAACCAAUCUGACCGUGGGUCUUUUCAUUAAAGGAGCACUGUAGCUCUGUGUGCUUUGAAAAAAAACCAGUUUUCCAAAGCUACAAAUAGCAGCUUUAGCUUUUUCCUUUGAUUUCAGCUUAUUCUCACAGCAGCUUCUAAAAUAAGCCAUUUUUUUUCAGUUUACCAAACACCUAAAACCCUCACAGCUUUUUUUCAUGGGUGCUUUUUUUUUAAGCACCUCACUCCCAAACCACCCCUUAGUGUAUAAAUAUUUAACUGAAUCCCACUGCUAACAACUUCCCCAUAUACGACCCAUGCCAAAUCAAUCCACCCGACCUUCACAAGCCCACCAAGAAGACUAUUGCAAGCAUUUAUCGAAACACAAACUCCCUAGCUUCUAAACACCUGAAACGCCUCAAAUCCUUCUCUCAAUUUCUUAGCCUGCACAUAAGUUCUAACAAACAGAUCAAAGACCAAAGAACUUGAGCUGCAACUGCUAUAAGUUGAAACCAAAGAGUCUGCUACUUCAACACGCAAAAUGCCACUCUUUCUAACCAUUCUAAGAAUCAGAGCUUGUGCAUCCGACACUGUUCAACUACGCACCAACAUGUGAAUCAUUGCACUCAAAGACAGUGAUGAAUGCUUAAAAUCAGGACUAUUUAACAGAAUCAAAUCAAUAAACUUCAGACCCAGUUGCAAAUUUUCACGGCAGCAAGAAAGAACAACAACAAUAAGAGACGGGUUUAACCGAAACAGAAAGCUGCGCAAAGAGGUGAGGUUACCUUGCUUCAGACCUAAUAAAAUCUUUUCCACCAAAAGAGAAUCUGAUAAAGAAGCUGAUGAAAACAGUUCUUGGCUUGUACUACUACAGGGUUCUUGUGAUUGCAUACUUUUAAGACCAAGUUCCAGGUCAUUUGAUGGACAAUAUGCUAAACAAUGAGGUCUAUGAGAGUGAAAGAGUGAGUGUUUGUUGGUUUUGAUCAGGUUGUGCGGGUUCUCGGACCUACAUUUCUCAAAAUUAGUCAAUGGGUUCGCAUGUUUGAAACUAGUUACAGCCAUUGAGGAAUGAAUUCAGAAUUCAAAAAGAUGUGGGAUGCUUCGGGGCUGAAAGGGCCUGUCUACUGAUUUAAAGUUCAUUCCAGUUUGGCUUGGUUAGGUCCCAAACCAAGAACCAGUACCAAACAGUUGGUAGGCCAUAGAGUUGAACCGGAAACUGAGAACCGAAAACUUGGACCUGCAAUAGACUGACCGUAUACUGAAAUUUUAAGUGUGGUCUGGUCUCAUUGAAUUAUAUCCUCAUUUGUAGCAGGUUGAUCCUGAAAAAAGUAAAUAGCAUUCAUCAACAUUAAAAAACAGAGGAAAAUGAGAACAGCAGUUCAACAGACAUUGGAUUGCAACGAGAAUCUCCCCAAAUGGGCAGAACGAUUCGAACAGACGAUUAAUUCAUUACAAAAAUGAUCAUCCAGAUUAAAAAAACGUUAUAGGUACGAUUAUUUAAUCCAAAUUUCCAUGCUUGUUCCUAAAUUCUAAGAUAUUUUAUCAAAAAUUACACUAACGGCACAUAGUUAGUUGCAAGAUAUUUCAGCCAAAUCUUGUUCCUGAGAUUUUAAGAAUCACGGAAAGUAGAAGAAAAAAAAUUAUGAAAUCUGAAGUUUACCUCAGUGAUCGGGCGGACCAACACCAACGGCGGCGACAGGAAGUGAGAGCAGCGAACGAUGGGCUAUCAGGGAGUGGAUGACGACUCCAAGAGUUCGAGCUUCAAUAGAAACCUUCAAUGGAAGAAGAGCAGGAUGAGUUCAGAUGAGAGGUUGAGAGGAACAGGAGGAUUCUGGUGGUUGUAACGUUGAGAGAGAGAGAGAGAGGCAGUAGGCGGGAGAGGAUUCAGAGAGAGAAAGCGGUCCACGUAGAAGGUUUAGUAGGCAGUUCAUCUCCAAACAUGUGUUAUGGCAAAACCCCGUCCAGAAUGAUCUCUCCGUCCCAAUCUCUCUCUCCUCUCUACUACUGACCAGUUACGUUAAAUUAUGUCAAUAUCUUAUAUUGAUUUUUUAAAAGAGAUAAUAAAACAAAAAUAACAUCUGAAAUGAGAAGAGGGAAGAGAAUGAGAAUAGGAGGGCAAGAAAUCUUACUCUUAGAAUUAUAGCCAUGCUUAACCAUCUCCCACCAAACCGAACCAUUAAUAACUAUUAAUUUAAAGUUUAUACUUUAAAUUUAUUAGUUAGUAUAAUUAAAUUAGGGGUGUGAUAUUCACACACCCAUUUUUACUUCUUCCACACUUUUUUGGUUUUCGGCCGUCAGAUUGAAUGAAUUGAAGAAGAUCAACAGACAUAAAUUAACAAAGGGUGUGUGAGAAGUAAAAUGAGACGUGUGGAUAGCACACCCCUUAAAUUAUCGUUGGAUGAUUUCAAAUCUAAUGGUUGAAAUUGAAUCCAUUAUUACAACCGAAGAGUUGGCCCUACAAAAAGGACUAGGAGGGGGCUACAUAUGGCAAGCUUGAUGCUUCUUUGACCAAAAAAUAGCUUAGUAGGUUCCAUAGAGUUAUAGCUCAAUCAUAUGUUGGAGAUGUGUUUUUAGGCAAUUCAAGUCUUUCUUGGUUUUUUAAACCUUUUAGCAUUCUCCAUUGGAAAUAGCCUUAAAAACGAACACAGGGUAACUUAAACCUACAGAUAAAGGUUAACCGGUAACAUAUGGGCAGAUGUGCAAUCCUAAGCUAUCAGCUUAAACUUUCGGUAUUAAGCUAUCAACUUAAAUAAUUAUUUUUUUUACAAGGAAACAAAUACGAAUUUAUAUGACCAAAAAGAAUAAGAAGAGAGAAGAUAGUUUCACGUCAUUCAAAUCUCUUUUAUCUACAAAACUUAAUCGCCUCAUCGAAUAUCUAACCCAGCAAAUCCAAUUGUAUAAACUUUAAUAACUUUACUCAUCCAAUUUCAUCCAAUCUUUUUGAAAUUGAUACCAGGUGGAUUCAACUGUACUUCAAAAUCUAUAUGUGUAUUUCUCUAACUAGUCAGCAACACCAGUUAACUAAGAUCAAAUGAUUAGAUUAACAAUAGUGGAAGCAAUCAAUUUAAACCCUUGAAAAACUGAAGAAAUCUCAGCUAACUUAGAUCUACUUUAGUACAAAUUCAAAUGUUGAUUAUCUUAGUUGCAAGGAUAGGUUAUGAUGAUCACAUAUCAUAUAGAAUUAUUGAAGUAUAAAGCCAAUAAACACAAUAAUCAACACAAGACGUUUUUGACCAGAAAAAACCCACCUCUAGGUUAAAAAACCGGGGGCUUAACAUUGAGUCCAAUCCACUAGUGUAAACAAAGGUUCAUACAAAGACCACACAAGCUCAAUUCUAGAUCCCUAUCUAUGGAGCAGCUUUACCUUUGUGCAACAUUAGCUUACACGAGAUGAAUUCAUAUGAUCUUCACGAAGUGGCAUCUCCUCCUGAGCUCAUCACCUUGUGGCACCGAUAACCAACACGAUCAAUGCAAAUGAUAUGAUGAUGAUGGAUUUAAACACCAGUCAAAUUCUCCAAUCAACAUUUAAAGGAAUAUCCGACUAUAAUCUCAACUUGAUCUAAUUGAGAAAUCAAUACACAAACUAGAUCAAGAACACAACACAAAUUGAAAAGACUAAUGCAACCUAGAUGCACAAUGAUCUUGAGAUAAAAUGCAUAAGAACAAUUUUGUAGUUAGGCAACUAGAUGAGAAGGCACAAAGCUCAAACUCAAUUUUUUAAGAUAGUGAAAUGUUUUAGCCAAAGAGACAAGGAAGGCAACUAAGGGUUUAACAUGGGAGAUACCAAAUUUUUUGUCCAAACAAGGACAAAAGACACUUGUCAAUGCAUAGCUCAAUCUAAGCAAAUCUAAGGCUGAGAUUUCAACCUAGAGCAAAGAUUUCAGAAAGCCCAUGUGAGCUGACUUAAAAAGCGUGUCCAGACAACUGGACAUCAGUGACUUUUUGACUGGACAACAAAACUAGAUAGAAGGAACUCAGGUUAAUGCAUGGAAUGUAUAUGAAUGAUCAAACCUUUAGUGAAGAUAAAUUGUCUUCGAUCAAAGCCUUCAGAUAUAAUAUCCAACAAGAUGAACCCAUACUAGAGUUGUAAAAAACAGAGACAAUCUAAGAGUAUGUGAGGUAGUAUUUACAACUUUUGACAAGGAAAACCAAAUAGCUUAAAACUAGACUUCACACUUUUCUCAAUGAUAUUCAAACACCGUUAGUUACAGAGCACCAAAAUAUUUGAGAUUAUGUGGUUUUGAAAAUUGGGAUAUUUAAAACAUGUCUCUCUCUAUUUUUCAUAUACGAAAAGGAAAAAACAAAAAAAUAUAAAGGAGAAAAGGGGAGUGAAUGAUUAAGAGAGAUGAAGAGACGAAUGGGACGGCAAGGGAAGAAGACGAAAGAUUUCACGUGGGAAUUUUUUUAAUUUAAUCUCUUUGCAGAAUUAUUGUGUUUUGAUGUAACAAAGAUUGUUUAAGUUGAUAGCUUAAUCUACCAUAAUAUUAUCUGAGAGCUCAAAUACAAAAGAACAUCAUCGGUCCUUAAAAUGAGGACCUAGCAAUUUUGAACAUAUGGGUAUUUUGUUAUCUUGUGAUGUGAAAUCUCAAACCACUUAGGACACGUUUUACAUAUCUGGAAUCAGAAUAUAAAUGAAUGGAAAGAUGAAUUUUCAUUUUUUUUAUACAACGUUAUAUUUACAUACUAGGAUGAGGGUAUGAACAUGGAAACUCCUGAAAUUCAAUGACAGAAGAAUUACACAAGUGAACAGGGUUGCAAUCUAUGGGAUACAUUCUUUACAAGAAUUAAUCAUCUAAUGUGAUAUGCAAAAGUGUCAAAAAAGACCAAAAUAUGUUGCUUGAUCCAUGGCCGUAGAACCUUAAUAUUGAUUGAACGGAUGUCACAAUUUUUGUAGUGGUAUGUAGUGUUUGAUUUUAUUGGUAAGGAAUUGGCUCGUAUGAGUUAUGGUAGAUAAUUCUCACAAGUACGAUGAAGAAUUUAGGAAAAUCUUUCUAAAUUUGUGGUGUGGCUGGAGGAAUUUGAAGAAACUGAAUUUUGGAGAUUGCAAUGUAUUUGGUAUAACAACUCUUGUUUUCAUUGGGGAAUAUUUCUCUAACUCAAUAAUUGAAAUUUCUUAUUGAGUUUUCUUUUUCUCUUUGUGUUGAUAUUCUAGACCUGGAAAUUUCUUACACGACAUGUUAACUCGACCGAAAAUAAUACGAAAAUAACGAGUUUCAAGUUAACACAUUAACUAAUUGAGUCGUUAUUGGGUCAAACAUUAAGAACCCAUUGGUUUACCUGCGGAUUGUAGAAACUCAUGAUUCUUUGAGAGAACAAUUAGAGAUAGAGAGAGAAAGAAUUUUAGAGAGAGAGAGGAUUGAAUAGAAUGAUUUUCAUUAUACUCAGAAUAUGUACAAUACAAUAUAUAUAGAUACAACCACCUACUCUACCAACUAUAUCUUAACAGAUAAGAAAUCUUUUUAAUCAGAUAUAGGCUUAGUUGGUGGUCCUAUUGUAUCCUUAACACACCCCCUCAAGCUAAAGUUAGGGGGUCUAACUGAAAGCUUGGAAGUAAGCUCGGCAAAACGAGGAGCAGGCAAGGAUUUGGUGAAAAUAUCUGCCAGUUGAAGAAGAGAUGUAACAUGAUUAACACUAACUGUGCCACUGAGAACCUUUUCCCGAAUAUAAUGGUAGUCGAUUUCAACAUGUUUUGUCCGAGCAUGAAAGACCGGAUUGAAGGCCAAGGCAAUUGCACUCUUGUUAUCAUAGAAAAUCGCAGGCGUUUGGAGAAUAGGAAAGGAGAUAUCAUGCAGAAUCUUACUGACCCAACUGAGUUCAGCAGCUGUAUGGGCCAGAGACCUGUACUCAGCUUCAGUAGACGAGCGGGCAACAGUGCAUUGCUUCUUGGCACUCCAAGAGAUGAGAUUAGGGCCAAGAAAAACACAAUAGCCACUUGUGGAUCGUCUAUCAAUAGGACAGCUUGCCCAGUCCGCAUCAGACCACGCAGUAAGGCUUUGACAACCUUUAGUAAAACACAAACUAGAAUCAAGAGUACCCUUCAAAUAACGAAGGAUUCGUUUGACUGCUUGCAAAUGAAUGGUCCGAGGAGAAUGCAUAUACUGACAGACUUGGUUAACAGCGAAAGCCAAAUCGGGUCGUGUCCAUGUGAGAUACUGCAAGGCCCCAACAAUUGAUCUAUAAAAUGUAGGAUUAGAAAGUAAAGUACCAGAGUGAUCCAGUUUGGCAGAUGCAACAGGAGUGGAGCAAGGUUUAACACCAACCAUAUCAGUCUUCUUUAACAAGUCAAGAGCAUAUUUAGACUGGUGAAGAAAAAAUCCUGUAGCAGAUCGGUGCACCUCAAUUCCCAAAAAGUAGUGAAGAUCACCCAAAUCCUUGACAGGAAACAUAGUUUAUAACUGAGAAAUGAUGGAAGUGCAGACAGAGGUAGAGCUCCCGGUGAUGAUAAUGUCGUCAACAUAGACUAAGAUGAAGGUGAUGGUAGAAUCCUUUUUGAUAAACAAGCUGGUAUCAGAGGAAGAAGCCAAGAAUCCCAAGGACAAAAUAGCUUUGUAAAAGGCUUCAUACCAGGCCCGAGGGGCUUGUUUUAAACCAUAGAGAGAACGCUUGAGUUUACACACAUGUUGAGGGUGGUUGGAGUCAACAAAACCAGGGGGCUGGAUCAUGUAGACAUCCUCUUUUAAAGUACCAUGCAAGAAUGCAUUACUGACAUCAAGCUGAUGAAUGAACCAGUCAUAGGAAACUGCAAUGGACAAUAAAAUUCGAAUGGUAGUUGGUUUAGCAACUGGACUGAAGGUCUCAGUAAAAUCAAGGCCUUCUUGUUGAUGGAACCCUUUAGCCAUCAGCCGAGCCUUAUACCGUUCUAUCGAACCAUCUAGUCUAUGCUUGACUUUAAAAACCCAUUUGCAACCGACUAAAUUCAAGUCAGGCUGAAAAGGAACUAGAUCCCAAGUCUCAGUAUUCUGCAAGGCUUGAAACUCAGCCUCCAUGGCAGCCAGCCAGUGCGGAUGCUUGGAAGCUUGUAAAAAUAUGGUAGGGGUUGGAGGAAGACAAGUAAUGGAAUCAACAGAAGCAGGAAUAGAGUGUUUAGUUGCAGUGAAAACCUUCGGCUUGUGAAUUCCAGCUUUAGCCCUUGUAAUCAUAGGAUGAAGAUUAGGAGGAGUAGGUGUGGGAGUAGGGGAGGAACCCGCUGGUAUAGGGCAGGGAAUAAGAGAGGAAGAAGCAGCAGAGGGUGAAGAGGCUGAAGGUUGUAAAACACUAUCGGGAUGAGCCAACUGAACUGCACUUGGGGAAGAAGAAACAGGAAUAUUCAGAGGUAUAGGGGCAGGAACUGUACUUGUAGGAGAAGCAUCAGAAGAUAGAGGAGAACCUGAGAACAUCCCAGUCUUGAACGGAAAUAAGUGUUCAUCAAAUGUAACAUGCCGAGAGACAUACAGCUUAUUAGCCACAGGAUCAAAGCAUCUGUAACCACUAUGAUGAAGACUAUACCCCAAAAAUACACACAGUUUACUCUUGGUAUCCAGUUUAUGCGAUGAGUAGGGCUGCAACCAAGGAUAGCAAGCACAACCAAAAGCCUUCAAAUUAUGAUACUUAGGAGGCGCUUGGAAUAGUUUCUCCCAAGGACUAACGGAAGAAGAUUGAGGUGGCAGGCGGUUGAUGAGGUACACAGCAGUUUGAAAAGCUUCUACCCAGAAUUUUGGUUCCAAACCACUCUGAAAAAGAAGAGUCCUGCCCAUUUCGACAACAUGGCGAUGUUUCCUUUCGGCACACCCAUUUUGUUCAGGAGUAUGAGGGCAACUUAAUUGAUGUGUGAUCCCUUGUGCAUUAAGAAACCCCUGAAAUUCCUUGCUUAAAAAUUCACCACCAGAAUCAGACCGUAAACAUUGUAUUUUACAAUCGAAAAAGGUUUGAACUUUGUGUACAAAAGUCUUGAAGACAGAGCAAACAUCAGACUUAUAUAACAAUGGAUAUAACCAGCUGUAUUUCGUGUAAUCAUCUACUACAAUGAGAUAGUAUUUAUAACCAGUACAGGAGGAAGUGGGAGAAGGACCCCAAACAUCAGUAUGAAGUAAAUGAAAUGGCCUAUUUGUAGUACACGGCAAAAUGGAAAAGGGAAGUUUAGAGGCCUUCCCCAACUUACAAGCAGUACAAACAGAAUCUGUGUUAACAGAACCAAUCACAGGCAGCUGGUGUUUAUUCACAACAUUAUGAAAAACUAGACUCGAUGGAUGACCUAGGCGUUGAUGCCAGACAUAAGCAUCCACUUUAGUAAUCAUCAAUGCAUGAGGAGAGAGAGCAAUGCCUGAGAUUCCAUUGGAUGCAUCCCAGUAGAAAGGAUAUAAGCCACCUUCACAGGGGCCCUGGAAGAGCAUCUUCCCAGUACUUAGGUCCUUGAUAUAGAACUCAAACGGAUCAAAAGUCAGAGAAGCCCAAUUAUCACAAACAAACUUGUAAACAGAUAACAAGUUAUGUGAAGCUUUGGGAACUAACAACACAUCAUUAAGUCGAAAUGUAGCAUUCAUAGUGCGAAUUAAAGCAGAUCCAGUGUGAGAGAUACACAGACCUUUACCAUUACCAACAAAGAGUUGAUCAUGGCCAGUGUAGGGAAUGGCAGAAUUGAGAGAAGCAGGAUCUGGAGUCACAUGAUGAAAAGCACCACUAUCAGUUUGCCAAUAGCUUGGUGGAGGAGAAGUAGCAGCGGUCAUACCAAGAGGAGGUCCAGGAUGAGAUCGUUGAGAGGCAAACUGAGAGAGCUUCUCACAAUUGAGAGCUUCAUGACUAGAUUUAAGGCAUAACUGACACUGAAAAAACCGGCCAGAGUAAGAGGUAUUAUUGUGCUGACCAAAUCCUGUAGAUCUUGAAUUUGGACCCGAGCCAAGAAGACCACUAGAGGUGUUAUGAGUAGGACGAUUGCCUCCAAACGUGCGAUUGUUAUGAUAGCAAUUACGAUUCUGAAAGCGACCUCAAGAAUUACCUCGGUAAGAGUUGACACCAGAAGAACCUUGUUGAGCCGUAUAGGCGUGAAAUGGUGCAGAUGAUGAAGAAGAGGCUUUGGUCUUUCGUUUCUGAAGAGAAAUUUCCUUACUAAGAAGUAAGCCAUGAAGUUCAUCAGUGUUGAUAACCUCAGUUCUUGUUUCAAUAGAGUCAACGAAGGAAUCAUACUCAUCAGAAAGACCAGAAAGGAUGUAGGCAACAAGAUCGGAUUCAGAAAUCGGAUCGCCAGCCGCUGCAAGUUUAUCAGAGAUCUCCUUGAGAGAGUUGAGGUAAUCCGUCAUCGAGGAGUCACCUUUCUAAAUUGUUUGGAUCUUCGAGUGUAAGCUGUGAAUAUAAGUGCGAGAAGCACCAGAAAAACGACGUUCAAGAGACUGCCAGAUAGACUUGGAAUCAUCCAUGCCAACCGUCAAAGGAAGGAGAUCUUUAGAUAAAGUCGAAUUGAUCCAAAUCAUCAAGAGUUGAUCGCGUUCACACCAAGUCUCAUACACCGGAUUAGGAAUUUAAGCGCCGGAAGAAUCAAGCACAAACGGAGAAGGACACACAUCAGUGCCAUUGACAAGCCCUAAAAGCUUGAAUCGCUUCAGAACAGGGAGGAAGAGACUACGCCAGGUGAUGUAAUUGUGACGAGUGAGUUUCGUCGCCACCAUACCAGUAAUGUUCUGAACGGUAAUCGAAGAGAGAGAUUGAGCUGACAGAUUUGGACCGUCGACAUGAGAACCAGAUGAAGCAGCCGGAGAAGAAGAGGUCGCAGCCAUCCAGAAGAGUAGAGAAGAAAAAUUCAAGAAUUUCAAGAAAUUGAAGAAAUUAGGGCAGAGAAGAUAUGUUUGGGAGAAGAGAAAGAGGUGAGAAAAUUCAAGAAGAUGGAAGCGGUGGAUCGAAGUCGGUAGACAACGGCUCUGAUACCAUGUAGAAACUCAUGAUUCUUUGAGAGAACAAUUAGAGAUAGAGAGAGAAAGAAUUUUAGAGAGAGAGAGGAUUGAAUAGAAUGAUUUUCAUUAUACUCAGAAUAUGUACAAUACAAUAUAUAUAGAUACAACCACCUACUCUACCAACUAUAUCUUAACAGAUAAGAAAUCUUUUUAAUCAGAUAUAGGCUUAGUUGGUGGUCCUAUUGUAUCCUUAACACGGAUAACCAGUCGGUUUGUUCGCGGGUCACCCAUUUCAACACGUUAAGAGAAAAGUUAGUUUGAUUAAUUUAAACUACUAAAAAAACAUUACUACAAUAGCCAUAGUAUUUAAUCUCCCAUAAAGGAGUAUAAAAAUUUUCAAAACACAUUAAAAAAUUCAUAAUGAUUAAUUUACAAUUGUAAAAAAUGUGAAAAAUAUGCAAACGCGUGAUGACAUCAUCUACAUUUUGACGAUGGGUACUUCGUCACUUGAAAUUUUAAAACACUACAAACCCUCAUGAAUAGUUUUUUUAUUGGGACCCAAAAUAAAUAAAAAUUCCUAAUAAUUAAUAUGCAAGUAUGAAAAAUGUGAAAGAAUGUACAAAUGCUCGUGAUUACAUUCUCUAUGCUUAGACAAUUGUUACGUUGUCGUUUAGAUUUUUAAAAUCCUUCAAACCUUCAUGAAUAAUAUUUUUCGUUUGAGUGAAAAAAAAUAAUAAUAACUAACAUAGAAGUGCGAAAAUGUUAAAAUAUAUAUAUAUAUAUAUAUAUAUAUAUAUAUAUAUAUAUAUAUAUAUAUAUAUAUAUAUAUAUAUAUAUAUAUAUAUGCAAUCACUUGUGAUGACAACUUUUACAACUUUCGUGAAUGGGUCAACUCCGAAAUUUGACAGUAUAAUUAAUAAAACCUAGAUUUAUAUUUAACCAUAGAUUGACAUUUAUGCUCUAUUUUUCUCACUGGAUUUUAUUUUUUAGAUUUUUGUUUUGGCCAAAUUUUUUCUUGGUCCCUGUGGUGAGACGACACUUUCAAUGUGAUCCUCAUAAUGAAAAAAUUGUUAAUUAAAACCCCAUGGUGAGUUCUGUUAGAAUCCAAUAGGCGAGCUUUUUCACCUGAACAUGAUCAUCAUCAUGGAAGCACUACCGACCAGUGACCAGAUCGACGACAACGUCUUGUGCUUGUCGGUGAUUAUCGACUUGACCAAGUCGUUGCAGCUGCUACUAGUCAGGGGCAGCUGUUGUUGCAGAGAGGAGGAAUGCGAGACUAGAGGGGUUAUUAAAAAUCCACACGAAAAAACAAGAUUGCUAAUACCGUGCUAAUGAGAUCUUUAAUCCAAGUGAGUCAUUUUAUUCAGAUGUUUUCAUUUUUUUUUUUUACAUUUUUCUGCAAUCAAACAACCCAGAUUGUGCCACAUGGGCCCAAACCCUUUUUUUCAAAUGUUUUUCAUUUUUUUUUUUCUGAAUUAAAAAGUCAGAUUCAUCCAACAGCCAUAUGUGCAGAAGGCUAGAAGGCUAAGUGCGCCUAUAGCGCAGGUCCCACUGCCACUUUCCAGUCAGCUCACGCUCCCUCACUCACUCGUGAAGUCCACGUGCUUGACGCAAAAAUAAAUAAAUGAAUAAAUAAAAAAUAAACGUGGUUAACCUCAUGCUAACAUUAGAUCCACUCCGACACUAAAGCGGACAAAAAUGACCCGAUCAAUAGGUCUGGGGUGGGUGGGCCCAUUGAAUCGCCCCACUGAUUUGGAUGGGCGGAGCUGUUUUUCUUAGGUGUGGGAAUUAAACCACCUAAUUAAAAGGGCAAUUUAAUGGAGAAAAGUUGCUUCAAGUAUAAUCCUCACUCACGCCACUUAGUUCUAAAGUCUAGUGGUAUUCCUCUUCACUUGUAAGUGAGAUGUCUUAGGUUCAAUUCUUGACAAAGGUGAAAUUGAACCACAUUCACUAGCCCAUUGUAAGGUUUAACCUACUUUCCCACCCCUUAAUGUAGAUAAUAUGUUUGUUAAAAAAAAUAUAAAAAAAAAAUCCUUACUUAACCAAACGUGGAACACUACUCCGAUCUAAGCUAGUCCGAAUUUAAAAAAAGGGCUAUCUCCAAUGGAGAUGGCUAUAGUUUAACCUUUUUCUUUACAAAACCCAACUCUGAUGGAAAGUUGGGCCAAAACCAAAUGGAUCUUACCAAGCCAAAUUAGAGCAAUUUGACCAUCGGGUUGGGCAUAUUGAGUCCGCCUUGCAGCCCAUUUGUUGGGUUUUUUUUUAUAAGGACGAAAUUUAAAAAAGAAAAAAUUUUAAAAUCUAUUUUUUUUUCUAUAAAUACCUAAGUCAUUUAUACACCAUUUUUCACAUCAUUUUCAUCAUUCCACAUUAUCUUACCUCAUUUUAAUCCAAUUCUUCACAUUCUAUUCACAUCAAACACUCUUUUCAUACACACUCUUCUCUUACCUCUACCAAUAAUCUAAAUUUAAAUUUUUCAAUAUUUAUUCAAAUGACACUCAAAAUAUAUCCGGAUAACCUUAUUCAUUUAGUAACAAGUGACACUCAAAAUAUGUCAUGAUAAAUUUAUUUUAAUAUAGUAGUUUAAUUCAAUUAUCCAAUAAAGUUAAAUAACAAAUUUAUAAAUAAUAAAUUAUUGAAGGGCUAAAAAAUAGCCUAUACAGUUGCAGAUGAUAUAUAAAUAUGGCUUACCACUAUUCAUUUAAAAAUAAUUUCUUACGUAACUUUGAUUCGGACUAAACAUAACCCCUGAUAGACGUAUCAAACGAGACAUAAAUAGCGCGUUGGAUAUUAACCCGGAGACGCCAUUGUGGGACACAUCCUCACGUUGUAAAAUUUUACUUUUAUGUUUUUCCGUUGUUUCAAAACAUCGACGCUGGGCCAAACUUUGAGCCGUCAUUUCGAUCCGUACUCAUGAAAACUGGAAACUUGAGCAGUACAAGUUGCCGUACCAAAGAAGUUGUGUAUCCGUUAUUCUCAAAAGCUCUUUCCUCUGCUAAAAACUGCACUGAAUUACACAAAGUCCACUCACAGAUUGUCACUUCAGGAUUACACCAUUCCGUCUUCUUCUCCGGCAAACUCAUAAGCAAAUAUGCUCAGCUCAGAGACCCCAUUUCCUCCCUCUCAGUUUUCCACCAAGCUCUUCCCAAAAGCAAUGCCUACCUAUGGAAUUCAAUCAUCAGAGCGCUUAUCCACAAUGGGUUUUACUCAAAAGCUCUUGACCACUACACUGAAAUGGAUAAAUUGAAUGUUCGACCUGAUAGGUAUACAUUUCCUUCAGUGAUCAAUGCCUGUGCUGCGUUAUGUGAUCUGGAAAUGGGCAUGAUUGUUCAUCAGCGUGUUUCCGAAAUGAGUUUUGGAUCAGACUUGUACAUUGGUAAUGCAGUGAUAGACAUGUAUUGUAGAUUUGGUGAACUUGGCAAAGCACGGCAACUGUUUGAGCAAAUGCCUCAAAGGGAUAUUGUGUCGUGGAAUACUGUGAUUUCGGGCUACAGUUCGAAUGGAUAUUGGGAGGGAGCUUUGGAAAAUUUUCGUAGGCUGAGAAUGGACGGGUUGUUACCAGAUUCUUUUUCCAUAUCUGGUGUUUUGCCUGCGUGCGGAGGCUUGGUUGAUGUUAAAGAGGGUUAGAUAGUUCAUGCUUUGGUUGAGAAGAUUGGGGUCCAUGCUGAUGUUUUAGUAAGCAAUGGAUUUCUUUCAAUGUACUUCAAAUUUGGUUGGUUAAAAGAUGCUCAAUGUCUUUUUGAGAAGAUGGUUGUUAGGGACUCGGUUAGUUGGAACACUGUGAUUUGUGGGUACUCUCAGUUGGGGUUGUUUAAAGACUCAAUAAAUUUGUUUAGGCAAAUGGUGAAUGAAUUUACACCUGAUUUGCUAACAAUCACUUCUGUUCUCCGUGCUUGUGCUCAUUUACAGGAUCUGGGACUUGCAAGAUAUGUUCAUGACUACAUGAAAAGAAGUGCUUUUCAAUUUGAUACUAUGGCAAAUAACAUACUUAUUGAUAUGUAUGCAAAAUGUGGAAACUUAUUAGCUUCACAAGAAGUAUUUGAUCAUAUGGAAUGUAGGGAUGCUGUGUCAUGGAAUUCAUUGAUCAAUAGUUAUUUUCUUAAUGGUUGUUCUGAUGAAGGGUUCAACCUUUUUAAGGCGAUGAAGAGUAGCGUGAAACCUGACUCUGUGAGUUAUGUGAUGAUACUGUCAAAUUCUACCCAGCUAGCAGAUGUGGACAAGGGGAAAAUGAUCCACUGUGAUACGGUAAAAUUGGGAUUCAAUUUAGAUGUUAUCGUCAACAAUGCUCUUGUAGAUAUAUAUGCUAAAUGUGGCAAAAUAAAGGAUUCGCUACUAGUAUUUGAGAAUAUGGAAGUUCGUGAUGUAGUAACAUGGAAUACCGUAAUUGCUGCUUGCAUUCAUUAUGACGAUUGUAGUUUAGGGUUAAGAAUGAUUCGUAGAAUGAGGAAUGAGGGAGUGAUGCCCGAUGUGGCCACCAUGUUAGGUAUCUUGCCUGUGUGUUCCUUGUUUGCUGCAAAGCAACAAGGAAAAGAGAUCCAUGGGUGCAUUUUAAGGUUAGGAUUUCAUUCAGAUGUCCCUGUUGGGAAUGCACUAAUAGAAAUGUAUUCUAGCUGUGGUAGUUUGGAAAACUCCAUACGAGUAUUUGAGCAUAUGAGAAAGAAGGAUGUGGUGACAUGGACCUCCAUGAUCUCUGCCUAUGGGACAUAUGGUGACGGAGUGAAAGCAGUAAGAACUUUUGCAGAAAUGGAAGCAACAGGUGUCCUUCCUGAUCAUCUUGCUUUCCUUGCUGUCAUAUUUUCUUGUAGCCAUUCAGGUUUAGUAGAAGAAGGUAUGGCUUACUUCAACCGGAUGAAGAACUGCAAACUUGAACCUAGGAUCGAACACUUUGCUUGUGUAGUUGACCUCCUCUCACGGUGUGGCUUAUUAGCUCAAGCAGAGGACUUUAUCCAUUCAAUGCCAAUGAAGGCAGAUGCGAGUAUAUGGGGAUCUUUACUUAGUGCUUGUCGAGCUAGUGGAGAUACAGAUAUAGCUGCACGUGUCUCAGAACAGAUAAUUCAAUUGAAUUCUAAUGAUACAGGGUAUCAUGUUUUGGUCUCAAAUGUAUAUGCUUUAGGGAAGUGGGAUCAAGUGAGAAGAAUUCGGAAAUGCAUGCAAGCUAAAGGACUCACAAAAGAUCCUGGAUUUAGCUGGAUGGAGAUUCAAAAGAAAGUCUGAGGAUAGUCCCUCUUAAAAUUGUAUAGAGGUCAAAACGUUUGUCGGGGCUACUUUUGGGUUUGUUGGGAAAGGAAGAUAUGCUGAUUUGCAACUUCUCCCACCAUGACUUCGGAGAUGGAUGAGAAAAAAGACGUAGAAAAGGGGAGGGCUUGCCAUGGAAGGUAAUGGCUGAUGAAUAACCCUUUGGCUUUGUGGGAAACUUUUGCAUUUCUUUCCUUUUCCAAAUCUUUCUUUUGUAUGUUCAUCGAAUUAGCAAAUCUGAAAACUUCAAAGUACACUUCUCCCUCAUAGGCAACUCAUAUGAACAAACGCUAUUUAAGAAUGAGAUAUUGCAUUUUUAUAUUUUCAUGUUGCUUAAUGUUGAUGGUAUCUUGUUGAAUGCUGUAUAAGCUUUAGGUUCAUCAGUCAUGCUUCUAUGAUAAUAAAGCCUGAUUUACACUUGUCUCUCUCUUGUUUAAUUUACAUAGCAUCAUUAAGUCUGCUUUUUGUCUUACCAUAUGGUGUAGGUCCAAUGUUCGAAGGAGAGGGUUCUGAAUUUAGAGCAGACCCGAAUUCACUGAUCCGAGGUUAGAUUGUUCAUUUCAAGAGAUUUUCAUUUCUUUUUCUUGCUUAUUCAUAGAUUUAGUUGUGUACUUUUAACAACAAAAAAAAACUGACUUGAAGCUCCUUUGUUCUUAAUUCUAACUAAUAAUUAAUUUAACGAUUUUAAUUUAUUGUGUAAAUUAAUUUAUUGUGUAAAUUUUGGCUUAGUACGAUUCAAGAGACUACAAUUUUAAUUGCAAGAUUUGGUAUUUUUUUUUUAUCUGUUGCACAAUGUGUGGCUUCAGUUCUGAAAAUAUUGAGGAUUACUGCUUUCCUUCAAUAAACAGAACUUUGAAAAUUCAUCUUGUUUAUUUAUCAAGUGGCUCUGAUUGCAGAGGCAACACGAGGAUGUGUCGCUCGCAGAUAAUGUGAAAUUCUCAAGAGGAUUUAUGCGAUUCUCGGGUCCAGGCGUCCAUAUGAACAAUCUCUCCAGCUCACUCUACAGAGGCUAACUACUGCAGAACCUGAGAUUGCAGACGCUAAGUGGAAAGCUUCUAAAAAAGUUCAAAAUUUGGCGGUAAUGCCGUUGUUGACCGACAGUCUUGACAGCCACAGUUGAACACUCUGAUAGUAAAACUGAAUUCUUUUCAGCCAUUAGUCAGUUCACUUGGAUGGCUCAGAUUUUACCGUUGUAAAUUCCUUUUUUUUUUCCAAAAAUCUGGCAACUCAACAUUACUAUUUUGGAAAGUUAGAGCUAGAUUCUGAAGGUCGUAGGGUAUAAAACCAGAACCAAGUCUUUGAAGUUCCGCAUUUUGACCCAAUGUCGGGAGAACCUUCCUAUUUGAAUCUGCUCCUUCUACCUUGUCACUCUUUUUCGUGAUCCAAAUUACAAUGUUGCUUGACAAUCGGAACUGUAUUAUCUAAGCUAACCUUUAAUUUUCAACUUAGCAAAAACACUUUUUAUGCAAGGGAACUUAUCAAGUAGCUGAGAGCAUUCAUCUUAGCAACCGUGUUAAUCCGUUCGAUAUCACUUGUUUAAGACGAAUAAAUCUUUUAUUCAAAUUGUUAGUACUAUAAUUAACAAUUCCAUUAAAAAUAAUAUACCAUCAUUAAGAAUUGAAUAUAUUAUGCAAGGAGCAUAUCUCGAGUAGUUAAAAAACAUUUUAUUUUGCAAUCGAGGUCCUUUGUUUGGGUAAUAUCACUUGAAUAAAACCAAUAAAUUUUCAUUCAAAUUGUUAGAAGUCCAUUUGAAAUAUUCCUACCUUCGAUAUUCAAUAGAAGUGCAUUUGACAUAUUCCUACAUCCUAGACUCUUAAGAAUUAAAAAAAUCCUAGCUGCGGAAAAUUUCUCUGCCGCCAGCUCCUGCCUUUGGCUUUAGAGUCGGCGUCAAUCUUCUUAAAAAUCAUUCUUCAUCUCUUCCUUCUCACUUUUUGUUUACUUUAUUUGGUUUUGAAUUGUCACCGUGAAAAUGUUGUAAUCACUGUGAUAAUGACACACGUACAUAGUUCACAUAAGGCUUUGGAUCCAAUUAUCACCUUCGAUAUGGGGUUGAAGCGGGAAGCCAUGAAAGAUGUCGAAUUGCAUUGGGAUCAAGUUUAGUCAGUACAACACUUUGGGUUUAGCUGAUGUAGUGGUAUGCCUUUCGGAUGUCCGAAGGAUGUGGAGUGGCGACAUGAUUUUAUCCUUUUAUUUUGUUUCUGUUUAAUUAUUUCUGGGAAUUGACUUAAGAGUUUGGUUUGAUUUCUCUUUAUAGGAGAGUUUGCUAGUUUGAUUGCUCUCCAUAGGAGAGUGCUUGAUUUUAAGUUUUGUUUUGGUGUGUUACCCUUUGGGAUCCAUGUCUAAAGGGUGGAGCCGUUUGAUUUGUUGGAUCUACUUCAUUUGGUGUUCUGCGAUUGUAAUGGUUAUUAGGUGAUGCGAUGGACUCAUGGGCAUCGUGCUCCCUAUUCCAAUUUUAUGGUUUGAGAUUUUGUUCUCACAUGAUCCUCUUGUAACACGAAGUUUAACGGUUUAUUAAUCUAUGUAAUCAUACAACUCCAUAUGAGCUCGAAAGAGUGCGUGAUGUCUACUCAUUGGGCGAUCAAUAUGCUUUAUUGUACUAUUUUUAGAUCUAGUUUGCAAAGACCCUUUUGGGGCCAAGUUCUUCAUGAUAUGUAUUUGUAAUGCCCUUUUAUCAAUGAAUGAAUACCGUACUCUUAAAAAAAUAAAAAGCAAACAUAACGUCAAAAUGUUCUACAGUCUCCAUGUAAAACCCACCAAUUUUUAUUCGGAAUUGUUCGCAGUUCCCCACAUAAAAUCUUGAGCAAAGCUACCAAAAUCAACAUUACAAAAGCCUGCUAGACAGAUGAUCCCAGACACCAAUAUACAUAUCGUUUUCACAGGAAGGGACAUGAAGCUUUUAGUUCGUCCAAUAUGCUACAAGGAUGUCAACUCAUAUCUCCAAAUACGGCAGCAAAAUGAGCCUAUCGCGCGCUAUGCAUGGGCAUGAGAACCAGAAGCAUGUUCAGUUUCGCAGGAUUGGAGAACCAGAAGUAUAUAUGCUUAUCUGCAAUCUUGAAAUGUCGUGCCUUUUUUAGGAAAUACGUCCCUGGACACACAUGAUGGAGGUACCCCAGCUCCAUGGGUUUGGGCCGGCUGCCAAUCGAUUGUUGGAGGCAUACAAGAUGCUUUUGAAGGUAUCUCAUUUGCCAAUGUUUACAUUUUUUUUCCUAGCACAUUUUAAGGUUUAUCAGCUAAAGUUUGAAUGGCAAUUCGCUCGUUCAUAUACCCACUAAUGUGAGUGAUGGUUUUAUAUGAUAUUAAGACCUCAUGGAGACUUCAUUUUCCACUAAAUCAAUAGGAGUUUCUACCCGUCUAGAAAAUGACAUUUUCUUGUUAUACGUAAUUAUGUAAUUUGUAUCGGUGAAGUAUCUCUGUAGUUAAUCAAUACUUUAAUAUACAACUAAAUUUCUUCUACUAUUGAAUUUCACAAGGACAGGUGUGUUCUUUCAUAUGAGGUAAUGAACAUAGGCACUGUACCUUCAUGUGUGGCUGAUGAUGGGUAGGUAUCUGUGGUGUGUGUUGGAAGGGGUCUGGGUUGAAAUUGUUGAAAGUAGCUUGUACAUGCCACAUUUGGCUUGUUUUUAUAGGGGUUUCAUGGGGAUCUUUUGUCUUUUGAAGUAUCAAACAUUGGGAUCUUGAGCCUUGGCCUUUUGAUCAUCGUUCAUUUGGUUUUACAUGUAAUCUUGAUCUUUGGUUAUUCUUUUGAAGUAUCAAACAUUUUUUUUAUCAACCUUGAUGUGUUAGAUUUAUGCUGACCCGUUUCUUCUCUCCCUUUAUAUUUGUGCCUUGUGUUUGCUGUCCCUAUGCGGAUGCUGUGGUGGUCAAUCCACCCCUUGUUUACAUGGACUUUCCUCGGUUCAAGCAUCCAUAGUGCCCCAUUCACUUAGCAUGGAAAACUAAGUACAAAGCCUGGAAAACUAAAACCAAGUACAAAGCAUGGAAAACUAAGUACAAAAGUAGUUGUUUGCUUGUAGCACAUACUCAGUGCUCAGUGCUCAGUGCUCACUAGUCAAGUUCACCUUUUAUCUGUCUUAAGGGAGAAAAAAGUGAAGGAAAGAAGUGGGGGUGGGGGAGGGGAAUGGGAAAUUUGCUUUUCUUUGUUAUGGGGUAGGAGGGAGGAAAUGGAAGAGAAAAUGAGAAGGGUAGAUAUCCCUUGAGCUGGGAAAGCACUCCUCUAGAGCUCAGUAAAGCAUUAUCCUCUAACAUGGGGAGACUGAAUGUCUAGUUAUUAUGCAAAGGGCAAUAUUUUAGUCCAACCAUUUCUGGAUUUCUUGGCUUCCCUUCGCUUUUCAUCAGACAAGUCAACCAAACAGUAGGAGAGAACCAUAACCAAAUCGUCUGUUGGGAUUCUCUCCUCCCAUUCUCUCUUGCUCCAAACAUGGUAUUACUUCCUCAUUUCCUUUUGUGUGUGUCUGGAUGUGUGCAUGUUGCUGUAGAUGUAAUCGGGUCUGGAGUGAAAUAGGUGUGGUGGGAUUACUUGGGUAUGGUGGAGCAUUGUAGAUCACAUUACUGAACGAUGCCAGAUUUGAACAAGUACUAUUAGUAUGACCGUGAAUCUUGUUACUAGGCCUCUUCUUAUAAUUCUUGCAUUUAUUGCAGUUCCUGGGGAACUUGAGGAAUCUUAGAGACUCAUACGCAGCUCUUGCUGUUGGAUCAUCUGACUCAGUUGCUGGCGAGCCCUCAUCUGUCACAAGAAUAAUCUCAGAGUGUGAAUCUGCUUUGACAUUCCUAAAUCGUGACCUCGGGAUUCUCUCGGCUUCCAUUGCUCGCGAGCAAGGUGAGGAGGUGAGUUUAUGAUGAAAUUGUAGUAGUUGUUUAGGGGAGGGCCAUGAAUGCAGUCUGUUCGCCUUCUUUUUGGACUGCAAAUGUAUGUUGGGAAAAUGUAGUUUUUUCUGUCAAAUGAAAGUGAAGUACAAUGUAGUAUUGAUUCUGUAUUCAUAACACCCACACUGUUUUGUGGGACGAUCUUUAUCCAUGUUCGUUUGGUUUGCAGUCUGACAACAUGAAAGUCAUCGUUGUAAUUAGACCCUUUCUUUUAAGUUCCUAGUCUUUAACCUAUAACAAUGCGAACGACACCUCUAUUUACGGGUGAUUCCCCAAUUCCUCCGUGCUCUCUCUCUCUCUCUCUCUCUCUCUCUCUCUCUCUCUUUCCCCUCGAGCCAAACUGAUAAAUAAGAAAUGAGAGGAAUCAUCCCCAACUGGAACAUUUGACGGAUUGAAUGAAUGAAUGAAUGAAUGAAUGUAUAUUCAAUUCGAAAAGAAUGAAAAAGCAUAUAUAGAUUUCAUUUUUCUCAAAAAAAAGAAGAAAAAAGUACAUAGAUUUCAUGGCCAAAAUGAGGCUUGGGAUCAGGCCUAACUUGAACAAUAAUCAGGCCCAAAAUAAGGCUGGUGCUUUCCAUUGAGGGGGGAAAGUAUAAUUGUGGUUUAUUUGGGACUUCCAAUGAUUAUAGUUAUGGUUUGAGUAAAUUAUAGCAAUGGUCCUUUAAUUUUAACCUAAUUAGAGCAAUGGUAUCUCAACUAAAAAUCUAUUACCAUUGGUUCUUCAACUCAUCAAAACGUUCAGUUAUGGUUAUUUUUGUCAACUUUGUUAUAACUUCCGUCGAAAUAAGUUACGUGUCAUGCAUGUGAGGCUAAAUCAAGGGACAAAUAUGGAAAAUCAAAUAAGAAAAAUUGUAUCAAAGGUCCCUCAACUUUAAUUCAACUAGAGAAAUGGUCCCUCAACUUUAAUCCAAUUGUAGUAAUGGUCAUUCUAACAUAACUCAUUUUGAUAGAAUUAUGAUGAAGACCAUAGCUACAUGUUUUGAUGAGUUGAGGGACCAAUGAUAAUGAAUUUUUAGUUGAUGGACCAUUGUUCCAGUUUGAUUAAAGUUGAGGGAUAUUUGCUACACUUUACUCUUCUGGUUUAGAUUUUGUUUUUCUUGAUAUGGAAAUAUUCAAAUAACCACAAAUAUAUAGGGGGAAUGUUUAGAAGUGCUUUGAAAAUAACUAAAAGCUCUUUCCGAACAUCGAAAAUCUUUCUGAUCAUGUUUGGGGUAAAAAGUUAAAAAGUGCUUUUAGGUUAAAAAAACACUUGCAUUUUUAUUUAAAAUUUCUAUGUAAAAUCUAAUAUAAGCGCUUUUACUGGAAGUUCUUUUGAUUAAAAAAAUGGUUUAGAUGCAAUUCCAAAUGAGCCCCUAGUUUUUAGGGAAAAUGCUAGGGACCCACAUUUUUGUACCACAUUGUUGUACUAUCUAAUGUGGUAAGUGAUUUAUACAUGUCUUGUCAUUUAAUGAGUUUAGGCCUUUUAGCCAAAAUGGUCACUGAGAUUGACAUAACUCAUCACUUUGGUUCCUAAAAUUUAAAAUUGAUUGAUUUUUGUCCCUUAGAUUGUCCACAGUAAAUCAUUUUUGUCAUUUUAGUAAAAAAAAAAUUCGUUAAAUUGAGUGUACUUUUGUCAAAUCAACCCUUCUACUUGAACUGGGGGUUUCUACAAUUUAACAAAGAUUUUUUCAUAGAAGAACCAAAAUAAUUGACGGUAGACAAUCUUAAUGAUCACUUGUAUCAAUUUUAAAUCUUAGUGACUAAAAUGAGGAGUUAUGACAAUCUCAGGGCUAUUUUGGCUAAAAAGCCAUGAUUUAUCUCACGUGUAAUACUUGGGAGCCCAUAUGCAACAACAUCCAAAGUGAUGAAUUAAUUGACGUUGCAUGUACACAUCACUUGUCAUAUGAGAUGAUACAUCAAUGUGGUAUAUUUAUGUGAUCUCAUAGCAUUACUCAGUUCCUAGAUAUUUAUUGGAUGCCAACAAAAGUUCCUUAUUGUUUACGUAGUUAUGGAAGACUUUUCUGCUUUUCUAUUGAUUUCAUUUGAAAUGAUUGAACUAUUUUCUUGUUAAUUAUUGGAUACGUUAUUAAAUUUUUUACAUAUUAUAAUAAUUAUUUAAUACAAUCACCAUUUGAAGUAAUGUAUCAAAUCUCUAUUUUUACAAUAAUGUAGUCAAAGUUUCACGUGAAUUCGGAAACAAUAGUUCAUUAACUUCUAUUUAAAAGAAAAAAUAAACUAUGUUAAGUGAUGAUGGAGGUAGAUACAAGCUAGAUGGAAGUUGAAAAGAACUAGUGAUUGAAAAAGAAAGUUAGACACAAACAAAUCCAUCAACAUCUGAUAUAUAAAGAACUGAUUAACAAGUAAACAAAUGAAUCAAAAGGAACACAAAGUCAAUAUGAAAAUGAUAGAACUGAAAAUUCAAACUAGUAAAAUAUUAGUAACAUUCUCUAAUCAUAACAAUAGUUUUAUUAAUUAAGGCCCAAGUGAGAUUGUGGUCUCAUCACAAAAUGAAAAUCUAAACAAAUGGUCCUACAUUGCAAUGACAAAGACAUUCUCUAAAUCAUGAUGAUACUUUAAUAUUGUUGAAAGACUAUAAACAAAUUUCCAAGUCAAAACUAGUGAAAUUUCCAAGAAAUCUUUUGUAUAUGUUGAAGACUUGAAACUUCCAAUCAUAUAGAGGUUAAUAAAGAAAUCCAAAAAAGAAAAAAACCAUCAAAAUAUAUGUAGUUUUAGUUUAUUCAUUAACUUCUACAAGUUAAGUACUCAACUUAAUUCUCCUUGGGUUAUAUAUAUAGAUGGUGCUCAAGCGAUAAUUGUUUAGUAAGUUACUUUGGCUCGAAUAACUCAUUUGCAUCCACUUUACUAUUUAAUUUCAUUAUUUGAAUCGUUCAUUUUGUUUAAAGUUUUCAUACAAAGGUUGUCACAUCCUGGCCCGGGCCCCCACCACAUCCCAGGCUCGACUUUGCCGUAGCACGAUAUUGUCCUCUUUGGGCCCCGACUAAACUCCGAAACAAAAAAAGUGUUGUCGAAAAUUAUCAAAAUGUUCAAGGCAAUGAUCAAGGAUGACCGUGGAUGAACACCUAAAAAUGAAGAGUUCAUAUAAAUAGCUUAAAAUUUUUGAACUCUAAACACUAAGUUGUUUGAUUAUAAUCAACAUUUACGUUUACGUGGAACAUUGUAUUUGUCUAUUUAGUUUAUCGUAAUCAGAAACAUAAAUACUUUCGAGCUUAUCAUUUACUUAUUUUAUUUUUUCGAACAAAUGAUAUUAUCUGCACUAAGGGGGGAAAGGGUGAGCUUAGCUUCACAAUAGGCUAGCAAUAAUGUGGUUCAAACUCAACUUUGGCGAGAAUUGAACUCAAGACCUCUCACUUACAAGUGAAGAGGAAUACCACCAAAUCGUAGUACUAAAUGACAUCAUUUACUUUUAAUAUUAGAACAAUCUUGAUUUGCACUUAAUGAAUUUACGAUACUUUAUAAAAUUAAUGGUAGAACAGUUUCUAUUUUAGAUUUUGUUUUCAUUGAUAUGGAGAUUUCCAUAUAACAACUAUGCUUUUCACAUUAUUGUGAGAAUUUUUCUGUUGAUUUCAUAGGAAGUAAUUGUACACUUUUUAUUUUUUUAUUUUUUUUUAUUGGAUAAGUUAUUAAACUUUUUUUAUAUAAUAAUUCUAAUUCAUUUUUCUAUCAUGCCUCACAAUAAUGUGGUCAAAGUUUCACAUAAAUUUGGGAACAGUAAUUAAUUAAGUUCAUGUUUGAAAGAGAAGAAAACUAUGUUAAGGGAUGAUGGAUGAUGGAUGAUGGAUGUAGAUACUAGCUAGAUCGAAGUAAGAAAAGAACUAAUGACUGAAAAAAUAAAGUUAGACACAAACAAACCCAUCAACAUCUGAUAGAUACAUAAUUGAUUAGCAAGUAAAUGAAUGAAAUUAAAAGGAGCACCAAAGUCAAACUGAAAAUGAUAGAACUGAAAAUCAAAGUAGUAAAAUAAUACUAACCUUCUCUAAUCAUAACAAUAGUUUUAUUAAUUAAGGCCCAAGUGAGAUUGUGGUCUCAUCACAAAAUGAAAAUCUAAACAAAUGGUCCUACAUUGCAAUGACAAAGACAUUCUCUAAAUCAUGAUGAUACUUUAAUAUUGAAAGACCAUAAACAAUUCCAAGUCAAGAUUAGUGAAAUUUCCAAGAAAUCUUUUGUAUUUAUUAAAGACUUGAAACUUUCAAUCAUACGGAGGUCAACAAAGAAUCCAAAAAGAAAAAACCAUCAAAGUAUAUGUAGUUUUAGUUUAAGGAAAACUAAUAAAAAUGGUUUGAAAACUUUGAGUUUUAAUUAUAAGGACAAAAUAAAGGGUAAAGUGAAUAGUACCAUGAUUGACUUUUUAGUGUAAAAAUAUGGUUUUUCGUUAAAGUGAACAGUACCGGGUGCUUUUCGUUAAAGUUCCCUUUAGUUUAUUCAUUAACUUCUACAAGCUAAGUACUAAAAUUAAUUCUCCUUGGGUUAUAUAUAUAGGGUGCUCAAGCGGUAACUAUAUAGUAAGUGACUCCAGCAUGAAUAACUCAUUUGCGUCCACUUUACUAUUUAGUUUCAUUAUUUGAAUCGUUCAUUUUGUUUAAAAUUUUCAUACAAAGGUCAUCUCCUAAAAAAAUCAAUCAAAUUGUAGAUCGUUUAAAUAGUAAACUGUGAAACAAAAAAGAAACAAAAAAAGUGUUGUUGAAAACAAUCAAAAUGUUCAAGGCAAUAAUCAAGGAUGACCGUGGAUGAACACUUAAAAAUGAAGCGUUAAUAUAAAUAGCUUAAAAAAGUUUGAACCCUAAACACUAAAUUGUUUGAUUAUAAUCAACAUUUGUGUUUUCGUGAAACAUUGUAUUUGUCUAUUUAGUUGACCAUAAUCAGAUGCAUAAAUACUUUCGAGCUUAUCAUUUUUUUUUUUGAAUAAACGAUAUUAUCUACACUAAGCGGGAGUGGGUGAGCUUAGCCUCAUAAUGGGCUUUUAAUAAUGUGGUUCAAACUCACCUUUGGCGAGAAUUGAACCUAAGACCUCUCAAUUACAAGUGAAGAGGAAUACCACUAGAUUGUAGUACUAAGUGGCAUCAUUUACUUAUUUAAUACUAGAACAAUCUUGAUUUGCACUUAAUGAAUUUACGAUACUUUGUAAAUUUAAUACUAGAACAAUUUCUAUUUUAGAUUUUGUUUUCAUUCAUAUGGAGAUUUCCAUAUAACGACUAUGCUUUUCACAUUAUUGUGAGACCUUUUCUAUUGAUUUAAGGGGCUUUUGGAUCUAGGUCCAAAAACAUAGGUAGUUUUUUGGACUGAGUCCAGUUAUCCAAUUACAUAUUGAUAUCAAUUUUAACCAUUCAGAUAAAAAUAUUUAAUUUCUUUAAAUUUCUUUAUCAUUUAUUCAGUUUUUAAAUUUUGAAUAUUUAAAUACUCAAACUAAAAUAUUAUCUAAUAAGUACCUACUAUUUAUGAAGAAAACAAAACUGAUAUAAUCUAGUAACUACCUAUUGUGUAGGAAGAAAGAUGCUUUAUACCUACAAAGCAGAUAUAAUCUACCUGCAAAACAAAAAUAAACUACCUAUUGUAUCGGAAGAAAAAUUCUGGGAACCUACUUGGCGGAACAUAGAAAUAUAAAUAUGAUAUAAUAUACCUCCAUUAAAGGAACGAAUUUGGAGGGAAAACAUAAAAAUAUCACCCAUGAAAAGAAGAGACAAAAAAGAGGAGGAUUGAUUCCAUGAUCUAACGGAGGGAAUUGUGUGGAAGAAGGAAAGAAAGAGGGAUGAAACGGACUGGGGGUUGAGGUAAUUAUAUGGCUAUAACUAAUCCUACAAUUAAGGGAUUAGUUAAACCACAAAUAAUCCCAUAAUUAAGAAUUUUUUGUGUAUUUACUACAAUUUGUAAGCCUAAGGGGUAAAUAUGGUACAAACCACAAAUAAGCAUACGUGGAAUCUCAAUUAUUGGACCUAUUUCAAUGAAGUGGACUAAUCCUACUAAUGACUCACAAAAUUGGAUCUGUAUCAAGUUAUCCCUUGAUUUAAUAGGAAGUAAUUGUACUUUUUUUUUUUUUUUUUUUUGUUAUCGGAUAAGUUAUUAAUUUUUUUAUAUAAUAAUUCUAAUUCAAUUUUCUAUUAUGCCUCACAAUAAUGUGGUCAAAGUUUCACAUAAAUUUGGGAAACAAUAAUUAAUUAUGUUUGAAAGAGAAGAAAACUAUGUUAAGGGAUGAUGGAUGUAGAUACUAGCUAGAUCAAAGAAAAAAAGAACUAAUGAUUGAAAAAGAAAGUUAGACAAAAACAAGCCCAUCAACAUCUGAUAUAUAUAGAACUGAUUAACAAGUAAAUGGAUGAAAUUAAAAGAAGCACCAAGUCAAUUUGAAAAUGAUAGGAUUGAAAAUCAAAGUAGUAAAGUAAUAGUAAAGUAAUACUAACCUAUCUAAUCAUAACAAUAGUUUUAUUAAUUAAAUCUAAGUGUGAUUGUGGUCUCAUUACAAAAUAAAAAUCUAAACAAAUGAUCCUACACUGCAAUGGCAAAGACAUUCUCUAAAUCAUGAUUACUUUAAUAUUGUUGAAAGACCAAAAACAAAUGUCCAAGUCAAGAUUAGUAAAAUUUCCAAGAAAUCUUUUGUAUUUGUUGAAGACUUGAACUUCCAAUCAUACAUAGGUCGAUAAAGAAAUCCAAAAAGAAAAAACCAUCAAAGUACAUGUAGUUUUAGUUUAUUCAUUAAACAAGUUAAGUACUCAAAUUAAUUGUCCUUGGGUUAUAUAUAUAUAUAUAUAUAUAUAUAUAUAUAUAUAUAGUGUCACAGCCCGUCCCGGAAUUUUAAUUCCGAGGACAUGAAAAGAUGAAAAUGCCCUUAAACGGGACUAAGGGGCGAAAAUUUAACAAUUUGGAUUGAGUUGGACACGUGGGAUCCCCACAUCCCUCAAAACCUUCCCCAAUUCCCGUACCUUGUCUCUCUAUCUCUCUUCCCUCACGACUCUCUCUCACUCUCAGUUCUCUCUCUUCCUCUCCGACGCUCAACCUCACCCAAAACCACCUAAAACAUAAACAAACGUCCAAGAUAAGACCACAUUUGGAUUCCUGGAACUUCCACGAUCACGUAGACAUCAAUUUCAGGUAAGUUUUGCUUCGAAAAACCCUAGUUUCAAAGUUCCCGUGAAAUGGUACUGUUCAUGAUCUUCUAAAUGACUACGUUUUAGGCUAAAACAAGAUCACAGCGGGCUUAGUGAGGUCCCAAGGAAGCUCGGAGUGCUUCGUUGGAAGUUUUUGGACGUAAGAACACGGAGAUUGACAAGUUCAAAGUUUGGCCGGAGCUUUCGAGGAAUUUUCCGGCGAAUCCCCGGCGAGUUAGGAGUCGAGGUAGGUAUCAAUCUCUUCGUCUCUUCAAGGGCUACAACUUUCGUUUUUGAAUCACUUGAUUUCGUUGAGAAAUGACAAAGUUAUGGCAAUUUGAAAAACUGCCCGGAAAACGGCCGCCGGAAAAACCAGUCCGGCGACCCAAGGAAGAAGAAGGUGCUACAGUAAAAAUAAAAAAUAAAAAUAAAAUUAUUUUAAAAAUAUGUCGACGUCUGUGACGUCGAGUAGAUCACUGUGGUAUAUUCAUAUACCUAAAUUGAACACCGUAUGAGAAAGUUAUUGAGGAUUGUUGGUUAGGUGUUCAAAUAACGUUUUAUAAUUUUCACAUUUAGGUGAAAAUGUGAAUUGACGAUCCGACCGUUGGAUCGUCACCAAACUUUGAUACGUUGCAAUACGUAAUAUUUGAGGAUUAUUGGAACUUACAGAUUGGGAAUCCGAUUUGCGGAUCUUCCGGAAUUGGAAUUGUAAGUCCAUAAUAUAAAAUGUUAACCGUCACUUAGUUUUGGAAAUUGACGGAGAUCCGACCGUUGGAUGGUAAUGAAAUUUUAGGAUGUUGUCCUAGAGGUAUAAUGUGGACCUCUGGAAGUUAUGGAUUUAAAAUCUGAGGGGUGGAUCUUCCGGAUCAAUCUACGUAGUGACGUAUUUUAUAUAAGUUAUAUAUUUUAUCAAUAUGAAUUCUGAGGUUGGAAUUGAUUAUUGUUUUAGGCGCCGAUCGUCAUGACGCCUUGGCGUAUUGUGCUAGGGAGUUGUAGGGCAAACUCCAGGUGAGUGGGCAGUUUUGUUUUCCGUAUAUAUAUAUAUACUUGACGUUUCCCAGAAAUUGAAUUGAAAUGAAAAUAUGUUUAAAAUGAAAUGCAUAUGAGUUAUGUGGAAAAACGGGAAGUGAAAUACCAUGCAUAGAAUUGAUAUGAAAAGUAUAUAGAAAUGUGAGUUGAAAUGCCAUGCAUGAAUUAAUAUAUGAUGCAUAUGUAUGAAUUGGUGCGGUGGACGCACAAGUAAGAAUUGAUUUAUGAUGCAUAUGUAUGAAAUGGUGCGGUGGACGCACAGGUGAGUAUUUAAUUACUGUUAUGAUGAUGAUGAUAUAUAUUGAGCUCAAAUCCUGCACCAUGGUUUAGUGCUUAUAGUAUUCACCGUAUCGCACGCUCGCCUUGGAUCCAAGUAGAUGCUAGUCGUACAGUCCACGCGGAGUGGGUACGACAGACCAGUCGCGAGAGUGUUAGUGAGAUUCCGACUGGUGGGUGACCUUAGAUUAUGUGCACAGAUGAUUUAUGAGAAGCACUAGAGCGUAACUUGCGUGCAGAAGGCCGGACGGGUCACAGAGGUGACUCCGGUAGAGUGAUAAUGAUAGAUUUUGAGCUUUAGGUUCAACCGUACAGGGUUAUUAGAGGGCCUACGGUUGAUUACUUUCUUGCACCUGAUAUGAUUAUGUUGAUGCAUUCAUACCUUAUUAAUGUUGAGAUGAUGUGGCAUGGCAUAAUUAAUAUGAGAAAUGUUGAGAUGAUGUGGCAUGGCAUAACUGAUAUGAAAAAUGUUGAAAAAGUGAAAUGAAGUAUUGAGAAUAUAUAUGUAUAUUUAUAUUUUACAUUUCUGGGAAAGUAUACAGGUUUUACGGAGAGGGGUUACAACGUUUUGAGAAAUGUUUGGAUUUGGAAAAGAAUUGUUUUACUGACCCACUCAAUUUUGGUUUUGCGCCCCUCCAGGUUCAGGAAUCACAAAGGUGUGGUGACUACGAGGAAUACAGCGGGGUUCUGACAGAUUGGACAAAAUUAGGACUCACCUUCGGGUGUAUCAACUUAUAAAUUGUAUAAUUAAAGCUUCCGUACUGUGCAAAUGGUUACGUCACUCUCACGUGACGGCCAGCAUGCCCUCCUUCGGGACGGGGUGUGUCAUGUAGGGUGCUCAAGCGGUAACUAUUUAGUAAGUCACUUCGGCACGAAUAACUCAUUUGCAUCUACUUAAUUUCAUUAUUUGAAUCAUUCAUUUUGUUUAAAGUUUUCAUACAAAGGCCAUCGCCUAAAAAAUUCAAUCAAAUUGGUGAUCGUUUAAAUAUCUAAAUUGUGAAACAAAAAAAGUGUUGUCGAAAACAAUCAAAAUGUUCAAGGCAAUAAUUAAGGAUGCCUGUGGAUGAACACCUAAAAAUGAGACAAGAUCUUUUCCACAAUCAGUGAAGAGGCUAGGAGAGAGUAACCACUUCCAGUUGAUAUGCUCAGCGAGAAUACGCAUUGCCCAAUUGAUUAAUUUCAGCUGACACGUCUUGAUGUCCUCUAGUUCGUUGUUAAACUGUGGAUUGGGAAAAAGGAUAGCCCUAACUAUAAUUCCUUCUAUGCCUCCUUCCCAAUCUCCAUCGACUAACAUAAUGUCCUUAAACCAAUCCCUAUUUUGCCAAAGGACAUCUAAGAUGCACGACUCCCAGAUGAGGCUGGGCCUGGCUGUAAAGUAGCAGUGGUUGUCAAAACUUUUCCUGAUGUUACGCAACACUUUGAAUUCUUGAAUACCUAGAACGGCUCCAUACCAGUGAUUUAGCAACUCGAAAUAGGUAAUAGGUCUAAAGGCUGCUGAAGAAAUUGUAGAUAGCCAUAUGGUAGCAUAUUAGAAUGCCCUUUAAGAGAUUAGGAAAAAGGAAGUGCAAGCCUAAAUCCAAGAAGGAAGGAUAAAUCCUAGUACAUGUGGGAAGUUCGGGUAGAUGACUUGGCCAGGUUUCCACCAGACUUUACACUAACAUAAGAGGUUCAGAUGGUCCUUGAAGGAGGUUUUGCCUUCCUUUCUACUAUAAAUCGUCGUCAAUGAAAGGUUGUAGGGUGAGAUUUUAGGCCAUUUGGAGGUUUUGCUUGAAGACACCACUGAUGAAAGACGAAAGGAUUUGGAGAAUUUUUUAAUUAAUAUGUGAAGAAAGUUGGAGCCUGUUUUCAAUGAGUGAUUUGAGGGUUCAAGUGAAACGAAAGGAAAAGAUCUGAUCUUCUAUACGCGUCACUGAUGAGAUGAAAGUUAAGCACUCAAAUUAAACCCUCUUGUUGUCAAAUUGUAGUAUAAAUGCAAGUAGAGAUCGUUCUAAACCGGGGAUUAGGAGGGCUUACUAAAACCUCUAAACUGACUCAAAAACAUAAAAACAAAAUUAAAAACAUUUGAAUAGACUCAAGGGACUCAAAACAGAUUCUAAAGAUUCAAAACAACUUAAAAACACUCAAAACUGCCUAAAAACACAAACUGGGCAAAUUUGGACUCUAAAACAACUUUGGACGAAUUUAGUGUUUUGGCUUGAAUCAAAACACUCAAAAACACAAACAAAACAGAAAUUUAACACUUUGAAACAAGAAAGUAAAAAGGGGAUUUUGGUUUGGAUGAAUUUUAAAUAAACAAGCAAGUUAUAAAACUAGGCAGAUUAUAAAAUGAAUUUGAGAAAUAAAAUGAUGGAUGGAUUAGUUAGAGGUCCGUUCUUCACACAUGACACACUUGUACAUGAAUUGAUUUCCAAUUGCUUUUCAAUAAACUAUGAUACUCAACACCCCAGAUUAACCGUGAUGCACAAAUUAACCCUCAUAUUUUCCUUUACUCAUUGAAUUGGAUGAAUGCAUGCGACAACCCAAAUCAUUCUCUAAAAGUCCCCUAUAUGAAUGCAUAAUAGAGAUACAAUCAGAGAUCAUUACGUUCAAUGAAAAUCAUAAGUGUUGACGAGACAAUUAUAACUAUGAAUGCAUGAUACAAUUGCCAAGAAUUCAAUUAACGCGAUUGUGAUAAACAACCUUCACUACUCAUGAAUAUAAACUUGUAACGAUUAGGUGAAACUCAUUUAUAUUCUAGCAUCUAAUUCAUGCAUGAAAAUUAAGUAUGCAUCCUUAAUAAACAUACAAGAAUCAGUUAUGAAUAAAAUAGAUAAUUGAAUUGCAAUCACAACUUAUCAAAUCACAAUUGGAAGAAAUCAAUUCAUAUCUCAAGCAUGUUCAUGGCUUCAAACUUCCCCCUAACUAAAUGGGGGUUUAGCCACUCAUAAUUGCAACAAAAUCAAAAAAUGAAUUUAACAUUGGAAACAUAAAUGAAUAUAUAUAUUUUUGGAUGAAGGUUGUAUUGAAAUGGGAGUGAAUGAUCUAAAAAUAUAUAUAUUCAUUUAUGUUACACACACUUCCUUUUAUAGAGAAAAUGCAAGGCAAAACAUGGGUAAAAUGGAGUAGUGUUGAAAUGAUUCAAAGGUGAAAGUGGAGUAAUGAUGCAAAGCAUGGGUAAAAUGGAAUGGUGUUGAAAUGAUUCAAAGUAAUGUGCAUGAAAUCUGAAAUGAUGGAGGGAACAAGGAAUGGUGUAGCAAUUAAGUGCAAAGAGGGAACAUGGAUGAUGAUAAGGUAAUCUUGACUCAUGUUUCUUCUUUGGUUGCUGAGCUCUUUGUCAUUUUUACAUUAAUUCUUCUUUCUUUUUAACACAUUCCAAGCCUCUUUAGUCUUCAAUUUCGUCCAUCCACCUUGCUCCAUGCAUGUGCUAUCCAUUCCAAGCCCAAAACUGCUCCAAAAUGCACCAAAAUGCACCUUAUUGCUUUAUAAGGCCUAUGGACCUACAAACACACGAAAAUAGCUUAAAAUACAUAAUUAACUAAGAAAUAACAACAUAAAUGCAUGAGAACAAGCUAACUCAAUCGCAUAAAUAUGCUUCUAUCAGUCACACAAUGGAACAAUCUAGCCAUUGAAUACGAACUGACUCACUUUGGGAUCAACGAAUUUGAUAGUUAAAAUUAGUGAAGAAUAUCGAAGGCAAUUUCUUGUUUUUUCGUGCACACACAACAGACGCAAAGUUUCAUCAUCACAAACUUUAUAGCAUGGAACUCGACACUGCAUGUUUGAAUCCGAGACAUCUCCAUCACAUCACAAAGAAUAAGAUCAUCAUACUAAGUUAAAAGACCUAAACAUACGUAUUUCAGCUUACUCCGAAGGGCAUCGUCUUUGGAUAACAAUCAAUCCUUAAGGGGAACAGGUUGCCCUUAAGAUGCAUAGUUAAGGGCAAUUGUGUGACCAUGAUUUUCCAGGGUCGAAGCAGGGCCGAUCUGAAUAUUGAUACCUCAGAGUCUGGUUAUAGACUUACCAGCUCCGAGCGGAGUUAGAUCAGACGGAGUAGCAGUGCCCCUAUCACCCUGCUCCAGGGCAAUAGGUAAAGUCCGAGCGACUCUAUUGGAUGACCAUGCUUGUUUCGCAAGAUACGUGAUUGAUCCAUAUAUGGACUUAAUCUGAUCCUUCAUAAGUCUUAAAGUUUCUACAAUCUAGGAAUUGACGUGCACCGCAAGUAAUCAUAACUCCUAAGAGGGUGCAAUAUCUGCUUCUAGAUAUCUUCUAGGAUUCUCUGGGCUUAGAACAAGGAUUCUAUCCUAAAAAUGUCUUUUCCUACAAUAUAAAUACACCCAUCUAGAGUUCGUCUCUGGUAACGCAAACUUUGUACUUUAAUUAUCUUACCCACUACUUGAGUCUUAAACUCUUUACUAACUUGACCGACCGCUUUUGGCUAGCACACCACCCCAGAUCUUAGGCUUGCUCAUAAUUAUUCUCUGUUUUGCAAGUAGCUUGAGUUUGUGCCUUCACCAUCUGCGGCGGUGCGCAAAUUUGGUUCUAACAGCUCUAAAGCAUUGCCUCCUACUGGACUUCAUCUAGUUUUGAUUAGAGAAUGGCACAAUAUACAUCCCAGAAGUUGCACUCCAUUGCGAGUGUGCACUCAUCAUCAUCUAUUUUGUCAAAAUUGUAUAGACUUAACCUCAAGGCGGACUACUUAGGUACCCAAAUUGUUUGCCUUUCUUUCAUCGCAACUCAUACAUUCUGACAGUUCAUCUCUCUCAGCCAUGACUUUCUCCAAAUCUGCUGUCUUUUUUUUGCAACUGUCUUUCCAACUGGAUUCGACGGCCCAGCUCGGCUUUGUAGGCCAUUUCAACCUUGAGAAUUUUGCUUGUUUGGCUCUUGAGAGUAACUUUUAUCAGUGUGUUCGCCUGGGCAAAACAAAUUAGGAGUAAGUCGAGUAGGGGAGUAAGUCAAGUAGAUGAGUAAGUAGAAGAAUUAGAGUUUUAGGUAAAGAUGGAUGAAUUUACCACGUAAUGACUUUGAUAGUAGUUUUUGACCAUUUAAUCAGGCGCAAAGACAACUUCUUCAUAAAAAAAAGGCACAAUGGCCGAACGAACCAAAGCAUGGGCGUGUUUCUCGUCAUGGAGUCUGCUAGCAUGAAAGGUAGAGUCUUGCGACAAAAAAACAGGCUUUAAUAUCAGGGUUGGUUGUCAACGUUGGAAGAAUGUGAUGCCUUACAAGAGCGAAUGCAGGUCAGCAAGCCUAACUGUAGCUGCUUCUACGUCGGGCUAGGAGGAGCAUAACGAUCACCAAGUGUUUAUAGGACCAGAAGGAUGACAAGUUCAUCCAUUUGUUGUUGUUAUUGUUGCUGCUCUAGUUUGUUAUUGUUGUUGUGGCGCCAUGCCAGUUAGUGGAAGUGUUUGUACAAUGGAGGCAUUAGUAAGAUUCUCAUUUUUGAGCAAUUCUACCACCACUUUGUCCUUAGCUGUUGAAGUUUACUGGUGUUCAGAGGUAAGUAACCCCAAUUCAAAAUCUUGGAUCACCAACACUUUACUGAUGGAGGAAUGCUAGGGUUUUCAGAUUCGUUUGAUUUCUUUUUAGGAGGUUUACUGUUAGAUGAUUUCUUUGCGAAAUUCUUACGACGUUUCAUUUUCUUCUUUUAUGAUCUUGGGGUUUUUGGGACUUUCAUCAAUCCUUCCUAUCCUUAGCCUUCAUGCAUUGACCUAGUAUAAAUUCUCAAUGGGAUGCUUGGUGCACAAAUCGAUAAUAGCGUCUUUCCCAUGCUCUUUAACUCUUUAUGGGGCAAUGAGCCAUUUCCAAUUCCGAUGCUCGAAGAGAAUGAUGUUGAAUGCCCUGUCAAUUAGCCGUGGACGACACUGAUCGAUGUUUGUGAUAUCAUUGUUGCAGUCAAGGCUAGUGGAAUGAGUGUUUCAAAUUCUGGUUCCAAUGAUAUCCAUUUCCCAGUUUUUGUUUACAAUAAGAAUGUCUUUAUACUAGUCUUUAUCAUGGCGGGGAAGAUCUGGCAGCCCUUCUGACACUGGGUCUCGAUUGAAAAAAGUAAUAUAGGUCAGAGUUCCUGCAAAUAGUACGAAGCAUAUGAAAUUCCUGGAUACCUAAGCCUACUCCAUACCAGUCAUUCAGGAGCUCGAAGCAUGUGAGGACGUGGAACAAUGCAUGAGUCAAAUUGCAAACAGCAACGUUGAAGCUACUUAAUACUUGUUUUAAGAAAAGAGAAAAAAAGAGCUUUAUAAAUAGGUCUAGUUACCAUGGGUGAUUUUGGUACAUGGAUGGUUGGGGUCGGAAGGUUUUGGAUAAAGAAUUUUAAACAUUAUGCAUGCGCUUCUAUUUGGCAGAACAAUCGUUCAGGAAAUGAUGAUGAAGACUAACAAUACCUUUUGCUUCUUCUUCACUUUAUACUUUCACCAUGAGAGGUUCAAAAUGAGAAUCAUAGUUAGUAGCAAGAUGAUGAAGCACAUUUGAAGGUGCAAUCAUUGACUUGGAUAAAAAUAUACGAGGAGAUCAAGUAAAAAAGAUGAGAGAAUGGUAGAUAUUUCAGACUUGAUUUGUAAGAAUGUAAGACCUUUAAAAAAAAGGGCAUUUAUGUGAAAACUAAGGAAAAGGUCUUGAGGGUAUUUAAGGAAGAUAUCUUUGAAUUGCCUAACCGUUGAAUAUGGAUCGUCAUUAGUAGAUUCGACGGUUGAAUUUAUCUAGAGAAAAUAGCAAACAGUGCUUUAUUUUCUACGCACACGUUGUUGCCACUAUCCUUAUCAUUGCGAUAUUAAAGGUACAAUUUAUGAGAUGGUGAACUCAGAUAAGGAGUGAUUUGAUGUCCAAAUGGAUAUCGAGAAACGAUGCUGAGACACCAUGUAUCUGAAGCAAGAAAACUAUAUGUAUUCUGACUUACUCCAAAAUGCAUCGUCUCUAGGUAACUACCCAUCCUUAAGGGGAACAAAUCUUUCCAAUGCCUAGUUUGGGGUAGUUGUAGAACCAUGAUUUUUCAAGGCCAAAGUAAUGCUGAUCAAAAUACGCCUACUUUAGAAGUCCGAUCAUGGACUCAAUAAGAUCCAUUGCGGAGCUGAUUAAACAGAUCAGUGAUGCCAUAAUCAUCCUGUUUCAAAAUCAGUGGCAAAAUCCAUCGACUUCGCUGAGAUAGACCAUUCUUGUUUCGUAAGAUUCGGGAACCCAAUCCAGUAAGGAAUCAUUAGGUUUCUUCUUGGAGUCCUUAAAAUAUAAGGAUUGGCGUGUGCCACAAAUAAUCACACUCCUAAGAGGAAGCAAUAUCUAGUUCCAAAAUAUCCUCAUGGAUUCUACUGGUUUAAUUAGGAUUCUACAAUCCUAAAAGGUCUUUUCCUCGACUAGUAUAAAUACAUUGCUAGGGUUCAUCUCUAGUAAACUGAUUUUGCAAGUAAUUGCCACUAUCCUUAUCAUUGCGAUAUUAAGGGUACAAUUUAUGAGACGGUGCACUUAGAUAAGGAGCGAUUUGAUGUCCAAAUGGAUAACAAGAAACGAUGUUGAGACACCAUGUGUCUGAAGUAAGAAAACUAGACGUAUUCCGACUUACUCCAAAAUGCAUCGUCUCCAGGUAACUACCCAUCCUUAAGGGGAACAAAUCUUUCCAAUGCCUAGUUUGGGGUAGUUGCGGAACCAUGAUUUUUCAAGGCCGGAGUAAUGCUGAUCAGAAUACGCCUACUUUAGAAGUCCGAUCAUGGACUCAAUAAGAUCCAUUACGGAGCUGAUUAAACGGAUCAGUGAUGCCACAAUCAUCUUGUUUCAAAAUCAGUUUUCUACAAUCCUGAACCCUAUUUUGCCAGUAAACUGAUUCUGGCAUCUCCACUACUCACAACGGUACGCGAAUUUGGUUAUAACAACAAAUAUGUCUGCAGAAGAAAGCUUUGUUAACACUAACGAUAACAUGACAGCAUGAGAUAACCCAUUCCCUGAUGCCUCCACCGCUCUCGUAGGGAAUAACCUAAUCUCCAAUGUCUUCACCACUCCUGGAACGAGCAACUAAGCCCCUGAUGCUAUGACCAUCCUAGCGAAUAGUAACGCUCUAAUCACUGGACAUCCUCUCACCAUGGAAUAGAUUUGGGGGACUCAGUUGAAGAUCAAUGCUUUUGGUGAUAAAUUUCAAAGAGCCUACAUGGCUUCUCGAGCAAAGAAUCAUGCAAUGUUCGUGGGCGUUGAGAGACAAAUGAAAUCUCUAGAAAACUCCAGCAAGGCUAGUCCACAAACACAGAUUCCUAUUUUCAACUAUGUAAUAUUAGUACCAUAACUCCAGAAGGGCAACCCAUUACACCAAUUUCUACCCCAAUCCCAACGAAAAUUGCUAAUUCGGGUACAAGCUUCCCUCACAAUGGACAUAUUGUUAACAACGCAUUUGCAUGUGGGAAACUGUGAAGUCUAGAUUUAGUUAUUUGGCUUUCCUUGUUAAAAGUUGUCAAUGAUACCACAUGCUCUUAGACUGUUUUUUGUUUGUACAACUUCAGUAUAGGUUCAUCUAGCUAGAUAUUGUGUCCCAAAACAUUGGUCGAAGACAUUCAUCAUAACAGAAGGUUUGUUUAUUCAUGUGCAUUCAUGCAUAAACUUGAGUUUAGUCUAUUUAGUCAUGUUGUCUGGUCAGAAAUUCUCACUGUUAUCCAGCUGUUUGGUCAAGCUUUUUGAGUCAACCCAUAUGGGCUUUCUGACAAUUUAGUUCGAGGUUGAAAUCUCAAUCUUAGAUUUUCUUAGAUUGAGCUCUGCAUUGACAAGUGUCUUUAUCCUUAUGUGGACAGAAAUCUUGUAGCUCCCAUGAUAAAACCCUAGAUGCCUUCUUUGUUUCUUCGGCUAUAACAUUUUACAUUUGUUAAAGAGUGUGUUUGAGUUUAGUGUUUCCUUUUUUAAUUGCCCUGCCAUAAAAUUGUUCUCAUGCAUUAAAACCCAAGAUUUUUGUGUAUCUGGGUUGCAUUGGUUCCUUUGUUUUGUGUUUUGUUCUUGAUCUAGCUUUAUAAGUUAAAACCUUUAAUCAGAUCAAGUAUUGGAUUGUUGUUGGUUUCUUCAUUCAAGUGUUUGAUUGGAGAAAUUGAUUGGUUUUAAAUCCAAAUUUCAUAUCAUUUGCAUUGAUCGUGUUGGUUCUCGGUCCACAAGAUGAUGAGCUCAGGAGGAGCUGCCACUUCGUGAAGAUCGAAGGAGUCCAUCUAGUGUAAAGCAAGGUUGCACAAAGGUAUAAACUGCUCAAUAGAUUAGGAUUUAGGAAUUGGGCUUAUGCGGAUACUUUGUAUGAAUCUUGUUUACACUAGUGGAUUGGACUCAGUGGUGAGUCCCCGGUUUUUUAACCCAUAUGUAGGUUUUUCCUACCCAAAACACCCUGUGUUGAUUAUUGUUUUUCUUGGCUUUUAUAUCUCAAUAUUUGUGAAUGAGAUGCUAUCACCAUGACCUGUUCUUGCAACUAAGUUUAUCAGCGUUUGAAUUUAUACUGAACUGGAUCUUAGUUAACUAUGAACAUUUCAGUAAUUCAAGUCUUUAAAUUGAUUGAUUUAGCUGUUAUUAAACUAACAAAUCUGAUCUUAGUUGACUGGUGUUGCUGACUAGUCAGACAAGCACAUAUAUAGAUUUUUAAAUGCAGGUUAUUUCACCUGGUAUCAAUUUUAGAUAUAGAUCCGAAGUGAUGUUGGUCUCUUUGACACUGUACGAGUGCCUCGAAUGGAACCUCGUCAUCUGAAGUGGCGCCGCGGGCCCCUGAAUAGUGACAAAGCUAGGGAUGCACUGAGGAAAAUUUAACCUUGCAUCUCUAGCAAGAUUGUCGCCACAGCCAGAUGCUCGCUUUCCUCUACAAAUAAGUCGGUAGCUCUGCUUGAGAAAUUCUCUCAACCUAAAUUUAAGUAAUUUCGUGCUGUACAACAAUAGCAGCACUUAGAUGUUCAAGAUGUAUGGUUCUUGGAGUUACUAGCCCAUUCUAUCAAUUACUUCGAAAUCUUAGCCAUAUUCGCAAACACCUAUUUAGUGUACCACGAUGUUUGCUAUCAAGCCAUAUUCAGCAUGGAUGCUCAAAACAAGGAUGAAAGUCUUAAGGCUUACUUAAAGCGAUUCCUCGCGGAAUUUGCUGAAGUAGAAAAGAGAGACGAUUGACUCGCCAUCGUGGCUUUCAAGCAGAGAGUUUAUGUCCACUCACCCCUCUCUCUAGACCUGACAAUUUCUUAGAUGACCUGUUAACCUGACCCCAAACAACACGAAAAUAAAGGGUUUUAGUCAACACAUUAACUAAUCGGGUCGCACUUUAAGAACCCGUUAAUAACUAGUUCUUAACAAGUUUACCCAUGGGUAAUCCAUUAAGAAUAAAGUUAGUUUGAUAAUUUUACACUACUAAACAAACCUUACUACAAUAGCCAUAAUAUUUAAUCUCACUUAUGUGAGAUUAAAAAAUUCCAAAGCACAUUGAAAAUACCAAAGUAAUUUAGAAAUACCAAAGCACAUUAAAAAUUCAUAAUAAUUAAUUUACAAGUGUGAAAAAUGUGAAAAAAAUUAUGCAAAUGCUCGUGAUCAUAUCCUCUAUGCUUUGGCGAUAAGUCCAUGUUCGUUUGAAUUUUUAAAACCUUACAAAUCCUCAUGACUAGUUUUUUUUUUAGUCCAAAAUAAAUAAAAAAUCAUUAUAAUUAAUAUUCAAGUGUGAAAAAUGUGAAAGAAUAUACAAACGCUUGUGAUUGCAUCAUCUACACAUAGAUGAUGGUUACAUUGCUUUUUGGUUUUUAAAACCUUCUAAACCCUCAUGAAUAGUGUUUUUAUUUAUUUAAGUGCAAAAUUAAUAAAAUUUGAUAAUAAUUAAUGUGGAAGUGUGAAAAAUGUAAAAAAAAAAUAUACAAUCACUCGUAAUGACAAGUUUUACAACUUUCAUGAAGGGGUGAAGUCUGAAAUUCGACAACAUAAUCCAUAAACCCGAGAUUUAUAGUUAUCUAUUGAUUGUCAUUUACGCUCGAUUCUUCUCACUAGAUUUCGUUUUUCAAUUUUUUUGUUUUUGAAAAUAUGAUCUUUUAGUGGAUACAGAAUAAUGAACGAUUCGGAUAAUUGAUAUCACGAUCCAUUGUUUACGGUUAAUUCAAAUAUGAGUUAAUGUUAUAUAGUUUCUUGCCGUGAUAUCAACUUUCCAAACCGUUCAUCUUUCUGCAUCCGCUUAUAGAUCAUGUUUUUAAAAAAGAAAAUCUGAAAAUGAAAUCCAGUGAGAAGAAUAGAGCAUAAACUGUGAUCGACGAUUAAAUAUAAAUAUAGAGUUUAUGCAUUAUGGGUCGAAUAUCGAAGACAACCCCAUCACAAAAGUUAUAAGCUUGUCAUUACGAGUGAUUGUAUAUCUUUUUUACAAUUUUUUUUCACUCUACAUUCAUUAUUAUGAAUAUUUGGGGUAUGUAAUACUUGAAAGACAAAUGUGCUUUUAUGUUUUGAAGUAAUACUUAUGUGACAAUGUGGUAUGUAGACACUAAUUUAGUAUUACGUGUUGGAACCAAAUUGCGCACCUCCGGGAGUAGUGGUUGAGCACAAACUCGGGCAACGUGCAAAACAGUAAACAACUGUGAGCAAGCCUAAGACUCGAGGGGAGGGUGUGGUGUGUCGGCCAAAGGCUUUCCAACAGUCAAGUUAGUGAAUAAUUUUAGACUGUAGCAAUAGGUAGAAGAAUUGAAGUGUUUAGAUUGCGUUACCAUAGAUGAACCCUAGAUGGGUGAAUUUAUACUACAAGGAGAUAGACCUUUUUAGGAUAGAAUUCUCCUUCUAAACUGAGAGAAUCUUAGAGGAUAUCUAGUAAGUAGACAUUGCAUCAUCUUAUGAGUUGUGAUUACUUGCAGUGCACGCCAAUCCUUAAAUAUAGGAACUCUAAAACUUAUAAGAUAUGAUUGUGUCCAUAAUUAGAUCAGAUCGCAUGUCUUGUGGAUCAAGCAUGAUCAUCCAGUAGAGUUACGAGGACUCCGCCUAUUGCCUUAGAGUCAAGUGAUGGUGGCACCCUGCUCCAUCUGAUACAGCUUAGCUCAGAGCUAGUGAGUCCAUGAUCGGACUUUUGAGGUAACAAUAUUUAAAUUAGCCUUACUCUAACCUGCAAAAUUAUAGUCCCACAAUUGCCCCAAAUUAUCCGUCUAAGAGGCAACCCGUUCCCCUUGAGUUUGAUUGUUAUCCAAAAAUCGUACCUGUUGGAGUAAGCUGGAAUAUGUACUGUUUAGUCUUUAGAACGAUGUAACCUUCGGUAUUGAAGUGGAGGCUUUUUGGACUUGGAUGAGUAGUCUCGAGCUAUGUGCCAAAGUUUGGUAACAAUGAUUGUUGGAACCAAAAUAGUGAAACAACUGUAAGCAAACCUUAACCCAAAGGGUGUGCCGCCAAAGGCUUUCCGACGAUCAAGUUAGUGAAUGAUUUUAGACUCAAGCAAUAGGCAAGAGAAUUCAAGUGUAUAGAUUGUGUUACGUAGUUAAACCCUAGUUGGGUGUAUUUAUAUCAUGGGAGAGAAACCUUUUAGGAUAAAAUCCUCGUUCUAAGUUGGGAGGAUUUUAGAUGAUAUCUAGUAAGUAAAUACAGCAUCCCCUUAGGAGUGUGAUUACUUGCAGCGCAUGCCUAUCCCUAGAUUGUAGGGACUCCAAGACUUAUAAGAUUUGAUUGUGUCCAUAUUCGGAUCAAAUCACGUCUCUUGUGGAAUAAGCAUGGUCAUCUAGUAGAGCCAUUUGAACUAUGUCUAUUGUCCCGGAGUAGGAUGAUGGUGGCACUCUGCUCCAUCUGAUACAGCUCCACCUUGAGCUGGUGAGUCCAUGACCGGAUUUUUGAGGUAACAAUAUUCAGAUUAGCCUUACUCCGACCCUGGAAAAUCACAUUCUCACAAUUGCCACUAACUAUCCGUCUGAGUGGCAACCUGUUCCCCUUGAGGAUGGAUUAUUAUCAAAGACCAUGCCUUUCGAAGUAAGUUGGAAUACUUACCGUUUAGUCUUUAAAUUCUUUCACAAGUGAUAUGGCCUUUGGAUGGCAGUGUCUUCAAUCCUAAAUGAGUCACCUUGAACUCCUUGUUUUUGACCUCGAUAUGAUGAUGCGUCGCGUUCGUCGUGUGCACAUGAAAAACGAGAAAUUUCCUUUGAUAACAAUCAGGUCCAUUGAUUUCGAGGUAAAACGGUCUGUAUUUAAUGGUAUGAUGAUUCAAAAUAUCCUCUUUUAAAUAACUUCCACAUCACCAAUUUCACUUUUCUUCAAAUUCCCAAAUCUUGUUUAGAAGGCGCUUCCACUAUUCACUCGUCGAUGUUAACCUUCUCUUACUUGAUCGAAUUUAAUGGCGACCAGCUCUUUUAACCUAACUAUUCAAUCUGACAUUCUGGUUAGGGUUUGUAACAGAGGUGAAGAAGAAGUCUUUCCUACGAGUCGUAGUCAUCUUCUCAAUGGAUGUUGGGCUUGGUAGGAAGAUAAUGGUAAUGUGGCAACAGAACUUCCUAACUCCAAGUUUUCUGAUCGCCCAUGUACUAGAAUCCACCCUUGUUAUCUUGAUUUAGGACUAGGGUGCCCUCUGUCACAACUAUAAAAUGAGAUCCUUAUUCAUUUUCAAAGUUAGUCUCUGCAAUCUCACCCCGACUUCCAUUCGCAUUAUCUUCUGUUUCGACAGCCUGGAUGAUUGGUAUCAUGCUGAGCUGGGCUUGUUUGAAUUUCUCACUUUUUAGCAACUCUAAAGGAGUUCACUCCCUACUUCUUUCAAUCCCGGUCCACCAUUUGGUGGCCUGCCUACAUCACUGAUAUCCUAUCUCACGACAAAGAUUGGUACAUAGAUAUCCUUUUGGUAGAAAGGACUGGAACAGUGAUAUAUCCUUGCCGAGAAUUCCUUAUAAGCUCAAAAGUGACAUUCCUUAUAAGAUGGGUGACUAGAAUCCUAGUCAAUGUUGCAUUGAGCUUAUAGAUAGGGCGUUCAAACUCAUUCUCUCUUGGCAUUGGAGUUGGAAGUGGCUUAGGGCGCCGAAGAGAAACAUUGUUCAGAGAAGGGACGACAUCAACGAUCUUUGCUAUAAACAUCUCAUUCCUAACCCUGCAUGGGUUGGGACCUAAUGCUUUGAAGUCUUCCAAACAUUCCAAAGGUGCCCCUAAAGCAGAGAAAAAGAAAAUGAAGAUGAGGACUAAAAAGGAGGAUUCGAAGAUGGUCCUGGUCAAAGCAUCCAAGAAAAAGACCAAGUUAACGGGUCAUCCUAGGAUUUGUUUAGAUAAAAGAUCGAAAACCAUGAACCUUGCUCCUAUUAUUGAAGAGAAUUUGCAACAAAUCCCUGCAAACCCAGGUAAAGGAAAAGGUAAAUCCAUUCUUGUAGAGGGGUCAACGUUGGCACGAAGGCUGUUGAAAAAGGGAGUGCAUCCAUCUGUACUUGAUUCUUGGUUUUGUAGCUGCCCCUACUAGUAAUCAAAGUCUUGUUGGCAAACUGAAUACCUUGAUGCCCGAUACAUCAUCCAUUAUGUCUGGUAUUUGUGAGAGAAUAUUUAUCGAGGUGCCUCACUUAGUGAUCAGGACCGCUAUCGGUUCAGAGCCACUUCCUCUAGAUGCAAAUGGUCUUCGAGAUGCGGGAUAAGCUCAGGCUUUGAUGUGCUCAGCUCCUUUUUGCAGAUUAUAGGGAAAUCUAAAUUACGAAAUAUCCGAGGGAGAGAUGUUAUCAAAGCAGAUAUGUGGUUAGUCUUCUCAAUCUUUCAUAUCACUAGUUAUCUAUGUGCUCAUUUUUUCUUAUUCCUACCUCAAUAUACCUUUCUUAAGCUAAUCUGGGCCCAAACAAAUGAGAACUCCCAACUUAAGGCUGCUAAUAAUAGUGAGUUAGGCAGCAUGAUCAAAGCUGAUGGGACCUGCAGAAGAGAAGUGCUAGGCUCGAGAUGUUACUGGUGGAUAAACAAGCUUAGAAUGCUGAGAGAGAUACCCUUAGGACGCAUUUAUAAGAAACCUAGAGGGCAUUCACAUCAGAGAGGAGUUUGUGGGAAGCAGACAGGUCUAUCAUCCAGUCGAAAUUGGACGUAGUUCAGGAUGAAAUGUGUUGUAUAGAGAAAAUCCAAGCAAAGUCUUCUCAGCAAAACGAGGAAAAAGUCAUGGAGCUACAACGACAAUACUAGGAAGACAUCAUCCUUGAGUACAAUUAGGGUUAUCUUGAUGGUUAUAGUGUUUAGGACCAUCGUGAUCAGUGGGACAUUACUUGUUUGCUCAAAGAGAUAUGAAACGCUGAUUUGCCGGUGCCUUCCUCGCUUGUAGUUGAUGCAUUGAUGAUCGCCUUAUCGGAGCAUAGUGAAUCUUCUUCAGAGUUUAAAGGACAAAUGAAGAAGAAGGAUACUGCUGCUGCUAAUACUCAUCUUGUUGGUUCCUAUUCAGUUGAUCUUAAGGACGUAACGAACUCCGGUGCCGCUAAAUAGUUGUUUUUCUUAUGCUUUGCAAAGCUAGAAUGGGGGCGUGUCCCAUUCACUGAACACUUUGCCCCUGUCUGAGCUUUGAAUCUUUUUAACUUUGUCUGAGGGUGUUCUUUUCUUGUACCUCAUAUUUUUCUAACCGUGUCCCCGAUUCGGCUAACUUUCCAAAGUAAGCUAACUUUGGAACAAUAAGUAGCAAGGUGAAGCACAGAUGAGUUUGUGGGCCCGAGACAGAGCAUAAUAGCCCCCUUGAUGAUAUUGAUCCGAAAAAACAUCAUCUCUCAAACUCAAUGCUUGUAAGGGUACCCAUCGUGAUAAUCAAAGUACCAUCUUGCUCUAAUACCAGGUGUUAAGGCCCAUAGAGAACCCUUUGCCUUGUUUCUACUCUUGUUGCUAGAUCUAAGAGGACGGUAUUUCUUUUAUCAGGAAUGUCCUCUCAUUUAUUUGCUUUUCUCAUUUCCUUUCUAGAGAUUCUUCGAAUCUUGUUGCAAAGUGAUGCUCGAGGGAUUUGUACCUCUUAGCACAUGUUGCGUGUUUGUCUCCAGUGAAUUUUUAGGCGAAAGUUUGUUGGAGAAGAGUUUACCUGCUUGUCGAUCGAAAACAAUUUUUCAAUCCUUUUGUCAGACCUUAAGCAUCAAACCUGAGCAUUUCCGUUCGGACUACUUUGGUUGGCUUGACCAUAACAUUUAUAUGUAUCGGAGCUCCGUCGGAAUAAAUUCCUCUUGGGGAUUGCCUAGUCUGGAUGCCCAUUUCGAACCUGCUAAUACUUGGUGUUGUAGGCUUACUUGGUACGGAAUAGAAGUAGUCGUACUCGAGGUCGGAUUUGAGAGCCACCUUCCGAUGAGUUUCGGAUCACCCUUUCGACUAUUCCUUCGAAUGGCAUAGAGCUUGGGUUUGAAUGUUAUAGCCCAUAACCUUGCUAGUUGCAUAAACUUUUCAAAGGUCGAAGAGUGCAUUGGACUUCUAGGUCAAGGCACCAUGUACCCGUGCCCGUAGCUCGUCAAUCGUUACCGCGCUUAUUACAGUUCGAGUUUCCCAAGUUGCUAAUCGUUCCAGACAGAUUAGGCUAAAUGAGGCUCAUCUAACAGUGUAACUUUGAACGUUUUUAUACUUUAUUGUUGCAAAGUUUUCAAAAUUUGUGCCCUAUUUUGAAUGAGUAUGGUACUCCCUGCAUCACCCAAAAAAUAGAGAAAGAACACAUAUUUAAGACAAACAUAUGCUUUUGAAUCAUGAUCCAAGUAAAGUUGGUUUACAAGAGGGUGUGAUUGAAUCCGUUCCGACAUGCAUAUUUUUUAUUUGCCAAUGAAUUUACGAGAACGAUUGCCUACAUAUCUCAGGAAUGGAGAAUCAAAUCACUAUUCUAGUUCUAAGGAAAAGAUGAUAUGAUGUAAAAAUUACAUCAGGGAUCACUUCUGACGAAAAGCCUAUGGUGGGGCGUUAGGAGUUGAGUUAUUGGUGAACUUGUCUUCACGCAGAUGGCGGUGUUGUGAUUGGGUCAGGAGAGGAUUGCCUACAUAUCCCAGGAAGGGAAUCAAAUUGUGUAUAGUUUGUGUUACCUUUUUUCUUUCAUUUGAUUUGGACUCGACAACAAGGUAUCCACUUCAUGGUGGUUGGUGUCAGAUUUCUUGUGACCCUUUCUGUUGCUUGUGUCCGACCUUUGCAGAUGACGUUUAUGUUGAGGGUCAUUUUUUUACAAGUUGUUGGUCUUCAUUAUCGGUGUGUUUGUCCGACCGGUCUAUGUUCUUGGGUUCAGCUGAAUUUUCCUUCUGUGCCUUGUCCCUAACAAAUUUCUAGCAGUGCCCUUGAUCCAGCAGCUCUUUGAUAUUAUCCCUCAGCACUCAAUAACCUCUGGUGGUGUAGGCAGUAAUCUUAUGAAAAUAGCAAUAUUCACUUAGGUUUUUCUUGGCUAAAUGCUUUGGGAAAGGUUUUGGACGUCAGAGGAGGGGUUUAUCUUUUAUGCUGUGGAAGAUGUUAUUAAUGGCGGUAUUCAGGGCAAUAUACUAUUUGAGUUUUGACCGCUCUUUCUUGUCUCGGCGUCCUCUUUUCAUGACUUGUCGAAAAGAAGGUGGGGGAGUGUUUUUGUCCAUCAUUCUCUCCCCCAUUCUUCUGUUAGUUUUCCUAGAUUAAUCGAGUUCAAUGGUCGUCAUUCGGCUCUUAUCGUCCCCUUCGAUCAGAUAGUCUGCGAUAUAUAAGCACUUAACUAGAGUAGCGUAGUCAUAUUUUUUUCUUGUUCAGCUUCUGGGAGAGAAGUGAAUGGAUAUAAAGGCUUCGCUUGAAUGCCACAAUCGUGAAAGCGCUUCAAAUAAGCUCUAAGACAACUCUGCUCGAAAGCCCUUCAAAUAGGCUCUAAGACUUUCAUCUCUAGUUUGACUGAGUAGCCUGAACAUAGCUUCAUAGCAUUUUCUGACAUCAUGGUACACAUAAUAGUUGUUCGUAAAUAAGUCGACUAGAGUUUCAAAGCAGUCAAUGGACCUGGCUGAUAGCUCUGAAUACCACUUCAUGGCGGGUCCUUCCAAGGUGGAUUGGAACAUUUUGCACAUCCAAGCGUCGUUGUUGUUGUUGUACAAUGCCAUGUCAUAUCUGUAGUGCAUGAUAUGGUAGUCAAGAUCAGAAUCACCACGGAAUGACUUGAACCUCAAUUGAGAGAAUUUUUCUGGUAGGGGCAUUCAUUCGAUUGUUGCUGAAAAAUGCAUCUUGGUCCAAACAAUCGACCUAUUCGUAGUGCGAGGCUGAAUGAGACUUGCAUAAUUAUCUCCAUUCGGAGAGUAUCGUUGUUCUUGGUUACUAGGAGCCUUGGGUUCAUCGAACCUUAAACGGCAGGGUUCCCUCAUCAAUCCCCCGAUGUGUUUUGAGGGGGAUUUUGCAGAUUUUAGGUUCCUUCUCUUGUGUCUGCGCCUAGGAUCUGCCCAUUGCCUGUGGGAUUUCUUAUGGGAUUUACGGUGUUUGCUGCAACGACUCGUCCCCAAAAUUUACGAUUUUUAUAAUUUUUAAAAUGCUAAUUUAUGAAAAUGCCCUUCGAGGAAAAUGCGAUGAUUUAUGUUGACAACCUUGUCAUGUCACUUAAGAUCCAUUUUCUUGGUGUAUCCUCGUAGUACUCAUCACUACGAAUACAUGAGCACAAACAGAACGUAAUUUGGAGUUAUAACGAAUGAGUUAUUAAUGAUUGAAGUUAAGGGCAAAAUGGCCAGUUGACCAUAAAUCUGGAAGGCUCCAGAUUUUAUUGGAACAUUAAUAUGAUGCCACGUGUAUGGCCAGCAUGGAGACUUGAGGGGCGACCCAAUCAGAAGGGGGAAAUGAGAGAAAUGUGAGAUGGGAAAAAUGAGGGAACCUAUUCAUCCAUUUGACCUGUUUUCCAACCCGAGACUCGGUUCUAACCCAGACGUCGGGCAUGGUUUUUUGACGUCGUUGUGGCAUUUUGCUUGCAAAUUAGGGCUAUCCACCAUUACCAAAUCAUUUCCCUGCCACUUUCCCUUCCAUCUACAACCAAACCAACGAGUUUUGGCCUUGGUUUUGCCUGUAACCCACCGACUGGUCCGAGUGAUUCUCGACGGCGAUUUACCAUUUGUGAAACAUUUUCCUUCGAUCACCACCACCAUUAGACUUCUCUUGAGGCCGGGAACAAAGCCCAAACAAGUUAGGGGGUGAUGGAGUUGAAGAUUUGACAAAGAGCACUCAAUUCUAAGGUUUCCAGCGGAUCGAUGGUGAAUUGGGGUGUUUCCCAGUAAAAUUGGAUUUCGGCCUAGGUAUGAAAGUUGUUCCUUUCAUUGAGAUCUUCAUUCUUGUUAAUUUUGGGAUUUUUUAGAAUUGUUGAAUUUUCCAGCAAGUCGGGGUGGCCGGCCGCCGCGUGACCUUUCGAGUCGCCGCCUCAUGGUGGCUCAUGCGGUGGCGCGUGAGGGGAAACCUAGGUCCCUCCUUAGGUUUUUUGAUGUGCCGGAUCCAAAUUCGCCAUCUUUUUUCCUAAAUUCUAUCAUUUAGAUAUAGUUUUACUAAAUGGUCCCUAAUUAUGUUUAGGCGCGUGGCGGGAAGCGACAUCAUCCUUACUAGCUCGAGCGGUUUCCGAACAACGAAAUAUUUAUGAGUAGACCCCUUCUUAACUGAUAUGUUUUUAUAAAUACUAGCCUAGCAUGCAUUUCAUAUUUCAUGAUUUAAGUGUGUUUUAUAAUAUGCUUAUGGAUUUCUAUAAUUAUGGUUUACGAAAUAUUCAUGAUUUAUCGAGAUUACAUUUUACGAAUGGAUAUGAAUUAUUGGAUUUGCAUAUAUGGAUUUCUAUGGAUUUUGAACAUGAUUUAUCAUGGAUUUAUGAGAUGAGACUUUGAGCUUGUGAGCUUCAGAUUUGAUACAAGUUUUGAGAUAUGUUUCGGUACUUAUCUAGUGGGUUAUCAUACAACACAUACACGUACCACGGGGUAUGACGUCUAUGGCCAUAGGACACAGUGGAGGAGUAGUGAGAUAUAUGUGUACACACACACACACACACAUACCCCCAGCUUCACUGCCAAAAGCAGUGUUUGACAGCUUCACUAGCCACGGCUAGAGUCGGUGUGUAUGUAUGCUCUUUUAUUCAGCUUCACCUUCAGGUGAUGGACAUGUACUGCUUUUGGGUGACUAUGAUACCCCUAGAGAGAGUACAGUAUUGAUGAGAUUUUUCGAUUUGCCUUUGAGCGUUGAUUGCACCGUUUUUUAGCAUGGUUUUACUCGUACUUGUUUACGAAUGUUUUCAUGGCAUGCUAGGGUUUUCAGAAAAAACUUAUUAUGUAGUAUUAUAUAUGUUUUAAAAUAGGGGGUUAGUAUGUUCAUAAAUAAAAUGGUUUUCUUUACUAUUAGUAUUAUUAUUAUUAUAAACUUUGGUCCACUCACCUUUUUUUGUUUUGUACCCCCUUAGGAGGUAGAAUUGAGGCACACGAUCCCGACGUCAGGACAAGUCUACAUAGGUAUAUUCGAGUCUCCUCAGUGUAUGACUCUUUCUUUCAUUCAUGCCUUUUUCUAAUAAUUCUUUCUUAUUAUUCCAAAUUAGUGUAUGCUCUGAACACGUUUCUACAUUGUAUUUUUUUUUCUAAUUACAUAUUUUAUUCAUAGGCAUGUCCAAAAUAGCUUCGUCACCCUCGUGUAUCUGCCAGCACGUGCCUAUCCUAUUAAUAAAUGAAUAUCAGGAUCAGGGCAUGUCAUUUAUUGACACCUGAAUGAUUGAAGAUGUUAUGGGAUCGCCUUCUAGAGUCAUGGUGCUUAUGCUUCCAAAUCCAAAGACAAGGAUUUAGGUAGGAGGCGUUGUCCCGCUCAAGUUCUCCAGAUUCUUCAUCCGUUCUUCCAUUUUCAUGAAGUUGGAAUAACUGUUAGCAUGAGCCACAGUCUAGUUCUUCUGUAGCUUUUUGACAAAAGUGAUGAUCUUAGUUAGAGUCAAGGUUCUAAAAGUCGCUAGGCGCUAGUCGGGCGGCGGGCUGGGGCCUAGCGCCUAGGCGGCUAGGCGGGGCCUAGGCGGGAGCCUAGGCGGACUAGGCGGAUUUAAGUAAAUUUAUCAUAUUUCAGGUAAAUAAGUGUCUGCUUCUACUUGAAAUAUAUAUAAUUUCAUCAUAAACUACAAAAUAGAAUGCAUAUAUAUCAUGAAGUAUUGGAACAUAAUGAAAACAUGUGAAAUAAGGAUAUAAUGUUUGUUCAUUCAAGUAUGCAACAAGUCUCUUAUAAUUUAUUGGAAAAAAACAAAAUGCAAAAUGAAAGUUAUGUAUUUUCUGUCUAAGUGAGUUGCAACCUAGGCGGGUCUAGGCGGGUGCCUAGGCGGGCUAGGUGGGUGCCUAGGUGGUCUAGGCGGUGGGCUGGGGCCUAGGCAUUAAUCGGGGCAGUGGGCUGGGGCCUAGCGCCUAGGCGGGGCCUAGGCGGCGCUAGGCAGGGAUUUUUAGAACAGUGAAGAGUUUCCCAAAUCUCAUCCAUAGAAGGGGAGGUUAUAUGACUGGAUCUCAUCCUUCCCCAAGGGUGGUCGUCAUCCCUUGGGGGUCGUUGCUGGCUCCAGGCGUUCCUGCAGUAGUUGGAGGCAACGAGCCCUUUGCCUUAGGGAUAAUUGAUGCAUCAUAGGGUAGGCCUUUUUCGCCUAAUGGGUUGACAUGGGUGUUAAAUAAACUUUCUUCGCGCUGACUUGUUUACUGGUGGAGUGGUCUGGUCGAGAGGAAUAUGGGUUUGCUCUCUAUGAAAGCACCAAUUGUUGGAACCAAAACUGCACACCUCUUUCAGUGGCAGUUAAGCGUAAAUCCACGUAGUUUGGAACAACCUACAAAACAGUGAAACAAUUGUAAGCAAACAUAGGCCGGGAAGGGGGAAGGUGUGUGUGCCGGCCAAAUACUCUCUGACGAUCAAGUUAAUGAAUGAUUUUAGAUUCAAGUAGUGGGUUAAGUGUAUAGAUUGUGUUACCAUAGCUGAGCCAUAGAUGGGUGUAUUUAUACCGUGGGAAAGAGACAUUUUUAGAAUAGAAUCAUUAUUCUAAACCGGGAGAAUCCUAAAGGAUAUCUAGUAAGUAGAUAUUAAAUCCUAUUAGGAGUGUGAUUACUUGUGGUGCACGCCCAUCCCUAAAUUGUAGGGACUGUAAAACUUAUAGGAUUUGGUUGUAUCUAUAUCCAGAUCAAAUUGCAUAUCUUGGGGAACAUGCAUGGUCAUCCAGUGAAGUCGCUUAGACUCCGACUAUUGCUACAGAGUAGGAUGAUGAUGGCACCCUGCUCCAUCUAAUACAGCUCAGCAUGGAUUUGGUGAGUUCAUGACCGGACUCUUGAGGUAACAGUAUUCGAAUCAACUUUACUUCAGCCCUAAAAAAUCAUAGUCCCACAAUGAUGCGUUGCAUUUGUUACUUAUGCACGAAAAACAAGAAAUUUCCUCUGAUAAUCUGCUAUAUAGACAAAACUGUUAGAUUUGCUGAUCUCAAAAGGAACUGAUCUGUAUUCAACGGUUGGAUUACACAGUCUUCACUAUUAUUCUUCCUGAGUAAACCCUAAUUCUGGUAAAAUUAUGGCCGCCAGUUCAUAUGCCAUCCUGUUAUUCAUACUGGUUCUGACGUCUUUCCUAAGCCUCCCAUGGUUAGGGUUCUUAAUAAAGGAGAAGGAUAAGCCUUCCUUGCAAGUCGUAGCCAUUUUCUCAACAGGUGCUGAGUAUGGUGGAAAAAUAAUGACAAGGUGGCAAGCGAACUUCCCGAUUCUAAAGAUCCCAAUCGUCCUUGCACCAGAAUCCACCCAUACUAUCUUGAUUUGGGGCUAAGGUUUCCCUUGUUGCCUUUGUGGAGAAAGAUUCUUGUGUUUUACUUACCCCUUCAUUGGCACACAUUGUUACCACAUUUGAAUGCCUAAAUGAGUUGUAUAAAGCUGAACUGGGCUUUCAUGAGUUUUUCGUUCUUUACGAUCUUUACAAUAGCACUUACACGUGGUACUAUUUCCAGACUUGAUCUGCUCUUCGGUGGCCUACUUACAUUACGGAACUGCCUAGUCAAGAUAAAGACUAGUACAAGGAUAUUCUCCUGGUGGAAGGGAAUUAGGAAGGAGAUAUAUCUGAGCCAAGGGAUCCCCAUAAACCAAAGAGCGAAGUUAAUAGCAAAAUAGAGGCCAAUGACCUUAGACCAUGUCGUCGUGAGCUUAUCGAUAAAGCUUUCCACUUUAUCCCUAUCCCACAUCAGAGUUAGAAAUGGUUUAGUACGGCGGAUAAAGAAAGCGCAUACAUUAGUACGGCGGAUAAAGAAAGAGCACACAUGAGGGAUGACGUCAUGGACCUUUGUUCUGUCCAUCCUAUCCUUAACCCGGAGUGGGUUGAGGCUAAAGCUCAUAUGAGGCCGCUGAAGAAGAAAAAGAAGGGAGUGGGUUGAGGCUAAAGCUCAUAUGAAGCCGUUGAAGAAGAAGAAGAAGAAGAAGAAGAAGAAGAAGAAGAAGAAGAAGAAGAAGAAGAAGAAGAAGAAGAAGAAGAAGAAGAAAAGAAAAAGAAGGAAGAAAGAAAGAGAAGAAAGGAGGAAGAAGGAGAAGAAGAAGAAGAAGAAGAAGAAGAAGAAGAAAGAAGAAAGAAGAGAAGAAGAAGAAGAAGAAGAAGAAGAAGAAGAAGAAGAAGAAGAAGAGAAAGAAGAAGAAGAAGAAGAAGAAGAAGAAGAAGAAGAAGAAGAAGAAGAAGAAGAAGAAAAGAAGAAGAAGAAGAAGUUGUCAAAGUUUCAUAGUUAGGCCAAUUGUGAGACCAUGAUUUUCAAAGAUCAAAGUAAGGCAAUACGGCGGAUAAAGAAAGCGCACACAUUAGUACGGCGGAUAAAGAAAGAGCACACAUGAGGGAUGACGUCAUGGACCUUUGUUCUGUCCAUCCUAUCCUUAACCCGGAGGGUUUGAGGCUAAAGCUCAUAUGAGGCCCUGAAGAAGAAAAAGAAGGAGUGGGUUGAGGCUAAAGCCUCAUAUGAGGCCGUUGAAGAAGAAGAAGGAAGUGGGGUUGAAGAAGAAGAAGCUCAUAUGAGAAGAAGAAGAAGAAGAAGAAGAAGAAGAAGAAGAAGAAGAAAGAAGUUGUCAAAGUUUCAUAGUUAGGGCAAUUGUGAGACCAUUAUUUUCAAAAGAUCAAAGUAAGGCAGUACGGAAUAAAAGUACACGGAUUAGAAAGAGCGGAUAAAGACGUCAACAACACAGGGCGAUGAAAGAUGGAUUUGUCUUUCAUCCUAUGUUUUAACCGUGAGGGAAGAAGAAAAAGAAGAAGAAGAGAAGAAGAAGAAGAAGAAGAAAAGAAGAAGAAGAAGAAGAAGAAGAAGAAGAAGAAGAAGAAGAAGAAGAAGAAGAAGAAGAAGAAGAAGAAGAAGAAGAAGAUAAGAUCAAAGUUUCAUAGUUAGGGCAAUUGUGAGACCAUUAUUUUCAAAGAUCAAAGUAAGGCAGUACGGCGGAUAAAGAAAGCGCACACAUUAGUACGGCGGAUAAAGAAAGAGCACACAUGAGGGAUGACGUCAUGGACCUUUGUUCUGUCCAUCCUAUCCUUAACCCGGAGUGGGUUGAGGCUAAAGCUCAUAUGAGGCCGCUGAAGAAGAAAAAGAAAGGAAUGGGUUGAGGCUAAAGCUCAUAUGAGGCCGUUGAAGAAGAAGAAGAAGAAGAAGAAGCUCAUAUGAGGCCGUUGAAGAAGAAGAAGAAGAAGAAGAAGAAGAACUUGUCAAAGUUUCAUAGUUAGGGCAAUUGUGAGACCAUGAUUUUCAAAGAUCAAAGUAAGGCGAAUCGGAAUACAAAUACCUUAGAAGUCCAGUUAUAGACUCAACAACUUCCUAGUGGAGAUGGAAAGACGGAUUAACGAUGCCACCAUCAUCUUGUUUUAGAGCAGUGGGCGAAGUCUGCGACUUCGCUGAGAUUGGCCAUGCUUGUUUCGCAAGACAUGGAAACUUAAUCCAGCAGGGAAUCAAUAGGUUUCCUAUAUUCUUGGAGUUCUUGCAAUCUAAGUAUUGGCUUGCGCUACAAUUAAUCAUACUCUAUAGGAUGCUAUAUCUACUUCUUAGAUAUCUUUUGGGAUUCUCUCGGUUUAAUACAAAUUCUAUAUCUUAAAAGGUUUCGACUUCAACUAGUAUAAAUACACACUUCUAGGGUUCAUGUCUGGUAACGCAAUUAUCUGGUCACUUGUUCUCUUGCCUACUGCUUGAACCUCAUAAUAUUGCUUACUAAAUCGACAUUUGGAAAACUUUUUACCGGCACCCCCUCCCCACCCCUCGAUCCUUGACUACUUACGGUUGUUUUUUCUUUUACAAGUUACUCGAGUUUGUGCAUUUACCUCUCACGGUAGUGCACGAAUUUGAUUCCAACAACUAUAAUUAUAUUUUUGUCUUUGUCAAUGCAAGUAUCAAACAGAAACAGUAUACUUUUUAAAUAAUUAACCGUCAAUUAAAAGAGCAUAGUACUUUUCUACGGUGAAAAAAAGGGAAAAUGAAGAAAGAAUUAGAUUUCCACUUAGGGUUUUCAAUAGCUUCCUAUUUUCAAAGUAUAUAAAGUUAGGUAGAUAAUUCCCACCCACCUUUUCAGCUUUUCACACAGAUUCUUUAUUUCUGAUUUAUGUCACUGAAUCAAACAACAGCGAGGGACAUGAAAGCAUUCAUGCAAAAUCGGAAGGUCGUGCGUCCAACAUGAUGCCAUGGUCUAAAAAACAGUUGGCUGGCAAAACAAUCUGAUCCAUUACAUAAGUAAACCAUCAGAUUGACUAAAUAUUCAUUUCUAUAAAGAAUAUUACUUGUAUAAAUGUCAGAUCCAUCAAUGAAUAAGUUGCAGAUAAAAGAAUUUGAGAACGUAAGUUUGGACUGCAAUUUCAUAAACAUUCUUUAAAACUGAUUUACUAGUACUAGUCAUUAUCGAAGAACAAACCGAUAUACCAACUAUCACUGCUUUAUUGGUAUUUGUCUUCGCAUUGUUGAAAGAAUGAAAAUAAUAAUUAACAAGUUAAUACUAGAAAUCUUCAAUAAUUCCCUGCCUAACAAUCCACUACUAAUCACACAAUACUAAAUCAUGCCUCAAUGUGAUUAGAAAUAGAAUCAUUCAAUAUAAGUUAUCACUUAUUCUUUAAAUUUUCUAAUAUAGGAUAGCAUUCAUCAACCUUUCCCCUCACAAGGACCUUUUUUUAUGGGCCACAUGCAAAUAAUUCUCCAUUGGUAGCCCCCUUUCUAUUCUUUAUUUAUUUUUAUUUUUCGGUUUCUUUUUCUCAAGCAGCGGAAGAUUGUCAUGAAAGUGUCGUUAGCUCGAGCUGAAUCAAGGAGAACCUGCCUGAUUCCAUUUAAAGACAUCACACUAGUUACUCGUUAUUAAUCACAUCGAUAUUUUUUUCAAUUUAAUCAUCUGUACAACUUUACAUGUGUUGAGUUUUAUAAAAAACGACCUCAGUGCAAUUAAAGGUGGAGCCGUUUAAUAUAAUUUGUUAUUUAUUCUGUCAAGUAUUCAUUGUGAAUUAAUGUGAAUAAAUAAUAUAGUCAAGUUGACUCAAUUAUAUAUAACCAACUUUGUGAAAAAAAAUCUCUCUUUAAACAUUGCAAGUUGCAACCGUACUCCAAAAAUUAGAAUUUAUGAAAUGAUGUUGUCAUCAUUCUCAACCAGCCAAUAAACAUUAGCCAUACAUGCUUCCUGCGGGUUAGAAUUUCUUGAUCAAUUAUGCAUCAUUGUAGGGGUAGUUCAGUAUGGCAUCCCAAAUCGAAAAUGGGAAUCCGAAUCCUAAACCAAAAAUUUUUGGGACGAGAAUUUGAAUAUCAAUCCCAAACUGAAAUUUAGGUAUUCCCAAUUUCCGGGAUUCCCAAAAUGUUUUUGGUAUUUCAUGAUGGAUUGGGAUUUGAUCUUCGGAUUUGGACUUUUGGAUUUUUUGGUUAAAAUUUGAGAUGUUUGGGUUAUGGGCUAAAAUUUGAGCUUUUGGCCUAAAAUUAUGUUCCUUAAUUUCAUAUAAAUUGAAAGUUAGGUUUUUUACCUCAUACCAAUUUGAAAUUUCAUACGAAUUUAUUAAUAUCAAGUUGAAUUGAUGCUGCAAAGUUCGAUAGUAAUUAAUUUCAUACUUCUAUUUCUAAUAUGGUCUACUAUCAAACUACUUAAAUUCAACAUUCAACAUGCAUGCAACCAAAAUAAAUAUAUAUAGUUUUUCAGUUCGGUUCGAGAUUCCCAAACCAUUGAAUAUGUAAUCCCGAUUUCCGUACUGAGAGGUUCAGGAUCGAUUCGGUAUGGAUCCCAAAAAAUUUUGUAUUAUCGGUUUGAGAAUUUUUCGGUAUGGAAUCGGAUUUUUUUUUUGUUUGGUUUGAGAUUUUCGAGAAAAUUUUCCAGCCCUACAUCAUGGACAAGGAUUGUCUGCCCUCUUUAUUCCCGUGCCCUCCCAUGCCCUUCUGUUUGUGUGGUCACGGUUAAGCCACGUCAACAUUUUAUAUUACUAUUUAUUUUUGUCUUAUUAUAUCUAUAAAAAAAACAAUAUAAAAUGUUGACGUAUCUUAACCGUGACCACACAAAACAGGAGGGCAUGGGAGGGCACUGGAACAAGGAGGGCAGACCAUCCUUGUCCCUACAUCAUAGGAGCCGAUUCAAACUUUGCUAAUAUAAUCAAACCUGCAUCCAAAAAAUUCAGGUCAAAAAUCAUGUCUCCAUCUUAUCUUUGUUAUCCAUUUCCUUUCUAGCUAGGUCAAUAUCCUUGAAACUUCCAUGAAAUUUAUUCUCAUCACAUUAUUAAUGAUAACCUUGAAUUUCAACUCCAUAACCAGAAGAAAAAUUUUGCUAUAAAAUUCUUCGAAAUUGCCAUUGAGGUCAACAUCAGUGAAACUUCCAUGAAAUUUACUCUCAUCAAAUUAUCAACGAUGACUUUGAACUUCAACUCCAUAAACAAAAGAAAAAAAUUUGCUAUACAAUUCUUCGAAAUUGCCGUUGAGGCCAACAUCAGUGAAACUUCCAUGAAAUUUAUUCUCAUCAAAUUAUCAAUGAUGACUUUGAAUUUCAACUCCAUAACCAAAAGAAAAAAAAUUGUUGUACAAUUCUUCGAAAUUGCCAUUGAGGUCAAUUGACGUACUUCAACCCAGAAUGUUCACCUGAACUUCGAGUCGAGCUGUGCUGGCCGACACCCGAAAAGUGGCGAAGCCAAAAAGUGUACUGAUGUGGAAAAUAUGGAUAAAUUUAAACUUAAAAGUGACUAAAUUCAGGACUGCGCAUGUGAACGGGAUUGAACCCAAUUCACACGUGUUGUCAUUCUAUAUGUAAUAUAGUGUGUGUGUGUGUGUGUGUGUGUGUGUGUGUGUGUGUGUGUAUUUGGAAACUAUACUUGUUUUGUGGCAAUUUGUUAUUACGUUUUUGAAAAAGGUUUUACAAAUCUUUAUUUUCAGGCCCACUCACCCUUGUUUUUAAGGUUUUAGUGGCAGAACUUUCGUGUCGACGAGGAUUCUUGGCAAAUGUUGAUAUAGGAGAGUACCUUCGAUGGUAUAAUUCUUAUUCCACUUUUAUUGUACUUUACUUAUGCUUUGACAUCACAUAUGAAUUGGGUUCAAUCCCGCUCACAUGUGCUUUCUUGCAUUCAGUCGCUUUUAGGUUUAAAUUUAUUCAUAUUUUCCAUAUCACCGCACUUUUUGGCUUCGUCACCUUUCGGGUGUCACCAGCACAGCUCGACUCGAAGUCCAGAUGAACAUUCCGGAUCAGGGUGUAUCAUCAACAUUUCAUGAAAUUUAUUCUCAUCAAAUGAUCAAUGAUGAUUAUGAAUUUCAACUCCAUAACCAAAAGAAAAAAUUUGCUAUACAGUUCUUCGAAAUUGCCAUGGAGGUCAACAUUAGUGAAACUUCUAUGAAAUCUAUUGUCAUUGAAAUUAUCAAUGAUGACUUUGAAUUUCAACUCCACAACCAAAAGAAAAAUUUUGCUAUAAAAUUCUUUUAAAUUGCCGUUGAGGCCAACAUUAGUGAAACUUCCAUGAAAUUUAUUCUCUUCAAAUAUCAAUGAUGACUUUGAAUUUCAACUCCAUAACCAAAAGAAAAAAAUUGCUAUACAAUUCUUCGAAAUUGCCAUUGAGGCCAACAUCAGUGAAAUUUCCAUGAAAUUUAUUCUCAUCACAUUACGUAUUGAGAUGUGAUGCUAGAAAGCAUAAAUUGUUGUUGGCUGAGAGUUUAUAGUUGUAAAAUGUCACUAGUGUCAACUUGAAGGUAAUAAUUUUUUGUUUUUAAAUUGGGUAAUCAAAAUUUAUUUGCUCAGGAUGUGAUUGUUAAAAAAUGCAAUCUCACGUCUGAAACUUAAAAAAUAAAAAAAUAAAAAUUACAACUCAUAAUAAAUAAUUUUAUAUUGGGAUUAGAUAUCUGUGAUCUAAACUUGUAUUGCACGGUUAAAAAAAAUAUUCUCUGCACGCCUAGAGAAACUGCAACAGUACGAGAAAUUUGUAAUGGAAUUUUAAGAUAAAGCAUCUUAAAUCAUGUUUUUUGAAAUUUGAACAAAAACUACUAGAGAGAAUGUAGAAGCUCUGUAUAAAUAUAACUACAGCCAUGCCAUUAGGAGCUCAUUUCUCUGUCCGCAUAUUUAGAAUUCGUAGCGGUUUUGUUAUCCUAAGAGCAAGAUACACGGAGUGUGAACGGAGAUAAAUCUUUUAUAAUUUGUUCAUAAAUUUUAGUUAGCAGCUUAUUGGGAGAGUCUAUUAUAGAUACUUUUAGUAUAACAACGAUGCAUAGAUGCUAGUGAUUAACAAGUAAUUUUAGUUAUUAGCAAAUUUAAGAGAAAAGAAGUUUCAAAGUCUGAUAUUUAUUUUAGUGACUAAAAGAAUGACGAGACUAUGAGCCUACUUGAGAUUGUUUCUCAAAAGCCUAAAAGCUUUUUCAUGAAACACUUUGAUAUAAAGUCAAUAAAGAAAAGAAAUUAAAAGACUGAAAAGAAGAAAAAAAUGGUCGUAACUUCGAUGCUUUACUGAAAAGAAGAAAGAAUGCAUGUGUGUGUGUGUAUAUAUAUAAAACACAAAAACUACACUCCUUUAAAUAGAUAAACUCUAUAUAUUACAUAAAAUAUAAAACAUCCAACGAUAUAAGAUAAACCUAAUAUUUAACUUUCUUAGUAUGAUAGCACUUGACCUCUCAUAUCAAAUUUUAUGAGUGGUAGUCGUACAACUCUUGAACACUUUCAUUUCACACAAAGUAUAGUUGUAUUCAGUCAAUUCGAAGUAGACCGGAAAGGAUUAGCAGGUACGGUUAGAUUGUCACCCUCUCCUUCUAACAUUUGAAUAACAACUUUCAUGGAAGGGCGAUCUAUGGGGUGCCAUUGGACGCACCAUAGACCCACAAUAGCUAGCUUCUUUGCAGUUUCAGCAUCUCCUCCGUCCUCAAUGUGAAUCCGUAGGUCGUCCCCUUGUUCUAAAAGGUUAUAAAUCCAUUCUGGGAAGUAGACUUCGCUGCUGGUGGAGUCCUCUUCCAUGAACUUAAAGUUUUUUCUUCCCCCGACCAUUUCCAGCAGCAACAUUCCAAAGCUAUAGACAUCUGACUUGUAGGACACGUUUCCAAAGUUCCUAGAGAACACUUCGGGCGCAAUGUAGCCAAUGGUCCCUCUGAUGGUAGUCAUGGAUACUGCGCUUUGAUCUCUAGAGCACAACUUGGCGAGACCAAAAUCGGAAACUUUUGGGGUGAAAUUCUGGUCUAGCAAAAUGUUGUGUGGUUUGAUAUCGAAAUGGAGGAUUCGGAGGUCACACCCUUGAUGAAGAUAUUCAAUUCCUUUGGCUAUACCUAAAGCAAUCUCAUGCAACUUAUCCCAACCAAGGAAAGCGCUUUUACUAUCUGCUGAUGAUAAGAUAUUCUGUAGUGAACCAUGUGGUAGAUAUUCAUACACAAGAGCUGUUGUGUACCCAUCAGCACAAAAACCAACCAUGCGAACCACAUUGACAUGGUGGACUCGACCCAUUGUUCCGACUUCAUUUAAAAAAUCUUCUCCUUUUUCAUUAGAAUUGUUGAGGAUUUUCACAGCUACAAGUAAGUCGGAGGAAAGCUGUCCUUUGUACACUGUUCCAUAGGCUCCUUGACCUAACUUUUCAUUGAAUUGAUUUGUUAUCCUUUUAAUAUCAGCGUAGGAAUAUCUACUUGGCUUGUGUGCUAUGUAAUCGUCCAAAAAUCUUUCAAUCCUCAACUGAUUUGUUUUCUCUAUUUUGUUGGAGCUAUAAACACGGUAAAUGAGAGUCCCCACGACUGUUACAACCACAGAAAAUGUGAAAAUACCUGCGGAUACAGAAGAAACUCUGCGUUAAGAACCAACCCAUUUCUAAAUUAAAUUAAAAUAAAUCACAAUUGCCUCCAACUGAUAAAGCCCCCAGAAAUCAGAACUGAAUUUAUAUUAAUACUUAUACAUAUAUAUAGGGUUCUUUUGUGGGGAAGUUAACGUGUCUUUUAUCCGGAUGCUGGCACUGAGUUUUGAACUCAUAAGGUUUUCUUGUACCUUAAAAGAAGAACCCUUUCAAGGAUGGGAUCCAAAACUUGAAAAACAAAUGAUGAAAAUUGGUGCCUGUUGAAGCAAGUUCCGACUAGGACCCUAAAAUAUAACAUACUGGCAUGAGGUUCAAUAAUCCAAACCGUCUUGGAUUUAGCUCUCCAUCUAAGAUUUAUGAUUAUGGAUCACACAAGUGUGCAAAAAUUAACCUAACUAUUAGCAGUUCAAAUUCAAUCUUGUAAAAAUAGUGCUUAUAUGUGAACAACUUACCAGAUAUCUCUAAGCUUGUCCUUCCACGGGUACUAUCUGUAAAAACAGGUUAAUUAAGUCAAUAAUUAGUACUUUUGUUAUCAAAAGAAUAAAAUACUUGAAGAAUUGUUUGCAUAAAUCUUUGUUUUCAUUUAAUAUAAAAAGUUCGAAUAUAUUCUUUGAGUCCAAAUUUGUUGUAUAUAUUGUCUGCACAAACUAGCUAAUUAAAACCUUGUCAAUGUGAAAAAGAGGGAAAUAUUUGCCGGCAAAGUACUGCAACAAGUCAAGUUAAAUGGGAGAUUAAAGGAUACCUUCGCUCACGCAUUCAGUUUCUUCAGUCUGAUUAUCUGUGAAAUUAUAUUGACCAAUGGUUCUCUUCAGUCUGCAAGGCUUGCCCAUCUCUUCGCAAGGUCCACAUGAUGGUUUGGACCACUGCAGCUUCAGAGAUCUGUAUUCUUUCACUGAUGAAAUAUCUGGAACUGAUGUGUAGUCAAGCUGCUUGGUACAAGAAACUAGGUUCAUUCGACCAAUGGAACACCGGCCGUCGACAGCAUAGUAGUAGGUUUGGUUUUCAGGAUUGUCAACGCCGUAAGGGCACCGACUCAGUUCAAUAAGACAAUACCCGUCCGUUUCAGGUAAUGGUGACGGACAACUGAAUAAAGUAGAAUUAGUACCAAACGGUCCAUGCACAAAUUGAAAGGUCGAGGAAGAGAAAAUAUCUUUCGGCAGGCAAUCAUUUUGGGAAUAUACUCUGAUUUCUUGAGAUGCGUAGUUAAUCGUUUCAACGAUGAGCUUGUUAGAUGAGGAUGGCAUCUCAAGCACAGUUCGGCCGUCGGUGGUGCAUGAUAGAUCAAAGCCAUGGUAACCGCACGAGAAUGGCUGUCCUUUAAGUCGAAAUGGGAAUCGGAUGGCUGGACCGUGGUGUUCACAGUGUCUUACUUUGCAGUUUUCAGGGACUACUCUGUCGCCAUACACUGUGCUUACAAAUCCAGCAUCUGCUAUCAUGAGAAACCAGCACAAGAAAUUGAUCAGAAGCAUUCUAUCCAAUGAGAAUAUUGAUUGUAGAAGUUUGGUAUCUUGGUAAUUCAUAUAUAUGAUUGUAUAUAAGAUAUGGGAUUGCAGAAGUCCCCUAUGUUUUGGGUAUAAAUAAUAAUCUCUUUUUAUAUUCACCCCUUCGUUCCAUUUCCUACCCCCAAAAACGGUUUUCUAAAUUUUUUUAAUCUUCCACCCAAUUUUGUUUUUAACUUCAAUUUGAAGGACUUGGUCGUGAUUUGCUUAUGGGUUAUUACCAUCGUUAUCAAAUAAAAACUUUUAGUCGCUUUUAUGCAACUGUUACUCGCCAUAACAUGAAACUGGAAUGCUGGAAACUGUUUCUUCCCCAGAUGGGCAGGAUCAACCCAUUAUUAUACAUGUUAUUCCGAGUUAGAUGAGGUGGGUUCUGUGGUCGUGUGGCUUCAAUAUUGGUCAUUCUACAUUGAGUAAUGCUAGGUAGAUUAACACUUUAGUAAUAAUCCAAUUAUCAACUUUCAUGUCAUUGAGUUUACAAAAUUUAUUCUAUAAAUUUAAUCUCUCUAACAUUACCCUUCUAGAAUUUGGAGUUGUCAAUAUAGUUUGGUUGUGCAAAUUUGUUCUCUUUAGUUUAGCCUUGGUUGUUGUUGUUGGAAUUAGUAUUGAUGAGACUUGUGUUUUGCAUACGUCUUUAAUGUAUUUUUAAAGUUUUUGCGAUAACUAUGGUUGUUAUGUUGAAAAACUAUUUAUUAAAGUUUUUUUUUUCAUUCAAUAAAAGAAAAAAGGUAAGUGAUUUUUACAUACGAUUUUUCUUCUCCUACGUACACAUGUAUAUGUACAUUUCUGGCCUUUAAAAAUAAAAAAAAAUAAAGUGCAGAAAAUGAAAAGAGAGUGUGUGGGAAAAAAAAUUAUAUAUAUAUAUAUAUUUUAUUUUAUUUUUUUAACAAAGGGAAAGGAUAAUACUUGGAUCUUCCCAGGAAGUACCUAAUUUACUGACCAUCUUACAGGCCAAUAAAUUUAAAACACCUAGCAUUUUAACUCUCUUCUAAUAUUUUUCUAUCUCUGUAACCAAACACAUUUUGUACCCGAGAACCCUCUCUUCUUCCCAUCUUCUUUCCUUGCCCAGCCCAACCCUUCACCUUCUCCGGCGACCAUCUCCAUGCCUAUCGGGAGUUUACUAAUUGGGCCACAAGUGUACCCACCGGGGAUAAUACUUAUUGGGCCACUUAAGAGUGAGUAAAUUGAAUAAUACUUGGGUCCUAACCUAUCAGGAUCAAAAGUGUACGGACCACUGACAUGGUCCAAUAAUAUAAAGAUAUCUGUAAUUUUAAAACGGGUUGUGCUAUUUAUAGAUCUUUUUUUUACUUCUUACACACUUUUUGUUAAUUUUUAUCCAUUGAUCUUCUUCAAUUCAUCCGAUAUCCGAUCCGACGACCGAAAAUUAAAAGGCUGUAUGAGAAGUAAAAAUACAUGUUUGGAUAUCACAGCCCUUUUAAAACACCACUAUUCUAGUAACCAAACACCUUGAAGUCCUAAACUCAUAACCCAUGACCAACAUCCAGAUUCCCUCCUCAGUGGUCAUCGACCGAUGCCCCACCUUUUCACCGCAUUCCCUCCCCAGCAUCUCUCUCUCAUCAGAGUCUGCAAUUCUUUUGAACUUCAAAGUUCCAAACCUCUUGUCUUCCACAACCUCCAAUUUCGCGGAUUUCCAUAACCCAAUUUUACCGAGCUCAGAUCUGGACGCCGGAGAGGGAUUGAAACUGACGUCGCCGGAGAAAAGAAGGAUUGGGAGUGGUCGGGAGUGAGACGGAGUGCGGGGGUUGCUGGAGAAAGAAGGGUUGAGGAAGAAGACUGGGUGAUUGGUUACAAGAAUAAGCAAGUGUUUGAUUGAGUUUCACUUGACAGGUGGAAUAAUUUUAUUGGACCACGUAAGUGGUCAGCUUGUCAGUAUUAUCCUAGUUUUACUCGUCUCGUGGGUUUGUCUUUGCUUCGUUUGUCAUAAAUAAUGGGCUCCAAGCGGCCAAUUUAUAUCUGAAUUCGCCCCUUUCUUGCCUUAAGCCAAAAACCCUUGCUCCCCAUUAAGCUUUUUUGCCCUCUUCCAUAAUUUUGAUACAUUUAUAUUCUCUUUUGCCAUGUGUAGAGGAAGUCUCUUACUAGUUGCAUAUGGAGCCCUUCUUCUACUCUUUCUUCUUCCCUUUAUUUGUUCCCAAACAUCGAUACCUGAAAAUAAUUCUGAUUGUACUCUUUCUUGUGGCAAUAUUGACAUAAGCUCUCCAUUUCGGUUAAAGGGAGACCCUCAACACUGCGGCAACCCUACGUAUGAGCUAACUUGUGAGGAAAAUGUUACAGUCCUCUACUUGUAUAAGCGAAAGUUUUACGCCAAGGCGAUCAAUUACAACAACCUUACAAUCCGAGUUGUGGAUGCUGCUGUUCAAAAGAAAGAUAACUACUACUCCAUCCCACGUUACUCUUUAACCUCAUCCAACUUUAGUUCUGGGUAUCCUUACAGCACUUAUCUAGCCCGACUGACGUGGAGUUCAAAUAGCCCGGACAUAAGUUCUAGUUACACGGCACGGCCUAUAAUUUUUAUGAACUGUCCAAAUCCAAUGCAUUCUCCUGGCCUUGUAGAAACAGCUCCAUGCGUCAAGGACGGCACCUAUUCUUCCAAUUCUUCUCUGUCCAAUGGUUUAAGAAUGUUUUCCUAUUCCAUCUUUGGCUGGAAUGGCUCCAUAAGUUCAUUGGAUUUGGGGGAGUCCUGUGAACUAACGCAGAUGCUUAUGGUCUCACCUUCGUUAUCCGUACAAGACAUGCAUCAACACUUGACGUCCUGUGAAGGCAUAUAUAGUGAAAUAGCGCAUGGCUUCGAGCUUUCAUGGUUUGACCAGGCUUGUAGCACCUCAAACUGCACAGAGGGGACUUGUGUGCUCAACAACGUGAGCAAAAUUGAGUGCUUUAGCUACGAAACCAGAAAAGGUAGUGUCUAUUAUUUCUCUUAUUCACAAGGCUAGAGUAACCAAAUUAAUUCAGCAAAUAAUUAGUCUUCAAUUACGGGAGUCUGUCUAUCUAUGGAGAUUUAGGUUUUACAACUCUAGAAUAACUUAUGUCAUAUAAAUAUCGACCAUAUGAAUGGGAGAGAACUUUUAUUUCUAUUAAGUACGUAUUCGGGGCUAAAUUAUGUCAUAUAAAUAUCGCUACCUUUCUUUUUGUACUUUCUCUUUUUACCUUUUUGCUUUAUUUUUAAGAUCUUACAUAUUACUUGAUAAUCAAAACUGUUUAUUUUGCAUACCACUAUAAACUAAUACUGCAAAAUACCCCAUUAAUCCGAAUUUAGAAAUCAUUUCACUGUUCGAUUAACGAUGUCAUGAUUUUUUGUUUAACUAAAGCACAUGGUUCACCUUUUAUUGAAUUCAUAUAUUGUUAUUUUUUCUAGUAAUAUUUAGAAAAUAGGCAGUUUGGAAUAUCAAGUAAUAUUGUAAGAUCUUACAAAAAAGUAGAAGGUAAUAAGUGAAAGUACAAGCAGAAAGGUAGCUAGCAUUCUCCUAUGAUAUUAAUUUUCACCCUUUUUCUUCUCUUAAUGGUAAAUAAUAUAUGAUCCUUUAGAGGAAAAAUAAUAUAUAUGAUCCUUAAUGAUUAUUCUUCUUCUUUUGCAAUGCAGAACAUUGGUACAACAAGAUCUUGCUGCCCACAGUAGAGGCACUAGGCAAGUGGUUUACUCUCUAACGCGGCUUAUAUAUAAUACAUGUGUAGUUAGUUUCUUUAUUUGUGGUCACCUUGAUAUUUAUUAAAAAAUUACAUUUGGAAACUAUGAUCGAUAUUCAUCGCUUUGCUGCAGAAACGGUUUUGUACCAGAUGUAUUUCUUCAUCCGCUAUGGUCAGUUUAUCCCUAGGGACGAGUUGAGGUAUAACUCCCUUUAUUACGGGUGUCUGAUAAUUCUGUACUAUUUCCUAGGUAAUGUGAACUACUCGUACUCAGCUAUCAUGCACCUUUUUUCUAGCUUCAGAUACUCAUCAUUCAAAAAUGAAUGUUUGAUGAUCACUUUGUUUUUGUUUUCAUUCUUAUUAUUAUGUUUUAGUUAAAGGUUGCAGGGGAAUAUGGAAGAAUAUGAGAAAGAGUGAAAAGGAUAGAGAAAUUGUUAUUGUCUUUGAAACAAUCUCAAAGUGUUUUCCUUUAAUUUUUUUGUUUCAUAAAUUCUCCAUUUCUCCAUCAUCUCCCACCCCCAUCCCCAUAUCUUCUUUCUAUAAUUUCCCCUCGCCUUUUUUUCCUCUCUCUUUUUAGAUUAAAAAUUAAAACUAAAGGAUUUCCAAACAGUUGCUUAAUUAAUGAAAAAUAUUGUUGCACUAAAGGAACAAGUUUGAUGAUAUUACAGCAAUCAAUCUAUUUGGUGACUCCAAUGUUUUUGAAACGUGCAGGACUCUUCCAAGUAGUCAAAUUUUUAUUUGGCUUUCCCUGUUUAAUUGCAUUAAUAAUAUACAAAUGCAAAAGGAGGCACUUGUCCAUGUAUGAAAAUAUAGAAGACUUUCUGCAGAAUAAUCAGCUCAUGCCAGUAAGGUACUCUUACUCGGACAUAAGAAAGAUGGCCAGAGGUUUUAAGGACAAGUUAGGGGAAGGUGGCUUUGGUUCUGUGUACAAGGCAAAGCUUCGCAGUGGCCGUCUUGUAGCCAUCAAGAUGUUGGGCAAGUCGAAAGCCAACGGGCAGGAUUUUAUCAAUGAAGUUGCUACCAUCGGAAGGAUUCACCAUGUUAACGUGGUCCAACUUAUUGGUUUUUGUGUGGAGGGUUCAAAGCGUGCUCUUGUAUAUGACUUCAUGCCUAAUGGGUCUCUUGAUAAGCACAUAUUUUCUCAACAAGGAGUUAUCUCCUUAAGUUGCGAGAAAAUGUCUGAAAUCUCACUUGGAGUGGCUCGUGGUAUUGAAUAUUUGCAUCGAGGAUGUGACAUGCAAAUUUUGCACUUCGACAUCAAGCCUCACAACAUUCUUCUCGACGAGAACUUUCUUCCGAAGGUUUCAGAUUUUGGGUUAGCAAGGCUAUGCCCAUUAGAUAAUAGCAUUGUGUCUUUGACUGCAGCGAGAGGAACCCCCGGAUACAUAGCUCCAGAGUUUUUCUACAAAAACAUUGGAGGUGUUUCAUACAAAGCUGAUGUCUAUAGUUUUGGGAUGCUACUGAUGGAAAUGGCUGGAAAAAGAAAGAACUUAAACGUAAAUAUAGAACACUUGAGCCAAAUAUACUUUCCAACAUGGGUUUUCGACCAGCUGAGUGGAGGAAAUGACCUUACAAUCGGAGAUGCUACAGAGGAGGAAAAGAAAAUCAUUAAGAAGAUGAUUAUUGUGGCGUUGUGGUGCAUACAAAUGAAGCCUAGCGACCGUCCUUCUAUGAAUAAAGUAGUAGAGAUGCUUGAGGGAGAAAUUGAGAGCCUUCAAAUGCCUCCAAAGCCUUUCUUAUACCGACAACAAAUGCCAGAGGUGGUUCCUGGCGACAGUUCAAGUACCGCAUAAGCUGCAUCGACAACGACAACAUCUACGGAAAUUGUUUUGAUUGCAGAUGAAAAUUCAGAGAAUUAAUAUAGCUAGUAGCAAUGUUGAUGUGCAAAGGAACGUUUAGUGUACCCAAUAAGCACAAAUAGCCUACUUGUAUUUAAUGGCAUUGAUUGCUUUCUAGUUUUCAGUUUUAGCUUUGGUACGUACAAGGAUUAAUUUAUGCACAAAUCGUAUCUCGAUUAGUAUGGAAAGCAUUAGAUAUAUAAUUUGUGUAUGAGCAAAGUUCGAUAUCGAUAUAUUAUGUUGAAGAAUGCAAUCCUACAAAAGAAACUAAACAAAUUACACAGCUUAUAUCGAAUGCUUCCAAUUCCAAUUGCAUAUGAGAAGCUUUAAGAGGAGGAGAAGGUACCUGAUCAAGGCGUGGCUAUCUUUGAUUAUUAUCUCAGGAUGUGCAUUUGAAUUCAGAGGUCGCACUUGGUGCGAUGGCAAGUGCCUUCGCCCAUGAGCGGUAGGUCUCGGGUUCGAGACUUGGGAGCAGCCUCUCCAUAAAUGGGGUAAGGCUAGCCGACAUUCACCUCUCACAGACCCUGCGUAAAGCGGGAGCCUUGUGCACUGGGUACGACCUUUUAUGUGCAUUUGAAUUCAAAUUAACUUAGAAAGGUAGAACUAAUAUUUAUUCUUCAUACAAAGACUACAGCAUAUUGCCUUCCAUAUGCGACCCAAUUAAUAUUUAUUGCAAUCAGUAGGCUUAAAAGAGAGUCUCUUUCGUUUGUGCCAUGUUGCCAAAGACCGCGAUUUCUCAACGAAUGGGUCUGAAAGCUAAGCAAACUAUAUCCAUUGACACUCUUGAGAAAGUGUUGAAAGCUUGUAACUUCACAUCUGCACCAGUGAAAUCCGCAGUGAUUACCGGAGCUUUGAUAGUCGAUUAGGUCUUGUAGCUGAGGCUUAGGAAGCGUUCAGGGUCAGUCAGACGUCUUAAUCUUAUGGACUCACCGUCAAUUCCAGCUUAUUGUAUAAGUCCUCUGGCAACAAUGUCAGCGUAGUCCAUGAAUCAACGAUAAUAUUGCCCUUUGCUGGAGCCAAUGAAGGGUUCAGUGAACUGUUAUAUUGCAAUCUCUUACGCCCAACGCUCAUUGCUUCAAGCCUUAGAUACUUGAUCACUCAUAUAUUUCAUGCAUUUAUAUCAUCUAUUUCUAAAGUCUUUGUGAUAUUUUUGUGUUAAAAUUGUGACAUUUUACCUUACCUUGUGUUAUUGUGCAGUUAAAUGUGUUUUAUGAUCAAUUUCAAUUAAAAGGAAGAAAAGUGGAAACACUGACAAAGAGGAGUGGGAGACUGGCGGAAAGAAAAGAAAAUAAAUAAAAUAGGCAGAAGGGAGAGAGCACUGAGGCAGUGCGGAAGGAAUAAAAGAAGAAAAAGGUACAUGGGCUGGCGGAAAAGAAAGAAUUAAAAGGAAGAAAGGGGAAAGACGCUGGCAGACAGAGAGGAUGGCACAAGGACAUAUAGAAUAAUGAAGGAGAGAGUGAGCAGACAGCGGGAAAGGAGAGAGCACAGCAGAAAAGAAAAGGGAAAAGAAUUAAAAAAUGAAAGAAAGCAAGUGAGAGGGGAGCGGACGAAGUGGAAAAACGGAAAAUAAAGAGAAGAAAGGAGAAGCACAGAAGGGAGGGCGCACGGGGGAGCAGAAAUAGAGAGAGACGGACAGCAAGCAGGAAAGAAUAAGCGCAGGACUGCGCAGAAACAGAAAAAGAAAAACAAAACAAAAAAGAAUAGGUGGGAGUGCGCAAACAGAGGGCAGAGGAGAGAAGGAGCAAACGUGACUGGCAGGGAGACUGAAGGAAGCAGAAACCAAAGGGAGGGAGACUGACGCAGUCACGCAGCACAGGGAAAAGGGAGAGGCUCAGGACGCGGCAGAGCACAGAAGCAGAGGGCGCAGAGCAGAGGAACAAAAACGGGUGUUUUCUUUCUUGUUAUUUUUUUGGAUAAUUUUUUAUGCAUGAACAUAAUUAUGUGUAACUAAUUUAUUAUGCUAGAGUGAGGCCAUGAGCUGCAACAUGAAUACGUAGUUUUAUUUUUCAAUUGCUUAAGUGUUGUUACAUGUUUGCUUUGAUAUUUUCAAUCACUGAAUUAAACUAUCUAUGUACCUUGAUGCUUGAACACCAUUAGGAUGCUUAGAAAAGUUAUCGGAUGCAAUUUUGAACGAAUGUCACGUUAAAUUGGUUGUGCUUCUUGUGAU
rnacentral:lncRNA from 1 species